rnacentral:lncRNA from 1 species
AAAUUGGUGGCGGGUUGAUUGUUGGUCACCAACUCUAAAUAAAGAAUUCAUCAGAACCUAGAAAUUUAAACAAAGAAUUUUCCAAAAUCAACAUUUACUAAAAACCAGUUACUUGGUUAUCAUGCAUGAUGGCUUGCCAAAGACUGAAUUAAGGAAUGCACAACUUUACUUUUAUGAUUAUUUUCAAUGACAGCUAAAAGGUCAGAUCCAAAUGACAGUUAAAUUCCUUUUCUACAAAGUUCGAAAUUAUAUGGCAGUUUGGCAUCUGUUGAAUAACAUGGUUGAAAGAUUUAAAAUUGAUACAUUCAAUUUUUAUGUGUAAAACUAUAACAUAUACCUAAAGCUAUUUGGUCUAUAUAUCCAUAUCAAUCAUGUUGUAAUUAAAUGUUUAUCGAUGUAAAUAGAUGAUUUCAGUCAUGUGAUAACAUGUUUCUUGAUGGUAUACGCUGAAGUUUGGUCUAAGUUGGAUAAAAAUCGACCAAAAUCUUAGUAAGAGACUCUUUUAACUUUUAACCAAAAAAUGAGCACCACAAUACUACACUUAUAAGUUUUUAUCAUGCACAAAAUAUACAGCACUGAUAGCCACUUUUAGAGCAAGAACAAUACUUUACCAGACGAAAACAACAAAACACUCAAAACCCAGAAACAAAAACACACUUAGGACUCAAACUCCUCAAAAACAUGAGAAAGAGAGUGCGUGAGGAGAGAGAAUAAAAAAAAAUAUUAUUUUUCACAAACUCAAAAUUGUUUAUAAAAUUACAAAUCAAAACAAAUGAAAAUCCAAAAUUGCCCUAAAUUAAAUCUGUUUAGUUAAAUGUUUAUUGCCCUUCAAAUGUUAUUACACCUGACAAUUGCUUUGAAGUUGAUAUUUUGGUCAAUCCAGGGGAAAAGGAGUUAUUGCUUUUGGAGCAGUUGUCAUGGAGAAUCCCAUCUCCAUGUUAAAUAAAAAAAGGUCGUACCCAGUGCACAAGGCUCCCGCUUUACGCAGGGUCUGGGAGAGGUGAAUGUCGGCUAGCCUUACCCCAUUUUAUGGAGAGGCUGCUCCCAACUCUCGAACCCGAGACCUACCGCUUAUGGGCGAAGACACUUGCCAUCGCACCAAGUGGCCACAAUAAUUUAGGAGGCCCUUCUCUCCAGAUUUUCUCAAUAACUUUCCUUUUCGUAGCUGGUAAGAUUGCAACUCCAAGAAUUGCUCUGAAGAGAUAUAUACAAACAAAAUCAAACUAAAACUAAGCUAUUGGAAGAAAUUUACAAAACAAAAACACAAUUUCAACUCAGAGUUAAAGUCAACAGAAACCAAAUGGUACAAGUUGACAAAAUAUAUGGUCAUGAAUCGAGAACUUCAUCAAACUAACAGCAAUAAAAUCUCCUAUAAUCUGUCUAAAACCAAAAAAGAGAGAGGUAAUUUCAAGACCUUGUAACGCUGAGGCCUCGUACAGUUGUAGUAAUAAUAUAUGGUUGAUGCACCUGUUGCUCAAUCAAAUCCUUUGUCUGGCUAAAAAAAUAAAAAUCUAUAAAUACAUUCACGUCCAAUUUAUGAGAAAUCAUGGGAAAGCAAAUGCACUGAUAACGGAAUCAUGAAUAUGAAGAACUUGCCAAAAAGAAAAAGAAAACUUCUUGUAGUGUGCCAAGAACAUCCUCCUACUCCUAGCAAAUUUUUUAUGGCAUUAUCCACUUCUCAAUUCAUAAUUCAACCAGUAACUCAAAGUCUAUAGUGUAUGAAAAAGUGAUAUCUUAGUUGAUCUCGAUGAUAAUUAAGUAGAUUAAAUGACGACCCAUAAAGCAUACAAAUUCAGAAAAGAAAAGGUUGAAAACUGCCAUAAGAAAACGCAGAAUAUAUAAAUGGGAAAUCAAAAGAAGAGAAGCGAAAAAGGAAGAAAAAACCAAACAAAAUUAUUAGGUUUGGGAUAUACCUUUAUCCGAAAGGCCACAACCAUCAAAGUCAAACAUAAACAAUCCAAAAAUUUGUGGAAAAUAACAAUAAAUGCUUAACUAAAAAUGAAAGAAAACGUAGAAUAAGUUUACCUGUUCUCCCCCUAAUUAAACUGGAAUACAAUUCACCACUAAUAUUCUUGUCAUCCUCUUCAGCCUGAAAAAUUUAGUAGAAAUAUUCAAUGAAGACGCUUAAUGGAGACAGUAAUAUUAGCAAUGGAGGAAUUGAAUUGAUAACUAAAACUGCAAGACCAAAUGACUACAAUAGGUUCAAAACAGAAACUCGUCUGUUAGAUGUCUCAUCUUUAGGCAGUGCCUUGUUCUUUGUUGCAUGUCUUGUGAAGUUCAUGUAAAUCAACAAAAUUGAUACUUUGGACACACCAACAAUGGAGAGGUAAAAAGUGAAAAACAGAAGGAAUGUCUUCAGAUUUGUAAUGGAUUUUGCAAGUCAGAAAUUCUGUUCGAGAAUUUGCAACCCAGAAAGUCCACCAGCAAUUAUUAACAAUCACAGAUAAGCACCGAAUGAAGGCCAAUCUAAUACAACAACAACAACAACAACAACAAAGCCUUUUCCCACUAAGUGCGGUCGGCUUGAAGGCCAAUCUAAUACGCCAAAAUAUUCAGGGCACUAAAGAACUUAUUGCCCAGUAUCAACGAUAGAUAAGCACAUGUGAAACUAAAGAAAUUUUUCAUUACUAUCAACUCCAAAAAAGAUAACCUAUGCAAUCCAAAAAAUGUUGAUACAGAGUUGGAGUAUCGAUGCUUGAAAUUGGUAUUUGAACCACCAACUACCUCCGUGAAUAUGUUUGUUUGCUUAAUGGUUUGGGUUGAAGUUGCGAAAGGAAAUAUAAUUUCUUAAAAGGAGAGAAUGCAGAGACAAUACAGAAUGGUUCACGUGGCCACCUCAAAACAGAUUGACAAUUAAGCUUCAUUAUGAAUGGAAAGAUUAAUAGAUGAUAAUUAAGAAGGCCUGAUACCCAAGCCGAAAUCAGAGAUAUCCUUUGUAAACAAAGAGAUUGAGCAUUUCCACUAAAAAAUAACCUUUUUUGUGAGGGGUGGGAUUGGGUGGAAGGCUAGAUAAAGACAUCAAAUUUUAUACUUAUUGCAUGCAAGGUAUGCAACAGCCUCCCGCCGAUUAAAAAUCCCAGAAAUAAAAGAAAUCGAAUCAAGAAAGAAGAUAAUUGCACAAUAAUUACACCUUCACUAAGAAAAUAAAUUAUAAAAUCGAAGACCGUGAGAAUAAUGUCUUAUACAUUAAGCCUGCCAAUUACUAAAAACAAAACAUUUUGCCAUGAGGAGAAGUAAGAACAUACCCAAACUUGUUUGCAAAUAGAUGAGAAAAAUUUAUACCUGAAACAGAUGGAAAAUUUAUUAGGAAAGAUAAAUCAGCCCACAUGUGUGUAAUCUAUAUACAAAAAACCACUCUUUUCAUUAACCAAAUCGUUUCACAAAUCCAAAAACACAGAAUUAUAUCUUGAACAAUGCCAAUUAAUGAUUUCCCAUUUACUUAAGCCCAACAUCAAAGCCAAUGAACUGAUGAAAGAGCGAAAAUGAGAAACAUAAAACCUCAAUUAAGCAAUUAAAUGGAGUAUUACUUGAUAGAGCUGGAAAAUUACCCAGUAAGAUUAAAAAAAAGAGAGAUGAGAUGGAGUGAGAAUCACAUACCGGCAUCACCUUUAAAUAUGUAGUGCUCCUCAGAGAGAGGAUCAAGAGUGACUGAUGAGAGGGCAGAGAACGAAUGAUUGAGAAAUUCAAGCUCUGAGCUCAAAGUUGGGGCCUCCACUUUCCAACUGGGGAAGAAAUAACAGAGAAAACACAGAGAGCCAAUCCACCAAAACUAUUAAUCAAAUGGGUUCCGUCUAAUUCAAAAUUUGGACCACCCAAAUUCCGAUGAAGCAAUAACCAUUCAAAAUUCCAACAGAUUGAAGCCCUCACAGACUACAAAUUAUCAAUACCCAGCAAUAAAAAAUUUGAAAACAGUAAUAAUGAAGGAAAAAGAAAUUAAAGCCGCAAGCCAUUCUCUAAAUCUCAGGCACCAAUCCAAAUCACCAGUAAUUUGCACAUAAUGAUAAGAAUCUAGCAGUAUUUCCAUUGUUUAAAACCCAAAUUCAAGAAAUCAUGAAAAAUGGAAACUUUAUAUAGAAAUUGAAGCUUUACCUGCAGAUCAGCAGCAGCAAACGGAAUCCAACGGCAUGUACCUCAAAAGUGAGAGAGAGCUGAGAGAUGAGUAAGAGAAUCGGUAAACAAAACCCCCAAAAUCACAGAAGGAAAUUUAAACAGAAAACAAAUUUGCAAAUCCAAAAUCACAAAAACGAAAUUGAAACACGAAAGCUGUAAAACUGACCAGGAACGCUAGCUUUUCUGGGUAAAAACUUUAUUCGAAUCGAAUAGAAGAACCGAGGAAAGUUCUACUGGUUCAGUGGUUAUUCCAGCAAGAAAGCACCUUGUUUGUAAUUCGUGAGAGGUUGGAACUUGGAGAGCGAGAGAAGCCGAUUUGGGAGCCAAAGAAAGCGAGGUUGGAGAACGACGGAAGCUGAGAAUUGCGAGAGAGAAAAACGAAAAGGAAAGGAAAAGCGGAGAAAAAGUCACGAUUAUCGAAGCGUGCGAAAAUGAACGGGGAAUGGGGAUCUGGCUGAGGGAGACAGAAUUCGAGAAAGCGGAAUGAAGAGAAUCGAGAAGAGGAGGAAUCAUUUUAAGCGGAUGAUCGACGCGUGGGAAGUAAACUAUUAUUUACAAAUCUAAAGCAUUACCCGAACUUAUAAUACAAUAGCUACUUUGACAGAAGAAAAGAUGGAGAGUGAGAUGAUUGCAUUCCUUUUCAAAACAACUUUUAAGAUUCCAUAAUAAACUAAUAUAUAUGAAGAUGUGCCCCGUGGUAAAAGAGAGGAAGGAAAGAUUAUCAAAAGUUUAUUGUUCGUGAAUCGUGAUUACAGCUAUUCAACUUUUGUAAAUUUUCUUAACAUGAGUGAGAUUUGCAUUCUUUUUCAACCGAACUUCUUUUGAUUUCAUAAUAGAUUAUUAUACGAAGGAUAAAUGCUUAACAGAUUCUCUCAAAAUCGAUGCUUUUCAUGAACUUUUUAGCUAUCUUAUGUUUUUAGACUUAAUUACACUAACACUUUCUGUGGUUUAAGAUAGUCUUACGUUUGAAAUAUUACACUAACAUCCUUUUAAUGUAAUGUCUCAAACGUAAAGGAAUUUUGUGAAAACUCGACUAACUUUAGGAGUGUUAGUGUAAUUAAUCUAUUUUGUGCAAAUAUUGUAAAAUAUUUUACCAAAUACAUUAAGAGCUCGUUUUGAUGUGUUUUUAAAAUGACUAAAAACGUUUUUAAAUAAAAUAUUUUUUUGUUCCAAAAGCACUUAAAUUGUUUUAUGCAAGAAGCACCAGUUAUGUGCUUAUUCCAGAAAGCACUUUAAAUGUUUUUCUAGAAUUUACUUACAUUUUUAUUAAGGAUUGGUUUAAAAAACAUUUUCACAAAAAACGUUUUCAGUUAUUUUAAAAACACAUCCAAACAAGCACUAAGUAGCGGAUAGUUUAUAGACACUUUCACUUUAAAAAGUAGGGAACUUUAACGAAAAGCACCCGGUACUGUUCACUUUAACGAAAAACCAUAUUUUUACACUAAAAAAUCAAUCUUGGUACUAUUCACUUUACCCUUUAUUUUGUUCUUAUCAUUAAAACUCAAAAUUUUCAAGCCAUUUUCAUUAGUUUUCUUUAAAAAGUAUUCUUGCAUAUUUCUAACAGACAUGUACGGUGGAAAAAGAUCACUUCAUAAUUAAAUAUUAUGUUGUUGAUUACGCCUCUCUCUAUUUGAUUAAGUUUCUUUUCACUCUUCUCUAAAAAAUAAUGGUUUCUUUUCACAUUAUUAAACCGUUGUAAAGUAAACUUUUUUUUUGUAAAAGUGUUUUUAAUUAAAAAAAGUAAUGUCAAAGUGUUUGGUAAAUUUUUAUAUAAAUUACUUUGAAUAUAUUAAAUAACUAUAAAAUAUAUACUAUUUAAUGUGAUAUAAUAAUUGUCAAAGACAAUAAUGUAUGAGCAAAAAUUGUAAUUUGUAAAACAUGUAGAGGUAUACUAUUUGAAAAGUUCAUUAAAUGAGCGUUAAUUAUUAUACUUUGAAAAAGAAAAAAAAAUAUACUUUUUUAGAAGCAUAGUACACCCUACUUCUCAUUUUCUGUACUUUUUUCUACUUUUAUUGACAGUAGUUUAAUAAGUUGCUUUCUUUGAGAGUACUCAAACCAAUCCUUAAUAAGUGACCAUUUUGAACUUUCUUGGCGCCAUCGGUGUGGAGGGAGAGAAAAGAAACUAGCGCAAAACUACAGACACUCGAUUCGUUGUAAUAUAUAAUAAAAAAUAAUAGUCACGUAUAAAAUAUGGUACAAUUAUAGUUCUGGCAUAUGUCUCUACCAAAGAUAAUCGCCGUGUCUUUCAAAUUUGUUGUUAAAUUGGGGACAACAUGAAGAUUUUCACACUAAUCUAAGUACAACGUUUCAAACCUUGAAAGACCACUAAAGCUUUGAAAAGUCUGGUGAUUUUGUUAGGUCAUGUGAAUGACUGAAAUUAUCGAUUUUCAACUUCCCAAGCAACUAUUACACAAAAUAUAAUUUAAAACUCAAGAGGAGGAAUCAAAAUCGAUAGUGUCUUCAACUUAACCACUAAUAAGUGUAGAGUACAAAAGACCAUGCAAUUAGUAGUUGUGCCCUUCAACAAAAAGAGAAUCACAAUGUUAGUUGGUCACAUCACAUGCCCAAGGAAAACACGGUACAAAAGCACUAAAAGCGUCCAAGCGAAAGUGCUUUCUUCUCAUGUAGUUUCAUUUAACUUAUUUUACCACAACAGUAAAUAUAUUUUACCACUGCGCCAAUUACGAAAAUGAACGGGGAAUGGGGAGCUGGCUGAGGGAGACAGAAUUCGAGAAAGCGGAGUGAAGAGAAUCGAGAAGAGGAGGAAUCGUUUUAAGCGAUGAUCGACGCGUGGGAAGUAAACUAUUAUUUACAAAUCCAAAGCAUUACCCGAACUCAUAAAGAUGCUCUAAAAACUUUCAAAGAUUCCACAAUUUCUGUUUGAUUUCAUAAUAAACUAUUAUACGAAGGAUAAAUGCUAAAAAUUAGUCUCAGGAAAGCACUUUGUUUGUAAUUCGUGAGGUUGGACAGCGAGAGAAGCCGAUUUGGGAGCCAAAGAAAGCGAGGUUGGAGACAGAAUUUGAGAAGCAGCUUCCUGAUUUUUUUUUUUUUAUGAGAGAAGGCGGAAUGAAGAGAAUCGAGGAGAUGAAUCAUUUUAAGCGAUGAUCGACAUGUGAGAAUUGAGACGAUCUUAUAGCAACGCGAUAUUCAGUUUCAUCACACCAGUUAACUUGUAUUGGUCGAGUAAAGCACAUGUUACUUUCUGAAAAUUUGAAAUACUACAACGCAAAACCUAUCAAGAGGAUGCUACCAUGUGAUGCAAGAAACGAAAAGGUACAAAGUCCAGACUCACUCUGGUUGUCAUUUUCCCCAAGCGCAGAUGCAACUUUAGCGAAUUAAGUUUGUCUCAAAGAAAGUGUCUUUCCAAAAAAAAAAAAAAAAGUGAAAACGGAGCACCCUUCCCCAGACAUUAAGGGCGUGUUUACGUACACGUAAUCAGAAUAAGAAUGUGGAAUUGAAUUUCGAUUACGGAGUACUCUGAUGUUUACUAAACAUGGAGAAUAAAAAAAGCAAUGGGGCCCACACAAAUUUUGGAAUUCAAUUCCUUGUAUUGGUGGAAUUUGAUUCCCUAGAUAUAUGUUGUAAUUCAAUUCCUGCUUGUUUGGACAAUCGGAAUAACACUUUUGUUCCCUUUAUGUCCUCACUUACUUUUUUUAUUUCCAAGACUAUCCUUUAUAAACUCAUUAAAGUAUAUAAAAUAUUUGAUUUGGGACAAGGGUAUUUUAGUAAUCAUACUGGUUUAUAAUUCGAUUCUGCUGAAUUAGUAAAAAUCUUUAUGGAAUUAUAUUCUGAUUUCAGAACAUUUAAGUAAACAGUUUCAACAAGAAUCUGAUUCUGACUUCUCUUCAUUCCAACUCCUCCUUAAUUUAAUUCCUCAUUUUUUUCAUUACCGUUAUAUAAAUGUGCCACAAAGAGCUUCAUUAGCCCACUCACCACUGCAAUAGAAACAAUUUGAUAGAAAAUACUUGAUAGCAACAUACAAGCCUCUAUUUUAUUGGAAAAAUCAAAAUACAAAAUCAAUGUUAUCAAUUUUCUAUCUAAAUGAGAAUUACGGUUUAAGCGAGUUAUGUGGAUACCUAAGCAGGUCUAGCGCACUUUCUUAAUUUUCAAAUGCUUAAGAACUAAUUAGGACGCUGAUCAGCAGCCUAACGUUAGGCGAAGAUUUUUAGAACAUUAAUUACUUGUUCUCCUAGAUCUCCGAGUCCAAGAAAAUUAUGAUCACCCAUUGUUCAAUCUUAAUAUAGUCAGUACGUGGUUAUUUAACCAUUUUGUUAUAUUUAUCCUUUCUCGUUAAAUUAAGUAAGUGAUAAUAACUUUCCUGGAUCCUGUAAUCUAGAAGAACAAGACUAUAUAUCACAUGGAUAAACAUAAUCAGGCAUAAGAAAAAGUCGAAGAAUUCAUAACAUAGAGUAAUGCUAAAAAUACUAAAUUUGUAAACUAAAUGACAUAGAAGUUGAUCGUUAAAUUAUUAUUUAAAUAUUAAUAAACGUGUUCAUGCUCACACAUCAUUUAAUUUGUAAAUUUUAUUUAUAAAUCUUAAGCAUUACCUGAACGCAUAUAAUACAAUAGCUGCUUUGACAGAAGAAAAGAUGGAGAGUGAGAUGAUUGCAUUCUUUUUAAAAGCAACUUUUGAAGAUUCCAUAAUAAACUAUUAUGUAUGAAGAUGUGCCGUGGUAAAAGAGAAGUAAAAAGGAGGGAAGGAUUAUCCAAAAAAUUAUUGACCGUGAUUACAAUUAUUCAACUUUUAUACAUUUCUUCGAACGGAGAUCCAAGAAAAGAUGGAGAGAGAGAUUGGCAUUGUUUUUCGACACAACUUCUGUUGAGUCCAUAAUAAACUAUUAUAAGAAGAAGGAAUGCUAAAGAGAUUCUUUCAAAAUCAAAACUUUCUCAUGUUUUUGGGGUUAGUUAUACUAACAUUUUUUCUUUCGUAUAAGAUAUUACGCCAACACUCCUUUUAGUGUAAUGUCAAACGUAAGGGGAUUUUGUAAAAUUUGAUUAACUUCGACGUUAGUGUAACUAACCUAUUUUUAUGCAAAUAUUAUGUCAAAUACAUUAAAUGGCGGAUAAUUUAUAAACAAUGUCACUUUAACAGAGUUUUCUUACAUCUUUUUUAUAGAUAUGGACGGUGGAAAAAGAUCACUCCAUAAUUAAAUAUUGUGCUAUUGAGCGCGCUUUCGGGGCGCUUUCGGUGCGGGGUUUUGGCCUCCGCCGCUCCGCGUGCUGUUCUUUUACCUUUUUAUCUGCCAUUCGCGUGCUCCGCUGGUCCCAGACCCCUGAACAAUGUGAUGAUGCCAACUAACGUUAACCCCACUAAAGCAUCGGAAAUUGCGUCUGAGGAUAGAAAAGGCAUACAUGCAGAUCCUCCUCCCGGACUCUUUGCCUCUCUAUAUGUGAAAACCCAUCUGGGAACAAACCAAUUCCAUUCUCUGGCAUAGCAAGAACGGUCCUCUGAAAUGUAUCCAUACAAAGUUCGACACACAAAAUUCAAAAAGCCAUUGCAAUGUAAUUGACAACAUUGACAAUCUCUGUCCGACAAGGCAAUAAUACCGAAGCCCACUGUAAUGAUGGUAACCUGAUAGGCCAAUACCGAAGCCCACUGUUAUGAAAUCCAUGAAGCUUAUAUGGGCUUCUUGUACUCUCAGAUUUUGCAUAUUAGAGAAUACUCAGCAGUGAAUACCUGAAAAACGUGCAGCACGAAUAUCAUAUCGGUAGCCUCUCGAAUCUUAAGAAAACUACAAAUGGUAGCUUAGAAAAGAAAUGAAUCCUCUCCAACCAAUACAAAUCAUAUUACCCAAGUUCAAGAAAAAUCAAGACUAAACAAAUGACCAGAUGUUGUAGGGUGCCUGAGAAUGUCAAACAUGAAAUUACAAAAGAAAAAAAUAAUCGUAUGUAUUGAACAUUAAUAAAUACAUGCUGAAAGCACAAUCUUAGCCGCAAUUUAUGACAUUCAUACAAGAUGGAAUCGCCAAAGCAGUUAAAGAAAUUGCAGAGCUCAUAUAAGUGAUUUUCACUAUGAACUUUUAAGCUUAUCAACAAAUACAUCAUUUCGAUUCUAAGGCUUAAUCAUCAAUGAUUUUGCCGUUGGAUAGUGGCCAAAUUAGCGGCCGACUGAACAACAAGCCAACUCUCCUUUCGGCUAUUAAACAAAGAAAAGUUUGGUGGACAUCAUCAUGAGUAAAGACACAAUGAUGAUGUUUGUUGAAAAGAAAAAGGAAGGUCAUAAUGAUGUUUGUAACUUUGGAUUUUUUAUAGUCAAAUGGAAUUGGGUUUAUUUGGCUCCUUCCUUUGCAACUUGACAAAAGAGCUUUUUUUUGGUAUUUUCUAAGGCAGCAGCAGCUGCUAUAUGUUUGAGGAGAAGCCGAGAGAUACCAAGAAGAGCGUUCGGCUCUCCCAUUUGAAAUUUUGUUAGUAAUCACUCAAUCAAAGAUGUUGGUGCUACUUGUGUAGCUUUUGGGAGAGAAGGAUUUUGAUAUGUGUUUCUUCUUCUCCAUUUGUUUCUUAGUUUGAGUGAGAGCUAUUGGUUGUAUGUGGGAUUUAGGUUUGAGAGUUAAAACUCUAUUUGUAAUUUCCUUUUGAUAUUAGUGGAAUUUCCUCGCCGUCUCGGAACUGGACGUAGGCUUACGCCGAACCAGUAUAAAUCCUUGUGUUUUUUGGAUUAUUUGUCUUGUCAUAUUUUGCCGUAUUAGCUUUGGUUUCAUAUUUGAAGCUUUCACACAACAUUUGCAAGGGUCAAUCGUAUUGCUGGUUGUAAAUCUAUUCACUAUGAAAAUUACCAAAAUUACAUCUAAUAUGGUAGUGAAGGAAGUCAUCUUAUAUUAUCUGGAUCCAAAAUUGUACCUAAACAUGCAUGACAGGUAAAAAGAAGAUGAGCAAUAAAACAUUAUAAAGAUUCCCAAGAAAAGCAAUAAAACUACGUAAAUAUUAGUUAAUAAUGUCAAGACCAUAGUCUGUGACAAAUCCAAGAGUUGAGAUGAGACUAUCUUUCCGGCAGGAAUUUUUGGAAUUUUUCUCUAUUGUAAGGAAAACAUAGAUUGAUGUUUGUGUUUACACGAAAAUUAUGCCAACGGCUUAGGAGAAAUCAAAGCAUAACAAUGGGACUAAAAUGACUUACCUACUAUGAGGAUCUUCAAGUUCCUUCUUCACCUCUUCGGGCAGAUUGGCUAAUCUAAUAAACGAAAAGAAAACUCCCAUGAGCAGUGCUAUAACAAACUAUCUUCCUAAAUUCAUUAUGAAUUGCAGUUAAAACUUAAAAUGAACAUGAAAAUCCUACGUAGAAGGGAUAUACCUAGGUGACAAGCCUAGAAGAUUCCCGCGCAAGGAAGAAUAUCCCGGAACCUGCAAUUGGAAACUCAAAGAAACAAUUACAAAGAUGCUAGAAAGAAAAUACGUAUCAGUUUACAACAAAACGCUAGCGCUCAUGAGAAUCGAUUAGGUAUGAAGCAUCAAAACAAUAGCAUGAGACAUCAUAACUUAUGAGCUAUGAAUGGAAUAAUGGAGCAAAAUAUCGUUGCCCAAACAGCACAAUCUACAAUCUACAUGACGGAGAAAGUACCCCGACAUUACAUAUGCAAGUUCAUGUGGUUUAUCUUUUUAACCGAUUCGUUAACAAAUUCUUUCUGCACAUAUAGUUUUAACUUACCAAAACUGGUAAUGGAAGAGAGAUAAUCAGUAAUUAAAAACGGUAAUCGCAUAACGAAAUCAUACUUGAGUGAUUGAUAGGAUUCCCAACCCAUUUGGUCCAAAUCCUUCUUCAAUCUUCACUGACAAAUCUUUGUCCCUGUCCUGUAUCAAUCCAAAAUCAAAAAACGACAAUUAGAAAAAUCGAAUUCUCGACAUGAUCGACGAGUUAAAACAUAGCAAUUAAACAAAACUAUGAAUAAAACAAUUAGAUUCUGUUUGGUUGCUGAGAAAAUGAAGAGAAUAACAACCAAAAAGUCAACUGAAAUAAAAUUUUGCUCUAACUUCAACGAAUUCUCUUGAGUUUCUGAGCACCCAAACAGAAAAAAAAAAAUUAUAGGCAAUCAAACCAAACUCUCAUGCUCAAUUUUCUCGGCAACCGCAAAAAGAACUUAGAGGGGGGGGGGAGAGAGAGAGAGAGUUACUUGGAGCUCGGAGUAGGAUAUGGUGACUGGUGUGACGGUGGGGACGGCGGGGUCGGAGGACGGAGGCAUAGUUCGACAAUAAAUUUGGCGGGAAAGACGGCGGUUGGAGCGUGACGAUGGGGAAGAAUCCGUGGGAACGAAGAGCAAUUUUGGUGCGGAAGGAGGGUUUUUAUAUCGGAGGGAGGGAGGGAGGGAGGGAGGUUGAGAGCGAAAGGCGUGAUUGUCAAUUUCAAAUUUUUUUUUUUAGGAAUAAAGAAAGAAGAGAGGUUGAGUAUCAAUUCCCUUUCCCUCCAAACCAAAUAAUACAUUCACGUUCAUGAUGUGUGGCAAAAAAUUGAAGGUGGAGACGAAUAUAUUAAAGGGAUGUGCUAUCCACACACCUUUUUUACUUCUCACACACCAUUUGUUAAUUUCUGUCCGUUGAUCUUCUUCAUUUCAUCUGAUCUAACGAUCGAAAAUUAAAAGGGUGUGUGAGAAGUAAAAAGGGGUGUGUGGAUAUCACACCCCUAUAUUAAAUAGGUAUAAGUAUUAGUUAAAUUUAAAAUUAAUUGUGUACUAUUAAAAAUUUGUUUGAAAAUAUUUUUAUAAUAACUGAAAGCGUUUUUUAUUAAAAUGUUCUUUAAAUCAAUCCUUAGUAAAACCAAGUGGAUUCUAAAAAGUCAUUUGGAUUACUUUCUACAAAAAUCACAUAUCUUGAGCACUUGAAGCGCUUUUGGAACCCAAAAUUAAUUUAACAAAAGUGUGUCUAGUCUUUUUUAUUUUUGAACAAACGAUAUUAUCUACUUUAAGGGAGGGGAUGAGCUUAACCUCACAAUGGACUAUCAUAUUAAUAAUGUUCAAAUUCACCUUUAUUCAUUUUUAAAAGACUUUAAAACCAGCACUAAUUUGUAUUAAAUUCUAAAACUUUGAAUUGGGAUGUAAUAUGCAUUGGGUCUUUAAUAAUAUUUAAGUUGUUUCCGGCAAAAAAGAAAGGAUUCAAUUGGGAAAAAUAACAAAAUAUGAAAUAAGGAUAUUCUAAUUAAGGUUUUUAUUAAUUAUUUUAGGCGGAUGGUUCAUGUGAAGAUUAUGAAACGCUUUAAUUCUCUAACGUGCGAUUCCAUUUCGAUCCAAAGCUAAAUUUAUAAAUUUCUAAUUUUUACUUUCUAAUUUUUACAAAUUUCUUUUCAUAAGAGUAUAAAUUUAUAAAAUUUGGUUAAAGGAUCAAGAAGUUUAAUUAGAAGCAAUGGUUUUUGUUGUUUAAAAUUAGCAAGAGGUCCUAAGUUCGAAACGCUUUGGGCAUGUUUAUUUUUUUCAAUUUUAACAAAUUUUUGUUUGGUUGUUAAUUUAUUUUUAGUUACUAGCUAGUAGCUAUGUAGGUUGUUAUUUAAAUAUUCGUUUCAAUUCAAGUCCAAUCUUCAACAAUGAGUAAUACGUAAACCAAAUUUGUAGCGCAAAUUUGUAAAUUAUAUGACGUGUUAUCAAAAUAUUUAAUUUAAUGCUCAUUCAUUACUAAUACAUAUCAAUUAAGGACUCGAAAACAUCAUUAUUGUUUUUAGUCCCAUAUUGACAAGGUUAGUAAAUAAGAAAAAACACCUCAUGAUUUAUACAAAAACACUUUCAAAGUUCAAAUGGAAAACAAAACUCAUCGUCUAUCUACUUAUAAGCCCAGAGUUGUUUGGUUUUCUUCUCUCAAUACAAAAUAAAUUAGUCCUUUUGUGUUUCUAAAUUAUUGAGUUUGAAGUGCUUUUCUAAGUAUAAUUUUAUUAAUGUCUUACGUGUGAAAAUAAAUAAUUUUCUUAUAUGAAGUUAGGGCACUUUUUUUUGUGUCGUCCCGAGCCUCAAAAAUCUCUGGACCGGCCCUGGAUGUUAUGAGAAUAUGUGUGGUUGUCAAGCCCGACACGUGAAUAACAUGCUCUCUACUACUUUAUUACACUGUGAAGAUUUUAUCCAAAAUUAAUUGACGAUGAGCGAAUAAACUGAAAGAUUAUGCGCAACUUUGAUUAUGCAACGAGUGAAGAAGCAAUUUACACCAACCUCCAGUCAAGAAUUUGGGCUCACAAUCACUAGCCAAUAUGCUUUUUUCUCAUGCCUUAAGUUCAUAGUUCAAUAUUCUGGUGUCCGAUGACCCUGACACGACAAGUUCCACUUUUUGUUCAUUUUCUUGACGAAACCAUCACAUUUACCCUUACGGCACGGCACAGUUCCGGGCAUGGAGUAUGGAUUGGGUUCCGUUGCAGUCCCGACACUAUUUAGCACUGUAGAGAAGGAAAUACAAAGACAACUUUGGAUUUCUUACAACGUAUUGAGUCUCUCGUCAUGGCUCUUGCUGUGUUGUUCUUAUUUCACGUCCUGUUUCUCGAGCUUGGUGUUUCCGGUUGCAAAUUUUGGUUCGGCAGUGUAGUGCUCAGGAGAGGGGACUGUUUCACGUUGUUCCAGGCAGACAGAGGCGGUUGACAACGAUUGUGAUAAUGUGUUUUUCUACUGGGAGAACAUACAGCAGUCAUCAGUUAUCUUUUCACAACUGUCUUCAGUAUUUCGAGGCACCUCAAGAAAUUAUCAAGGACAAACGAAUGUAGAAAAGAAGAAAUAUCGAAGUUAGUUGACAAAGGGGACGAAAAAUUGUGAGAUACAGAGAAAAAGAAGAUAAGAAGAAACUCGAUGCAAAUUACUUGAGUCUAAAGUAGGAGGGGAAAUCGUACUAUUCAUAUGAACAGUGUUUUAGACCACAUUUCAGUUUAUUUACAAGAUUGCCACUCAGAUGCUUUUAGCUUUUAACGAAGAUGCCAUCAGUUCGAAUGAUGGGAAUGCCCGUAUGGGGUUAACAUCACACGGUUGGGGGUAAAAGUUGUGUUUGGAUCAAAACUUAACUUUGGGCCCAAGCAAAAGAAUGCCCAAAAGAAGGCCUGAAGGAAGAGUCGGCCGAAGCCCAGCCGAGACCCAGAAAAGCAGGAAAGGGCCUCCUCUGACUUGGUGCAGCUCAUGAAGACCACUUGCCCACCUACCCAAAGGUCAAGUGGUAUAGACUGACCAGCUACACAGCCCGUAAAGUACUUUAUGGUGGCAUUACAUGUAAAAAAACUGAUGAGUCAUCACCCUCAAACCGCAUUCGGGCAAGGCUGUUGCUACAGGAGGACAUGCUGGGUUGUCUAUAAAAAAAGAAAGAGAAAUCAGGAUUAAGGACACUCAAUCAAACAAACAAAUGCAAGCACAAACUCUGCUCAAAAGCUAGAUUUGCCUUCAAAACGAAGUUGUAGUCAGCCCAAGCCUUCAUCCCUCGCGGGAUAACCUUUCCUUCAAACCUUUGUAAUAGCUCUGCUACCUUGUUCAACCUUGUUGUAGUAUCGAUUCACCUUUUGUAAUCUUUCUCCCUCUCUCAAAACUUUCAGACCUUUAACAAAACUACAAAGAUAGGAGCCUGCAAGACGAGCAGCCUUGCCUGAUAAGGUUUAACCUUGCCCGACCUUCUAUGCUUUGUAUUUUUUGUCUUUUCAUUCAUUAAGCCUAGUAAUAUGUUGUAUGAUCCCAGUUAUAUGCAAGUUAUUUCUAGCAAGAUGACCAUUAAAAAGCUUUCUCAGUACAUAGACCCGAUUUGAAUAGAUCUUCAGUAUUCAAAUCAGAUCUAAGUCAUAAGCCCUCGGGCAUGUAUAUUUGAUCAGUUAAAAGUCCUUGGCCUCCAGGCAUAAAAAAGAACCUUAUGUGGACUUAACCCAUCCACAACAAUCCUUGAUAAACGAGAAGUCCAAAGUUACUUGGGGCGCAAGUAAUCGACCUACCAUUUAGUUUUAUUUCUAUUAUAUGAUGAUUAUCAUAGAACGUUUAUGCAUGGAAUGGAUUCUGAUAGGAAGCCUCAAGGCCUACACCUAAGGCCCCACAAAGGCACCUAUUUGGGUUCAUUCCGUUCUGCGGUCUAGAGCGUUCUGAGUAGAAAGAACAAAUUCUGAUAGGAAGCCUCAAGGCCUACACCUAAGGCCCCACAAAGGCACCUAUUUGGGUUCAUUCCGUUCUGCGGUCUAGAGCGUUCUGAGUAGAAAGAACAAAUUUCUGAUAGGAAGCCUCAAGGCCUACACCUAAGGCCCCACAAAGGCACCUAUUUGGGUUUGUUCUAUCUCUCGGACGCAGGUAAUCAGAAGUAUAAUAGUUAUAAAACUCCUGCAAUCAAUGGAAUAAGUAUUAUGUAUUCGAGUACUGGUUUAGUAACCGAUGGGAAGCCUCAAGGCCUACACCUAAGGCCCCACAAAGGCACCUAUCAUAACUAACCCGGUUCCUCGGGCACAUAUAUAUAUACAUACAACUAAAACUCGACAUCCAUUUCAUAUCUGCCAUGCUGAAGAUGGCAGUGGCACGCCUGAGUACCUAAAAGUUAAUUUUGAUUGUGAGCCUCAAGGCCUACACCUAAGGCCCCACAAAGGCACAUUUCAAAGUUAACUUUGUCCUUUUCUUUCAGCCUUGCCCGACGAGCCUUGCCGACGAGUCUUGCCCGAUAAAGAUUCGCCUGACGAGACUUGCCCGACAAAGCCCAACCGUGAAGCAGAAGCCCGACAGCAGCCCUCAACCGACGCAAAACCUCCAGGGGAGCUGUGCAUUUCGCCGACCAGGAUGGAAGAAUGGACAGCCUACUAAACCGAUGGGAGCCUACUAAACCGAUGGGAGCCUCUAUGAUCAGGAGAGUUCAAAGGCAGCACAAAGCCUACAUGAAUUCUCUGAAGACCCCCGCAACAUCUGAAGCCUCCCAGAAUAAAAAACUGGAGAAGACAUCAUCUGGGGGAAGUAAUCAGCUCCGCUGGAGAAGUAAGAAAGAGGUGGAAAAUGCCAGCAGCAAAAAAGAAGGUGUGGGGAAUCAUGUACCGCAGAACCAGCACCCUGGGAAGUAUAGGAUCUUGAGGAGAGCUCAAGAAGAUCUGAUCAUGGUGCCAACCCCUGGAUGGAAGCCAAAGCCUACUUGCGUUGGAGCUGUUUCAUCUGAAAGGAAACCACCUUCUCUGCCAUUGGUAGAUCCUUUUGGUGAAGUUCCAAAACAAACACUAUAUGCGGGCAUGAAUCAACAGCAACAGGAGGGGGCACCAGAACCACUACUUCCAGCCGAUGCCAUGGCCUGGUUGGAUGAGUUUAUGGACCAGAUUGGGAGCAAGAAAGAAGAUUUGCUCGAGCCUAGUAAUUUCCAUAUCAACAUGACAUACGUAUUAUCUGCCACGUUUGGUGCCCGACCUGAUCAGCCAGCUACUAUGGAAGGUGAUUACUUGACAACUGAGCCAAUGAUGGCACAUGUCAAUAUAGAGGAAGUCAAAGAAGGAGAAUCGGGCAAGGCUGAAACUUCUGAAGCAUCCAAAAGUGGUCCUUUAAGGAUUUAUACCGAUGAAAUGGUGUUCAGCCGCCCGAACAUCUCGCUAGCCAACCAUCUGAAGCCCAUAUACGUUACAGCUCACCUGGAAUGUGUGCCCUUCAAAAGAAUUUUAAUAGAUGGUGGAGCAGCUGUUAAUGUGUUACCAGCCAAGCAAAUGAAGAAAAUGGGAAGAGGAACGGAGGAUCUUAUUCCGACAGACCUCACGGUCUCUAGCUUCUCAGGCGCUAUCACCAAGACCCAUGGGAUAUUGCCUUUAGAAGUGGAUUUGGGGUCUAAGCAAAUCAUGCUGGCAUUCUUUGUGGUGGACUGCACCUCCACUUAUGGAGCCUUACUCGGAAGAGAUUGGAUCCACCAAAGUCUGGCCAUACCCUCCACUCUUCAUCAACAGGUAGCUGUUUACCAUGAGGCGGGCACAGAAGGACCAGGUUUUUGGGAGAUGGUGGAGGCCGAAUCAGGGCCAUUUCUCCCCACAGCCAACGUUGCGGAAACAAGUUUCUACAACCCCAACGUAGGAAUCUUGAAAUGUUCAGGAGCUGAUGAGAACGGCCGCCCUACCAAUGUGACGACCCAAAAGCUUUUGGAACAAGGAAUGCUCCUCACAAGAGAUGAGUGAGAUAGACCUUGUAUCAUCCCAAAUCCCCUACACCAUCAAUGACUGGACAGAAGAAAAAAGAUCAGGUAAUGGCAGUCAGAUCCCUGAUUAAAAGACUGUUGGUGUAUGAGAAUGGAAGAAGGCAAGAAAGAGAGCUCUUGGACAAGGAAGAGCAGGAAUAGCAGGUGGGAGAUACGAUCUAGACGGGCCAGAAGACCUGCCCGAGAGCCCGGAGUUGGUCGAGUUUUUGUGUGCAGAACCGGAUAAGCCACCACCAGAAGUCCAGGAUCCUCUGGAAGUUAUUGCUAGGAACAAAGGAGGAUCCGAGACCAAUACAAAUUAGUGGUUUAUUGGGGGUUGAUGAUCGGGCAAAGGUUGUCGAUCUGUUGCGAGAGUUCAAAGACUGUUUUGCUUGGCAUUAUACUGAGAUGCCAGGGUUAGAUUCAGCCUUGGUGGAACAUAGAAUGCCCAUCAAGGAGGGAUAUAAACCAGUUAAGCAAGCACCACGAAGGAUGUCAAAGGAGAUAGAAGAAAAUGUCAAAGAAGAGAUCGAAAGGCUAGUAAAAGCUGGCUUUAUCAGACCGGCCAAAUAUGUAGAGUGGUUAGCCAACAUUGUACCCGUUUUAAAAGCUAUAACAAAAGCAGUACGAUGUUGUGUUGAUUACAAAAAUCUUAAUAGUGCUACACCAAAAGAUGAGUAUCCUAUGCCCAUGGCCGAUCUAUCCAUAGAUGCAGUAGCAAAACAUAAAGUCUUAUCUUUUAUGGAUGGGAAUGCCGGGUAUAAUCAGAUAAAGAUGGCUUCAGAAGAUAUACAUAAAACAACAUUCAAGUGUCCCGGUCAUGUGGGGGUAUAUGAAUAUCUGGUCAUGCCAUUCGGGCUCAAGAAUGCUGGUGCCACCUACCAGAGGGCAAUGAAUGUCAUCUUUCACGAUCUGAUUGGCCAGAGUAUGAAAGUAUACAUUGAUGACAUCGUAGUGAAGUCUAAGACAGAAGAGCAGCAUUUGGAAGACCUCAGACAAGCAUUAACAAGGAUGAGGAUCCACAAAUUGAAGAUGAAUCCAAAGAAGUGCGUGUUUGGAGUGAGAGCAGGCAACUUCUUGGGAUUCCUGGUGCAUCAAAGAGGUGUAGAAGUAGACAAGAACAAGUCUCGGGCAAUAAUGGAGUCACCGUCACCCACCAACAAGGUACAACUCCAGAGGCUAUUGGGCAAAAUCAAUUUCUUGAGGAGAUUCAUUGCCAAUUUAGCGAGCAAGAUCCAGCCGUUGACUCCUUUAUUAAGACUGAAAGAUAAAGAAAACUUUGAGUGGGGACCACCACAUCAACAAGCCUUUGACAGCAUCAAGGUCUAUUUAACUUCUCCACCAGUGUUGGUGCCACCUCAAAGGGGAAAACCCUUAAAGCUGUAUAUUUCUGCCUUAGAGAAGUCAAUCGGGAGUUUGCUAGCCCAAAAUAAUGAAGGCGGGAAGGAGCAGGCAUCGUACUACCUCAGUAGGAUUCUGACCGAGGUAGAAACUAGAUAUUCCCCAGUGGAAAGAUUAUGCUUGGCUCUAUAUUUCACUGCCAGCAAGCUAAGGCAUUACAUGUUACCUUGUCACGUACACAUCAUCGCCAAGACAGAUGUGAUAAAGUACAUGUUGUCAAAGCCAAUGCUAACAGGGAGGAUUGGGAAGUGGAUUCUAGCAUUGUCAGAAUUCAGUUUCCAGUAUGUACCCCAGAGAGCGGUCAAAGGCCAAGCAAUUGCUGACUUCCUGGCCGAACAUCAAGAAUCUCAAGACGAAGUAAUCAAUAUCCCAGGAAGCCUGGAGGUCACUAGCAUUUGGAUCCCGCUAAGAGAAGAUAUCUCGGGCAAAGAAGAUUGGGUCCAGCAAGAGAUAAGAAGAGUGACUGGUCUCUGGAUCACUCCUUGGAGGUUAUAUUUUGAUGGAUCUCACACUCAGAAGGCUUAAGAAGCAGGGAUUGUGAUUAUAAACCCUCAUGGGGUCUAUCAUUAUUAUUCAUUCCUCCUAGACUACCAAGGAAAUACUAAUAAUCGGGCAGAGUAUGAAGCUUUGAUAAUUGGUCUGGAAAUCUUGAUGGAUCUGGGGGCAGUAGAGGUGGAGAUCUUUGGAGAUUCAGAGUUAGUAAUAAACCAGCUAAAUGGGGAGUUCAAGUGCAGACAUAUUACCAUGGCAGGAUAUUACUUGACGGCUACGCAAUUACUGAGUUUCUGGGAUUCUGAGAUAUCAGUCAAUCAUGUUCCCAGGGAAUCCAACUUAGCAGCCAACGAGAUGGCACAACUAGCCUCAGGAGUGCCAAUACAGGAGAGAAGAUAUGGGGUAGAUGUCGAGAUCCAAAGAAGGAACCUCCCUUCUAUCUUAGAAAGGGGAUUCAGCCUGGAUGUAAUAGCUCUAGAAACCGAAAUAGAAGAUUGGAGGUCCCCUAUCAUUCGUCAUUUGAAGGAUCCCUCUUCACCUACAAGCAAGAAGAAUAGACAGCAAGCAACCAAGUAUGUCUUGUGGGCGAAGAACUUGCUAAGGAAAACUCCAGAUGGAUUACUAUUGAAAUGCUUGGGCCAAGAAGAAUCCAUGAGGGUAAUGGCCGAAGUACAUGAAGGGGUAUGUGGAGCACAUCAGGCAGGAACUAAGAUGAGGUGGUUGCUUAGAAGAUAUGGUUAUUUCUGGCCCGACAUGGAAAAAGAUUGCAAGUCUUAUGCCAAAGGUUGUGAAGAAUGUCAACGGCACGGACCUCUCCAGCAUGUGCCCUCAGUACCUUUAAAUCCAGUAGUCAAGCCUUGGCCUUUCAGAGGAUGGGCAAUGGACUUCAUCGGGCAAAUCUAUCCAGCUUCUAGUAAAUGGCACACUUUCAUAAUUGUGGCAACGGAUUACUUCACCAAGUGGGUGGAAGCAUCAACAGUAAAAUCCAUAACUUCGGCCGAGGUCAAGAAUUUUAUCGAGACCAAGAUUCUGCACAGGUAUGGGGUGCCCGAAACUAUAGUAACGGAUCGUGGGCCAUCUUUUAUCUCAAAAGAAGUUGAGGAGUUUGCAAGCAAGUACAAAAUAAAGAUGAUCCAAUCCAGUCCAUACUACCCUCAAUCAAAUGGCCAAGCAGAGGCCAGCAACAAGAUCUUGGUCAACAUCAUCAAAAGAAUGGUGGUAGAUAGUCCAGAAAAGUGGCAUGAAAGGCUGGGGAACACUUUGUGGGCAUACAGAACUUCCAAGAGGGCAGGAACAGGGACAACUCCUUAUGCUUUAACUUUCGGGCAAGAUGCGGUACUCCCUAUGGAGAUCAAUGUAAGUUCGGUCAGAAUUCAGAACCAAUUUGGGUUACAUAGUGAAGAAUACAUCGAAGCCAUGUGUCAAGGAAUUGAAGACUUGGAUGUAGCCCGAAUUGAAGCCUUGAACCAGAUUCAAGAAGGAAAGAAAGUUGUUGCCCGAGCUUAUAACAAGAAGGUGAAGAUAAAGUCUUUCAAAGAAGGAGAUUUAGUGUGGAAAACAGUCAUCCCGCUAGGAGCUCAGCUCAGGGGCUUUGGAAAGUGGAGCCCGACAUGGGAAGGUCCUUUCAUUAUUAGUCGAGUUUUGAAUAAAGGAGGAUACUACCUAGCAUACCUCGAAGGAAAUGGGCAGAAACAUCCCAUUAAUGUUAAAUUCUUAAAGAAAUACUGUCCUACAUUAUGGGAUGUUAGAGAUUGUUACAUUGAAGAGGGGGCAAAGUAAAGCAGGCGUCGGGAGUUUCAUAUGCAGUGUUUGUUCAUCAACCAUUCAAAGAAAACAAAAAGACAAAAGUUGCUGAAAUAAUUUUUAUUUCAUGUCGACAAAUUGGUGAAAUUAACAAAAGAUUCAAUUUCUACAUAUUACAUUUGAUUCUCUCUAAGUAUAGUGAUUUCUUCAGCUGGUUUUCCGAUGUCUUCAUGGAUGGAACCCGAUCAGGUGAUCGGGUUGUGCGGCCAACAUAUGCUUGGUAGAGGAUCAUCCGACAGAGCCACCACCAUAUGUGAUGGUGAAGCCUGACUUAUGACGGCAGCAAGCAGGAAAUCAAGCCUUCGUGAAGAACUCGCCUGACCAAGGGUGUUGGGGAUAGCAGGGUGUUCGACCAAUGGUGUUGGAGAUAGCAGUCAUUUGAUGAAACCCCCUUUUUUCUCACGAAAAGGGAGUUUUAGGAAACUCCACUCAAAAUCUGAAGAACCCAUUUCUCAGUUUUUUUUUUUCCGAGGAAGAUUAGAUGGUUUUGACAGGAGGGGUUCCAAGCCAGAAUUUAUAGGACCCAGAGGACAGUUCAAAGGUCGUGGGAAGAUCAAGAGACUCCGGGUGCCAUUAAUUUCAUCCAAAAAACACAAGUUCCAAGGGCAAAGAUGCAGCCGCAUGAAGAACUUUUCAAUUAAUAUUGGCGCCUGGAAUUCCAGGCUAAAUAUCAAUUGAAGGGGGCACUGUUUGGAUCAAAACUUAACUUUGGGCCCAAGCAAAGAAGGCCCAAAAGAAGGCCUGAAGGAAGAGUCGGCCGAAGCCCAGCCGAGACCUAGAAAAGCAGGAAAGGGUCUCCUCUGACUUGGUGCAGCUCAUGAAGACCACUUGCCCACCUACCCAAAGGUCAAGUGGUAUAGACUGACCAGCUACACAGCCCAUAAAGUACUUUAUGGUGGCAUUACAUGUAAAAAAGCUGAUGAGUCAUCACCCUCAAACCACAUUCGGGCAAGGCUGUUGCUACAGGAGGACAUGCUGGGUUGUCUAUAAAAGAAGAAAGAGAAAUCAGGAUUAAGGACACUCAAUCAAACAAACAAAUGCAAGCACAAACUCUGCUCAAAAGCCAUAUUUGCCUUCAAAACGAAGCUGUAGUCAGCCCAAGCCUUCAUCCAUCGCGGGAUAACCUUUCCUUCAAACCUUUGUAAUAGCUCUGCUACCUUGUUCAACCUUGUUGUAGUAUCGAUUCACCUUUUGUAAUCUCUCUCCCUCUCUCAAAACUUUCAGACCUUUAACAAAACUACAAAGAUAGGAGCCUGCAAGACGAGCAGCCUUGCCUGAUAAGGUUUAACCUUGCCUGACCUUCUAUGCUUUGUAUUUUUUGUCUUUUCAUUCAUUAAGCCUAGUAAUAUGUUGUAUGAUCCCAGUUAUAUGCAAGUUAUUUCUAGCAAGAUGACCAUUAAAAAGCUUUCUCAGUACAUAGACCCGAUUUGAAUAGAUCUUCAGUAUUCAAAUCAGAUCUAAGUCCUAAGCCCUCGGGCAUGCAUAUUUGAUCAGUUAAAAGUCCUUGGCCUCAAGGCAUAAAAAAGAACCUUAUGUGGACUUAACCCAUCCACGACAAUCCUUGAUAAACGAGAAGUCCAAAGUUACUUGGGGCGCAAGUAAUCGACCUACCACUUAGUUUUAUUUCUAUUAUAUGAUGAUUAUCAUAGAACGUUUAUGCAUGGAAUGGAUUCUGAUAGGAAGCCUCAAGGCCUACACCUAAGGCCCCACAAAAGCACCUAUUUGGGUUCAUUCCGUUCUGCGAUCUAGAGCGUUCUGAGUAGAAAGAACAAAUUCUGAUAGAAAGCCUCAAGGCCUACACCUAAGGCCCCACAAAGGCACAUAUUUGGGUUUGUUCUAUCUCUCGGACGCAGGUAAUCAGAAGUAUAAUAGUUAUAAAACUCCUGCAAUCAAUGGAAUAAGUAUUAUGUAUUCGAGUACUGGUUUAGUAACCGAUGGGAAGCCUCAAGGCCUACACCUAAGGCCCCACAAAGGCACCUAUCAUAACUAACCCGGUUCCUCGGGCACAUAUAUAUAUACAUACAACUAAAACUCGACAUCCAUUUCAUAUCUGCCAUGCUGAAGAUGGCAGUGGCACGCCUGAGCACCUAAAAGUUAAUUUUGAUUGUGAGCCUCAAGGCCUACACCUAAGGCCCCACAAAGGCACAUUUCAAAGUUAACUUUGUCCUUCUCUUUCAGCCUUGCCCGACGAGCCUUGCCCGACGAGUCUUGCCCGAUAAAGAUUCGCCUGACGAAACUUGCCCGACAGAGCCCAACCGUGAAGCAGAAGCCCGACAGCAGCCCUCAACCGACGCCAAACCUCCAGGGGAGCUGUGCAUCUCGCCGACCAGGAAACUUGCCCGACGGGAAUUCCUGAAGCGAACAAGUUAGGUGGGCAUUGUUGUCAGUUAGGGUUGCAUUCGGUGGGAUCGAUGGCUCGGUGUGGGAUUUGGUGGGAAUGCAUGUUGCUUGCAAAGAGGAGGAGAGAGGGAAUGAGGGAGGGGGAGGGAGAGAUAUGGGUUUGGUGAGGGGAAGGCAUGCGACUUGCAGAGAGGAGUGAGGGAGAGAGGAUGAGAGAGGGAAUGAGGGAAGGGGAGGGAGAGAGAGAGGGGUUUGGUGAGGGGAAGGCAUGCGACUUGCAGAGAGGAAGGAGGGAGAGAGUUGGAGAGAGAGGGAAGGAUGGAGGGGGAGGGAGAGAGAGAGGGGUUUGGUGAGGGGAAGGCAUGCGACUUGUAGAGGGACGGAGCGAAGCUUAAAAGCAACUGCAAAAAGUUCAAUGGACAGGGUCGCAGCAAUGGAGACACCUCGCUCUGAACCAUUUCCCCUCUCCUCAGGCGAAUGCUGAACAAAGUUUUGAAGGAACAAAAAGAAGAAGAGCUACACAUAAUAGAAUCCGAUUUGCAAGGAAAAGAAGAAAGCCAGCUUUUCAAUGAAAAAGCUAAAAUCAAUCCCUUCAACCUCCUCAUCGGCAGCGGCACCCACGACCACCAGGUUCACUUUUAAUUUAAUUUUAAUUUUAAUUUUUUGCUUUUUUAGUGGAUUAAAGAAUAUGAAACGAAUUAUAAUUUAAAAUGGGGAAAUUUUGUUGAUUUUUGCGUUCAGUGUUCUGACUUUUGAGUGAUCAUCGAGCUGUGAUGGGUUGGUGUUGGAUUUGAUUCAAUUGAGGUAAAAGCUCUGCAUGAUUGUGAUACGGAGAAAAUGCUAGAAUCUUACCUUCGAUCCAAAUAUCUGAUUUUUGUUACAAUUGCUAUUUUCAUUGCAGGAAAAUGUGGCGGAGACAAUAAUUCCCAAAUCCUCGAGUUUUAUAAAUGCAUUCCAAUUGAUAGCCAUGUCAAAUGAUCUCGAUUUGUCAGGUAUGUUCGAGGAACAGGCAAGUUUACAAGAAAUAGAUUUACUAAAAUAACUAAUCCUACUUUUUUAGCUUAUAACGAAUAAUGUUGAACUGUUAACUUAAUUUAGGAUGAGAAAUAGAAGACAACAAGAAUUGGACCCAAGCAUACCAUUACUGAAACCAUGAAGAAAAUAGAAGCGGCUGCAACAGAUGCGAGUAUUCUGUAGCAAGAACAAACAACUUCAGGGUACAUGAAACUUAUAUUCAAUCGUACUUCUUUAUCUGCUUAUCAAAGUUCCUUCCUGCCAACUAAUGAUGUAUUAUUUUUUCAUCAGAUGUAAAUGCAUGCAAAAAUUCCAAUGGAAACGUAAAUCACCAUAUCCAGGUAAAUCCGAAUUGUAGAUCAGACUUAUAUUACAAUUUGCUUUCUUUGUGAAAUUUUAUUGUAAUCUCUGGCUUUUGAAAUUCUAUAUGAAAUUGUGAAUGUCAUUCGGAAUCAAGUCUGGCCGAGUUCUUUACUAAAUAGUGCGAAAAUAUGCAUGAUGAAACUAAAUUACUUUUGUAUCAUCUAUAUUUACCUGUUAUCAUAACAGGAUUUAAAAUAUAGAAACAUACUGCUUAAUGUAUAAUUGAGUGAAAUGCUAGUUUACAUAGAUAUUGUGCUUAUUUGUUUUAGGUGGAUUACCAAAAGGAGCUCAUCAAGUAUUCUGCGAGCACGAUCGACCUUGAUCAUUUGGAUAUUUAAAGGAGCCAUUGAUAAAGGGAAGACGACGAGUUGUGAACCUGUGUGCCAAUUUUGCCAAUUUUGCAGACAAGCAGAAACUCUGGCACUUGCCUCUGUCCUAUCCUCCUCUCGCCGCCGUCUCCCUUCUCUCACCUCCGUCGUCUUACUCCUCCUUUCUCUGUCUCUGGAAUCCUAUCGUCAUCUUCCUCGCAUGCAAGGCUCUGGCCCUUUCAAUUGAAACCAAAACGUGUUUCAGGUGCCUAACACAACCUCUCACUACUCACUCACAUCAGUUGGUUUUUGUAAUUUGAACUUUUUUUUCUAAUAAAUUUGUAUGCUUUCUGGAUUUUUAUGGCAGUUUUGGACCUUAUCUUUUCUGAAUUUGUGUGCUUCUCUGGGUUUUUUAAUGGCAGUUCUGAGGAAGAGCAAGAAAAAGGAAGAACCAGUAUUAGAAGAUCUUCCCAAAGAGUACUGUGAUGAUGUGAGUGCCUUUAUUCUUUAACUUGGCCAAAUGGGUGCUCAAAUUUCACGUUUUUCUGUGAUUAUACGAGUAAAUUUAUGUUUUUUGUUUUUGGGUUUUGCCAAAUUCAAUGGUGGUAUUUAUGGGUUUGGUAUUGAUUUUCAGAUUAACAAUGACUUUGGGGAAAUUGAUUGAGUCUGCAUUCAAUGUAACUUUUCAUGCAGUUACAUACUGAUGAAAUAGAAUUCAAUUUUUUCAUUCCUUUUUUUUUAAAUGCAGUUACAUUUAUAUGAUGAUUUACAGCAUAUAUUUAUCUUUUAGAUUCUAAUUCUUCAUGCAGUCUAAGCCAUGAAGGAUUUGAUAAACCCACAAUUGAUAACAAUGUGCGGCGGCACCAACGGUUUUGGACAAGGAACAAGUAAGUACCAUUUUGUUUCAUUGUUUCAAAGUAUUAUGUAGAGAUUGCUUUAAUAUCUUGGCUUCUUUGCUGUUUGUGGGGUGUAUGAGAUAGGAUUUAGGAGAUCUGGUUUAGAUUUUGCAAAGAGAGUGUGUCCGAGAGAAAUGUGGGAGGAUUUAGGCGAGGGAUUUCAGGGAUUUGUUUAGGGUUUCUUUUCUGCGAUUUGCAGACAGAGAGAUGGGACAAGGGUGAGAGAGAGAUGGGAGGAUUUUCUGCGAGGGUAGAGGGAACGGGUAAGGGAGGUAUGGGUAUGGGUAGGGGAUGGAAAAACAUUUCGUUUUCCAUUUGCUUCCUCAAACCCGAGGGAUUGCUGCAAUUGCAGAGAGAGAUGGGGGUGUUCGUUAGGUCCCCUUUCAGUGUCACAUUUGUGCUUUGUCCACCCUUGAUUGUUGUGUGAUUCAUUCUCACGAACGUUCUAUGCACAAGGUUUCAUGUUAUUCCUUCCUUUUAAUUUUGAUAUUAUUGUGCUUAAUUUCUAUUUUAUUUUAUUGGGUGAUUAGAUUAACAGACUUUGGAUAUUUGGUAUAAUAAUUUCACAUCACGUGUUGCCCUUUUGCAUCACCUUAAUUGUUCAUCAGAUGCUAACUUUUAAUUAUGUUUUCUUUGGGUCAGUCUCCAUCUGGUACAUGUGUCCAUCCUUCUGGAGUGGAGCACUAUCUUUCUGACAGCAUAAAUGCUCUGAGAAGCUACUAUGGAGACAAGCAGUUGUUUACUCCGUUCUAGGUAUGUUUUUCUUUAGUAUUUUAGAGGGAUUCUUAACUAUUCCCCAUUGUAAUCUUUACCUUUGUAUCUAUCUCUCUCAAAAGACGAUGAGAGUAGCAACUGUUGCAAAGCAAAUUCUCAGAUGUAUAUAAGCAUAUACAUACAUUGGACAAAAACCGAAUCUUAAAUUGGGGCAGUGAGUUCUGCAACAUCUUGGUGCUGCAUAUAUUCUCACACUUUUAAAAGUUGUAUUUCUCAUAUACAUUGGGAAUUUUAAUUAGUUUUAUUUCAUUUUUGUAGGGCAAUUUAGUAGAUAUUUAGACAUAAAAGAAGAUGCGUGAAUCAAUACAAUUAACCUAAUAGUGAUUUGGUUCAGCGUAAAGACCAUUGCUAGGGCACUCAAGCCAUUUUCUUAAUUUAUGCGCAUAUAUAUUAUACGUAACCAGAACAUGUUUCCAAAGGAUGUUAGUUAGUGUUCAUGCUCUGCUGAUAUUUUAUUCUGUUCAUUUUGAUUUUGUUUUUCAGUUGUGGUUAUAGGAUUGUUUUGUCUCUCUUUUUUUCUUUUUUGUUUUCCCUCGUACAACUUUUCUAAAAUUGAACUGUAGUUCUCAAUUUGGUUCUUUGAACCGAGGCCAAUUGGGCUGUGCCUUUGGAAGGUCUCACUGCUAUUAAAGUUGAAUGGUGCUAACUGAAUAUAAUGCGUUCAUUCUUCGGUGUGUGUGAGUGUAUGUGUAUGCAGUCUAUGCGAGUGCAUGCAGUGCGGUUAGGUUCAUUCCCGCAUGGGUUUUCGUCUUUUUUUCGUUAAAUGGUUAGGUUCAUUCCCGUAUGGGAGAGGUGUGUUUUUGCCAUCAAAUUGGUAGAGACUGAUCUUAAUCAAAUAUCAUGCCAUAGUGUUAUUUUGUUUGCAUCUAUGGAACUAUAUAUUUACUUCGUUGUUGUUGACAGCUUCGCAUGUUCCUUCCAGAUAAUGCUGCCUUUUUGGAUUUCGUAUGAGUGUCCCGGGUCGGUUCUGGACCAACAAAAGAGGGAUGAUCGCUGUCAUUCGGACUGCAGGCGUCCACUUCAAAAUCCCGGUAAACACAUCCUUUUCUUGAUUUCAGGCCAUGCAAAAUUCAUGGUGAAAAAACUGAGCUCAUGUCGUUGGUUUGUGCCUCUGUCCUAUUUCUUAUUUAUUUAUUUAUUUUAUCAAUCCUUUUCCUUCUUGGUUCUAUUUGUUGCUGCUGGUUCCGAUAUUUCAUUGCCCUAUGUGUGCAUGAUAUCAGUGCUGCCACUUUUCAUAUUCUUAUCAAUGCUUACAUCUUCACUCUUUUCCUUCUGUUUCUUUUGCUUAACAUGGUUUCGGCUUUUUGAGAUUGUGUGUUUGAUUAACAUUUGAUCGUAUGGUGUUAGAUUUUAAAUUUGAUGUGAAUAAAUUCUGCCAGCGGGGAUUUUGGUCUCUGGAUUUUUCAUGGUGUAAUUUUUAUGGCAUGAUCCAUUGGUGUUGUGUGCAUUUUUAUCAACAAUAAUAAGCUUUUUCUCAGCAUUGCAAACAAGUUUUCUUAUAACUAAGAGACGAGUGCAUGGUGCAUGUGUCUUAAUUUAUUCAGGUUAAAUAUAUCUUAUUUAUGCAGUUAAGGUGGGUGCAUUCAAGUCCCGCAGCAACACGCGGGCAUAUUUUCUCGUUGAGACUAAAGGAGGUCUUAACGCCAAAUACUGUUCUGUAUAUUUACGAAUGGUUUAAAGUUUGGGUUUAAUUGGAUAAUCAGAGAGUAGUGCGUCAGACUAUGGAUAUUCAGAAACUGAAAGCAUAAUUCAUAUUCUUCUAACAAGUCCACGCAAAUAACCACAAUCACAAUGUUAUUUAUAACUGGCCAUGUAGAACGCAGUACAAAAGCACUAAAAGCGUCCAAGUGAAAGUACUUUCUUCUCAUGUAGUUUCAUUUAACUUAGUUUUGACAUGCCAAUCAGUCACACACUCAAGUCCUGAACGUUCGGGCUCAAUGGCUCCAAGAGAGCUUCCACUUCACUCUGAUUCACCUCCUCUAACCUUGACAGGUUCCACUUCGGAUUCUGCAUUGACAAGAAACCGAAGCCAAAGAUAAAGAUCCGUUCUGAUAUACAGAAAGUAAGAUGAUUAUAUAACUGUAGGUCUUGUAGAGGCGAUCUUAUAGCAACUCAGUCCACAAAGACGAUCUUAUAGCAAGGCGAUAUUAUCACAUCAGUCAACUUUUGUUGGUCAAGUAAAGCACAUGUUACUCACAGAAAAUGUGAAAUACUACAAAACAAAACCUAUCAAAAGGAUGCAACCAUGUGAUGAAAGAAACGAAAAGGUACGAAGUCCAGACUCACUGGAUAAUUCAUAAUUGGUUGUCAUUUUUCCCAAGCGCAGAUGCCAACUUUGGAGAAGUAAUUUUUUGUCAAAUAAAGUGAAAAAGGAGCACCCUCUCCAAGACCUUGAAGAGCUUUGUUAGCCCACUCCACUGCAAUAGAAACAAUUUGGUCGAAAAUACUUGACAGUGACAUACAAGCCUCUCAAUAGAAGAGUACGACAAACUUACCAGUAGCAUCUGAACUCAGCUGCUGCUUUUUAAGUUCAUCAAUUGUCUCAAGAACCGACUUAUUUACACCAAAUGCUGAAGUUAUUUGAGGCAAAAGCCUCUUGAGUUGCGUUCCAGAAUCUGGGUUGCUGCUGAAUUUGGCCACAGUUGUUUCAAUGUUCUGAAGGGGAUCCUGGGAACUGCAUCAACAAUGGAGUUGCUUUUAUCUCAACAAACGCAUUAGACAAUGUGAUGAUGCCAACUAAAGCAUCGGAAACGCAUAGCAAGAACAGUGCUCUGAAAUUUGAAAAGCCACUGCAAUGUAAUUGACAACAUUGACAAUCUCUGUCUGACAAGGCAAUAGUACCUCUGCAAUGAUCCGGUAGCGACCGGUGACCUGAUAGGCCAAUACCAAAGCCCACUGUUAUGUCACCCAUGAAGCUUAUAUAGGGCUUCUUGCACAGAGAUUUUGCAUAUUAGAGAAUACUCAGCAGUGGAUACCUGAAAAACCUGCAGCACAGAUAUCAUAUCGCUAGCCUCUGAAUCUUGAGAAUACUAUAAAUGGUAGCUUAUAAAAGAAAUGAAUCCUAUCCAACCAAUACAUAUCAUACUACCCAAGUCAAAGCAAAAUCAAGACUAACAAAUGAUCAGAUGUUGUAGGUUGCCCGAGAAUGCCAAACAUGAAAUUACAAAAGGAAAAAUCGUAUGUGUUGGACAUUAGUAAAUAAAUGAUGAAAGCACAAUCUUAGCAAUUAAAGAAAUGUUGAAAUUUUACAUGGGUUUUUGUAAUGUUGAAAUGUUUCCGGAUGCAAUAUGUCUUCAAAAUUCAAAACAAUUACUUACUGGAAAAUCAUAAGAAUCUGAAAGAAGUAUGAAAUGUUGACUUGCUGAUGAUGAAGCUGGAGGUAAUCUGUAGUCCAGGAGCUCAGAAUGUGAUGAUGAGGAUGAGUCUGAUGAUGACAAUGCAACACGACCUUGAUCGUGUCUCACCAUAGAACCGAUCUGGGUGUGACUUAAUCUUGACAGAAGAUGCUUUCACUUCAAAAUUUUUGCCUUUUCCCCUUUCUGUCAUCUGUAGUAAUUCUCAUUUGAUUACUGGGAUUACUAUUAUCAGAUGAUUCAUGGCUUGGUUCUGCCUCAUCAUAGAACCAAGCUGGAUGUGGGUCAGAAACAUAACCAGCACUAUUCAUAGCAAGCAUAUUUUCUUUCAUUGGCUUAUCCCACGCUAGAUUAACUCCUGUUCUCUUAACAGUAAAUAAAUAAUAAGGAUCCACACUUACAAAAGGUUCUUCAAAAAUUAUAUCAACUUUAUCCCCGCCUUGCAAAUUGAGCUUAUCGUUCGAUAGUUGUCCUAGCCAAAUAUAAUCAGGUUCAGGCAUGUCGUCUAUUUCUUCUCCGUCUAUUUCUUCUCCGCGUAUGGCUAUGCAGGCUCGCAACUCAGUACGCUUGGUGUGAUUUAUAACAGUAAUGUGAAGAGAAUAAUAAUUAUUUUUUGAGUGGUAAAAGCAGAAUAGAGUCAGGCCUUUAAAAUUACGAACACUCCGGGGAAUAUCAAAACUGACUUUAUUGCCAUUGUUGACAAACUCAAACCAACCAGGAACAUAAUUCCCAUGGAAGAAAAUGCCACCAAAUCCGCAAGAAGUCCAUCCCUAUAUAAACAAUGCAAGUGUCAUAUAUAUACAUGUACAUGUGCGUUUGUGCGUGCAUGCGCACGAUAGGAAGGCAAUUAAAAGAAAGAGGGAGAGAUACCUGUAGGAUGUUCUUCUUAAAAUUAUCUGUGAGAUUGGUGCACCUUUUCAUAUCAAUCAAUGUCAUGGAGGAUAAUGACUUAUCCAAGCCUGGAACCUCAGUGAGUUUGGACGAAUCACUUAAAUUCAGUUUUCUCAUCUUUGACAUUUCCGAAAAAUUGGGCAUUAUUUUCAAUGUAGGGCAACCAGGUGCCUUCAAGACUUCCAAAUUUGUUGGUAAAUUGGGGAUUGUAUGAAGAUUUCUGCAUUUACUGAGCUUCAGAGUUUCAAGCUUUGAAAGAUCAUUGAGGCUCGGUAGGCUACAAAAAGAAUUCCCUUUAAGAUUCAAAUCUUGUAAGGAAAUUAGACUCCCAAGAUCCUUAGGGAUUUUAUUAUCAUCUAAUUUGCACCAUGAGAGAUCUAACCGAGUGAGAUUGUUCAAUCUUACUAUGGAAGGUGGUACUCGUUUUAUGGCUGUGGAAUCUGCAUCAAGUAUUUUCAAUGAUAUCAUCUUCCCUAAAUCCUUAUGCAGUUUUUUGAAAUUUGAACAGAACGAAAGAAAAAGAGUCUCAACAGAUUUCGACUUAUAGAAAUCCCCUGGAAGAAAAAUAAGAUUGUCACAGAAUCUAAGGUUCACCAAAGAAAGUCUUUUAAGAUAACCAAUAGAGGGGUGAAUUCCGGACAAUUUAUUGCAGUAUUCCAAUAUCAACUCUUCAAGAUUUGGGACUUGUGAAAAGUCUGGUGAUUUAAUUAGGUCACUAGAAAAACUGAGAUCAAUGAUCUUCAACUUCUGGAGCGAGAGCGACUAAUGCACAAAACCAAAGAAAAAUUGAAAUUAAUAUCCAAAAAGAAAAUCUUAUAAAAAAGAAGGAAUCCAAAAACAAAUAGAAACAGAACAUUAUGACGUGUAAUUGAUUAUACCUUGGAACCCUGCCAAAACUGUACCAAUUUACUAUCGUGCAUCUGUAUAGCAACUAGUUUCUCUUGAUUUAAAAAGUCAUCUGGUAUGGACUGUAAAGGGAAUUUACUCCAACAGAACCAUAUUAACUCUUUGGGAAGAUGUUCGUAUUUUCCAUUGAGCUUAUUAGCGUAGUCGAGCCGAAGUAAUCUCAGUUUCUUCAUAUUGGCAAAUGCUUCUGUACUGAAACUAGUCUUGUCAGAGCUUGGUAACCCGGGAUAAGGGAUAUCUAGAGCAAGUCCUUCAACUUCUUCAGUUCCCUGUUAAAAAAAAAAAAAAAAAGUUUAAGUAAGAAAUAGAUUAUUUGCAUAUGUUUACAUGAUUUUGCAUAAUGAAUUAUACUUGCAUUCCCCCUUUGGGGUGACAAGCUCAUUCUGCCGCUUGCAAAUAACAUUUCUUAAUCGUACAAAUUUUCAUUGUGGAACCAUUCAAUUUCUUACUCUUAUAAUCAUUACAAAAAAUUUGAAUCAGAGAUCACUUAAUUUAGACAUCCAAAUGUAUCAAUAAAUGGAUAAUUCAUUAUUGAUAUGUUACUUAGGCAAAAUCACGUACUAUGAAUAAAUGCGAGUACUAUUGUUGGCUAAUUGAGCUUUCCUUGUGCAACUAACAUAUAUACACAUGAAUGUUGUCUAAUGUAUAAUAGACAUUUUGUUAAAGAAAAAAUGUAUAAUAGACAUACGUGGGUUAUAUAUGCUUUUCCUGUACAAUGCAUUAAUCCAAAAUUUUAUUGGGAAUAUACUUACAAAUUUAUUUGUUAAUACAUUGGUGACCUCUCGAGAAUUCCACAACCUGCUCCAUUUUCCAGGGUGACCGGGGGACUUUUCAGAAAUGAUUACUCUGGCCAUUUCUCGAAGCAAAUCAUGCAUAUACAAUAUGUUGCGUUCAACAGUUACAAGGCAUCGUUCACAGAGGACACUGAUUUCUAUUGUUGCAAAAAAUUCACAUCCAUCUAAUACUUUUGCGACAUAGUCCUUUUCCCAUCCAAUAAAGAAACAAGAUAUGUCAAGGAAAGUAGCCUUUUGUGUACGAUCCAGCUUUUCAAAGCUUACUCUUAGCGGUUUCAUUAUUCCUUCAUGAGGAAUUUUUUUUAAUUUCUCCAACUGACUUUUCCACUCUGUUGGGACUCUUUCAAUCAUAGAAGAACCUAAAACUUCAAGGGCUAGUGGCAAACCACCACAGUGAGAAACAACCUCUUUUGAGAGUUCAAGAUAUCCUUCAUUAGGACAACUAUUUCCAAAGGCAUGCCAACUAAAGAGUUUCAAAGCUUCUUCUUCAUUCAUUUCCUUAAGCGGAUAUGUCUCGUCCACUUUCAUGUUCACUUGCUUUAGUAAACGAUCAUCUCGUGUCGUUAUGAUAAUUCUACUUCCUAGGCCAAACCAAUCACGAUUUCCAGCUAUUGCAUUUAGUUGUUCCACUUUGUCUACAUUGUCAAUAAUGACAAGUACUCUUCUACUUUGGAGAUGAUGUUUUAUCAGACUGAUACCUUCAUCAACACUGGUUAUCUCACGCUUGUUCUGUUUCAAGAUGUUAGAAACAAGUUGUUCUUGCGAAACAACCAGAUCUUUUUCACUAACGUUGUUAAGGAAACUUUUGAAUUGGAACUCAUGAUGAAUUUUGUUAUAAAUGGCUUUGGCAGCUGUUGUUUUACCCAAUCCACCCAUCCCCCAAAUUCCAACCAUGCGAACAACAUUUGAUCCACCAUUUGAAAGAAAAGUGAUGAUAUCUUGAAUGCGAGUAUAUAUUCCAACUGGGUGCUUGGCCACAUGUAAACUUUCUGCGCUCGGAAGCCAUUCCGGGAUAAUCUUGUUAACAAUUUCUCUAAUAAGCUUUGCUUCGCACCUGAAAAAUUGAAUUGGUAAGCUUAGUAAGUAGGCUCAGUAUGAGCUAUUAGUAUAUUUCCUUGUUUCCUUCGCGCGCGUGUGUGCACACAAACUAUCUACUAUAGCUAGUAUGUGAUUUUGGGACCAACGUCAAUAAAAGAAACAAAUUCAUUCAUGGAUAUAUUAAAGUUUGGUGUAUCAAUUAAACUCCAAUUAUGGUUUAGGUUUUACAGGAAAUUGGAGAAAUGGUCCCUGAACUAUGAUUGAACUGUAGCUUUGGUUCUUAAACUAAAAAAUUCAAUAAAUCUUGUCCUUGAACUUAACAAAAUAUGGAGCAUUCAUCCCUCCAUGUUAACACCGUAAGAUUUUCUGUUAAUUUGAUGACGUCAUCUUUGUGGGCUCUAUAUUUUUGUUUACUAGAUGCCACGUGGCUUGAAAAUUCAAAAUAAAAGAAAAUAAAUACAAACAUAGAGAAAGAAAAAGAAAAAAAAAAUAUUUCAAUUAUAAAAGUUAACUCUCUCCAAUCCUCCCUUCCGCCUCCCCUCCUCCAAACCCCAGCCACACCAUUGUAGCACUUUCCCAACAGCAAAAACAAAGAAAGUUUAUAAUCCAAAUUUGGAACACAUCUCCCUUUGCAAACAAAUUCACAAUGACAUCCAUCCACGUUGUCUCGACAGGUAAGAUUCAAGAAAUUUGUGAGAUGUGGGUUUGGGUGACGGCUGUGGUCCAUGGGCUACAGGUUGGGGCCGGCUGGGGAGUGGGGAUUAGGGAUUUGGGGUUGGAAGUGGGAGGUUGACGGGUGUGAAUCAAAGAUUGAAGGUGAAGGGGUGGGCUGCGAGCCUGCGAGUGUUGGUGGGAUGAGGUACGCCUGCAAUUAUAUAUAUAUAUAUAUAGUAGACACUUUUAACUAAAAUUUAAAGGAAUUGGUUACGAAGGACUAAUGCUCCAUAUUUUAUCAAGUUCAAGGACAAAAUAUAAUGAAUUUUUAAUUUAGGAACCAAAGCUACAAUUUUCCUCAAGAUUUUAUAUGAGAGAUUAAGGUGUAUUAAUUAAGCAUGUUAAUUAGAGUAAUACAACUUAAAUAUUGAAAAGCACAAUGAUUACCUGCAAUUAUAUAUAUAUAUAUAUAUAUAUAUAUAUAGUAGACACUUUUAACUAAAAUUUAAAGGAAUUGGUUACGAAGGACUAACGCUCCAUAUUUUAUCAAGUUCAAGGACAAAAUAUAAUGAAUUUUUAAUUUAGGAACCAAAGCUACAAUUUUCCUCUAGAUUUUAUAUGAGAGAUUAAGGUGUAUUAAUUAAGCAUGUUAAUUAGAGUAAUACAACUUAAAUAUUGAAAAGCACAAUGAUUACCUCUUAUCAGUGAUUUGAAGAUGGUAGCCAGACAAAUUUGCAGCUUUUGUAAGAACCUCUCCCCACUGCUUUAUCCCUUCUUGUUUAGCUUCACGUUUCUUGUCAUCCUUUUCUUCACCGAUGCCCUCUUCGUGCUUCUGAAAUUCUUCAGCCAACUCUGCAGCUUCUCUAAGAGCCUCUGUCCACUGCUUUACCCUUUCUCGUUUUUCUUCACGUUUCUUGUCAUCUUUUUCUUUACUGAUGUUCUCUUCGUGUUUCUUAAAUGCUUGGGCCAAAACUCCAUUCUGCUUCCUGACAUGUGAAGGAUCAACGUGAUAGAAUAUUGGCAAAACAUGUCGCCCCAAUUUGUCUCUGCACUCCAUGAUCUUCACCAGCUCGUUAAGACACCAACUCGAAUCCGCAUACCUCUCUGAGAAGACAAUGAUAUAGAUCUUCGAUUUUUCGAUUGCCUGUUCCAGUUCUUUUUUUAUUUCUUCCCCUCUUUCUAGAUCGUCCUCAUCGAUAUACGCUUGAUAUCCCCUAUCUGUUAAUGCCGCGUGGAGGUGGUCCGUGAAGCCACUGUGUGUGUCUACACCGCUGAAGCUCAAGAACACGUCGUAAUUCCAAAGUUUUGACUUGGGGGAGGAUGAAGAGGAGGCUUCAUGGUUUGUCAUGGCGGUAUCCACUGUUAUGGCACUGCAGUGGUUCAGAUUAUGACUGAAAAAUGGCAGUAGUUGUGUUUGUGCUAUUGAACAGAUGAUCCUGAAACACCUAAACCCAAGUCAAGCUCCUUAAGUCAACAAGAACAAAGUUUAUAAUAUAAUAAUGUUGGCGUAUGGAAACGACAUAAUGUUGGCCAGAAGGUGCAGAGACAAACUUGAAUGCAAGCUUUCUGAAAUCUUCCAACCAAUACAGAUAAAAAGGUAACACCCUAGUCAGAAAUGAACUGAGGUGUUAGCUUUCUAAGACACCCAGAUGACAAAAUCAACAAAAUAGAAUGGAAAACUGACUUACACUUUUAAGGCAUGCUAGAAUCUUGAUCUAAAAUUGGUGGUGGGUCGAUUGUUGGUCACCAACUCUAAAUGAAGAAUUCAUCAGAACCUAGAAAAUUAAACAAAGAACUUUCCAAAAUCAACAUUUACUAAAAACCAUUUACUUGGUUAUCAUGCAAGAUGGCUUGCCAAAGAUUGAAUUAAGGAAUGCAAAACUUUACUUUUAUGAUGAUUUCCAAUGACAGCUAAAAGGUCAGAACCAAAUGAAAAUAAAAGUUAGGACUUCACAAAACCAAUUAAAAUCUAAUUCCAAAGUUACAAACACCCACCAAAUGAUUCCAGAUAAAGUUUUAAACUCAAGGUCAGACCCAAAUGAAAUUAAAAGUUAGGACUUCACAAAACCAAUUGAAAAUCUGAUUCCAAAGUUUCAAACACACACCAAAUGAUUCCGAAUAAAGUUUAAACUAAAAAACCCAACAGAAACAAAAGCAUUGGUGUGAAUUAACAGUAUCUAAUUGAAGAAACUAAAACAAAAGUAAAGUAAAGUAUAUACCUCAAAAUAUCAAGCAAUUAAGUUCUUCCUCCGAUGACCCAAAACUCUGAAAAUUCCACACAAAAAAAAAGGUAAAUCCAUUAGCAAUUCAUAGCUUUCAAAAUCAGCAAAAACUUGGGCAACAAUAAAGAUGCGUUGAGAACCAUCACUCUUUCUCCUUAUGUAUUUGAAAAGAUAUUUUAUAAGCAAUUUAUGUAGUCAUUCUGAUCAUGUUGCAUAUAAAUUCCUUUUCUACAGAGUUCAAAAAAAAUAGGGCAGUUUAUGGCAUCUGUUGAAUAACAUGGUUGAAAGAUUUAAAAUUGAUAAAUUCAAUUUUUAUGUGUAAAACUAUAACAUAUAGCUAAAGCUAUUGGGUCUAUAUAUCCAUAUCAAUCAUGUCGUAAUUGAAGGUUUAUCGAUGUAAAUAGAUGAUUUCAGUCAUGUGAAGUAUAUGCUGAAGUUUGGUCUAAGUUAGAUAAAAAUUGACCAAAAUCUUAAUAAGAGACUCUUUUAGCUUUUAACCAAAAAAUGAGCACCACAAUACUACACUUAUAAGUUUUAUCAUGCACAAAAUACAUAGCACUGAUUGCUACUUUUAGAGCAAGAACAAUACUUUCCAAGAAAACAACAAAACACUCAAAACCCAGAAACAGAAACACACUUAGGACUCCAACUCCUCAAAAACAUGAGAAAGAGAGAGAGUGUGUGCGAGGAGAGAGAAUAAAAAACCAUAUUAAUUUUCACACAAACUCAAAAUUGCUUAUAAAAUUACAAAUCAAAACAAAUGAAAGCAAAUCCAAAUUGCCCUAAAUUAAAUCUGAUUAGUUAAACGUUUGUUGCCCUACAAAUGUCGUUACACCCGACACAACUUGCUUUGAAGUUGAUAUUUUGGUCAAUCCAGGGAAAAAGGAGUUAUUGGUUUUGGAGCGGUUGUCAUGGAGAAUACCAUCUCCCUGUUGAAUGAUCUAAAAAAGGACUUACAGCUUCUGCUGGCCAUAAUAAGGCCCUUCUCUCCAGAUUUUCUCAAUAACUUUCCUUUUCGUAGCUGGUAAGAUUGCAACUCCAAGAAUUGCUCUGAAGAGAUAUACAAAAAAAUCAAACUAAAACUAAGCUAUUGGAAGAAAUUUAGAAAACACAAACAUCACUACAACUCAGAUUUAAAGUCAACAGAAACCAAAUGGUAGAAGUUGAAAAAAUACAUGGUCAUGAAUCGAGAACUUCAUCAAGCUACAACAACAACAACAACAACAAAGCCUUUUCCCACUAAGUGGGGUCGGCUAUAUGAAUCCUAGAACGCCAUUGCGCUCGGUUUUGUGUCAUGUCCUCCGUUAGAUCCAAGUACUCUAAGUCUUUUCUUAGAGUCUCUUCCAAAGUUUUCCUAGGUCUUCCUCUACCCCUUCGGCCCUGAACCUCUGUCCCGUAGUCACAUCUUCGAACCGGAGCGUCAGUCGGCCUUCAUCAAGCUAACAGCAAUAAAAUCUCAUAUAAUCUGUCAAAAACCAAAAAAGAGAGAGAGGUAAUUUCAAGACCUUGUAAUGCCGAGGCCUCGUACAAUUGUAGUAAUAAUAUAUGGUUGAUGCACCUGUUGCUCAAUCAAAUCCUUUGUCUGGCUAAAAAAAAUAAAAAUCUAUAAAUACAUUCAUGUCCAAUUUAUGAGAAAUCAUGGGAAAGCAAAUGCACUGAUAACGGAAUCAUGAAUAUGAAAAACUUGCCAAAAAGAAAAAGAAAACUUCUUAUAGUGUGCCAAGAACAUCCUCCUACUCCUAGCAAACUUUUUAUGGCAUUAUCCACUUCUCAAUUCAUAAUUCAACCACUAACUCAAAGUCUAUAGUGUAUGAAAAAGUGAUAUCUUAGUUGAUCACGAUGAUAAUUAAGCAGAUUAAAUGACAACCCAUAAAGCAUACAAAUUCAGAAAAGAAAAGGUUCAAAACUGCCAUAAGAAAACAUAGAAUAUAUAAACGGGAAAUCAAAAGAAGAGAGGCGAAAAAGGAAGAAAAAACCAAACAAAAUUAUUAGGUUUGGGAUAUACCUUUAUCUGAAACGCCACAAUCAUCAAAGUCAAACAUAAACAAUCCAAAAAGUUGUGGAAAAUAACAAUAAAUGCUCAACGAAAAACGAAAGAAACGUAGAAUAAGUUUACCUGUCCUCCCCCUAAUAAUACAAUUCACCACUUAUAUUCUCGUCAUCCUCUUCAGCCUGAAAAAUUUAGUAGAAAUAUUCAAUGAAGGCGCUUAAUGGAGACAGUAAUAUUAGCAAUGGAGGAAUUGAAUUGAUAACUAAAACUGCAAGACCAAUUGACUACGAUAGGUUCAAAACAGAAACUCAUCUGUUAGAUGUCUCAUCUUUAGGCAGUGCCUUGUUCUUUUCUUUUUUUUGUUCUUUUUUUUUUUUUGUUUUUGGUUGCACGUCUUGUGACGUUCAUGUAAAUGAACAAAAUUGAUACUUUUGACACAACCAACAAUGGAGAGGUAAAAAGUUAAAAACAGAAGGAAUGUCUUUUGUUAUGUAAUAGAUUUUGCAAGUCAGAAAUUCUGUUCGAGAAUUUGCAACCCAGAAAGUCCGCCAGCAAUUAUUAACAAUCACAGAUAAGCACCGAAUGAAGGCCAAUCUAAUAAGCCAAAAUAUGUAGGGCACUAAAGAAAUUAUUGCCCAGUAACAAAUGAUAGAUAAGCACAUGUGAAACUAAAGAAAUUUUUCCUUACUAUCAACUCCAAAAAAAUAACCUAUACAAUUCAAAAAAUGUUGAUACAUGCCUGAAAUUGGUAUUUGAACCACCAACUACCUCCGUGAAUAUGUUUGUUUGCUUAAUGGUUUGCGUUGAAGUUGUGAAAGGAAAUGCAAUUUCUUAAAAGAAGGAGAAUGCAGAGACAAAUACAGAAUGGUUCACGUGGCCACCCUCAAAACAAUAAUGUCGUAUACAUUAAGCCUGCCAAUUACUAAAAACAAAACAUUUUGCCAUGAGGAGAAGUAAGAACAUACCGAAACUUGUUUGCAAAUAGAUGAGAAAAAUUAUACCUCAAACAGAUGGGAAAUUUAUUAGGAAAGAUAGAUCAGCCCACAUGUGUGUAAUCUAUAUACAAAAAACCACUCUCUUCAUUAGCCAAAUCGUUUCAUAAAUCCAACAACACAUAAUUAUAUCUUGAACAAUGCCAAUUAAUGAUUUCCCAUUUACUUAAGCCGGACAACAAAGCCAAUGAACUGAUGAAAGAGCGAAAAAGAGAAACAAAAAACCUCAAUUAAGCAAUUAAAUGGAGUAUUACUUGAUAGAGCUGGAAAUUACCCAAUUCCUCAGAGAGAGGAUCAAGAGUGACUGAUGAGAGUGCAGAGAAACGAAUUAUUGAGAAAUUCAAGUUCUGAGCUCAAAGUUGGGGCCUCCACUUUCCAACUGGGGAAGAAAUAACAGAGAAAACACAGAGAGAGCCAAUCCACCAAAAAUAUUAAUCAAAUGGGUUUCUUCUAAUUCAAAAUUUGGACCACCCAAUUUCCGAUGAAGCAAUAACCAUUCAAAAUUCCAACAGAUUGAAGCCCUCACAGACUACAAAUUAUCAAUACCCAGCAAUAAAAAAUUUGAAAACAGUAAUAAUGAAGGAAAAAGAAAUUAAAGCUGCGAGCCAUUCUCUAAAUCUCAGGCACCAAUCCAAAUCACCAGUAAUUUGCACAUAAUGAUAAGAAUCUAGCGGUAUUUCCAUUGUUUAAAAACCCAAAUUCAAGAAAUCAUGAAAAAUGGAAACUUUAUUUGGAAAUUGAAGCUUUACCUGCAGAUCAGCAGCAGCAAACGGAAUCCAACGGCAUGUACCUCAAAAGUGAGAGAGAGAGAGAGAGUUGAGAGAUGAGUGAGAGAAUCGAUAAACAAAACCCCCCAAAAUCACAAAAGGAAAAUUGAACAGAAAACAAAUUUGCAAAUCCAAAAUCACAAAAACGAAAUUGAAACACCCACACUGAGAAAGCUGCAAUACUCACCAGGAAGCUAGCUUUUCUGGGUAAAAAAAUUGUUCGAAUCGAAUUGAAGAACCGAGGAAAAUUCUACUGGUUCAGUGGUUUUUCCAGCAAGAAAGCACCUUGUUUGUAAUUCGUGAGAGGUUGGACGGCGAGAGAGAAAAACGUAAAGGAAAGGAAAAGCGGAGAAGAAGUCACGAUUAUCGACGCGUGGGUUGCAUUCCACUGUGCCAAGUUCGAAAAUGAACGGGGAAUGGGGAGCUUGGCUGAGGGAGACAGAAUUCGAGAAGCAACGUUCUGAUUUUUUUUUUUAUAUGAGAGAGGGAAAGAGGAAUGAAGAGAAUCGACAAGAGGAGGAACCAUUUUAAGCGAUGAUGGACGCGUGGGAAUUGAGGGCAAAUUUGCCAUUUUGCUGUGAACCCAAAAGUCAAGACUUGGCUUGGUUUAUAUAAUUAAUCAAUAAUAUUUCAUAACAAGAGCUAGGUCCAUAUAUUAUACAAGGUUCUAAUAUAAUAGAUGUUGUGGCUAGGCGAGGCUUAUUGUCUAUGCGAAUUUAAGUAAAUUUACUCUAUAUUAAAUAAAUAAAUAUAUUUUUACACUUAAAAUGACACAUAAUUGUAUUGUGAUAUAUAAAUUAUAAAAUAAAAUGAUAUAUAUAUUAUAAAGUAUUGGAGACCCAAAUGUGAAAUGACAACUAUAAACAAUUAUUCAAGGUGGACGGUAAAUGAUUCAGCCAUUUACAAGAUUCAAAACGUAGGAUCACGAUCUACUGGAUGAUUGUAUUAACUAUUAGGCGGUGCUCUAAUAUAAUACAUCCAAAUGGGGGUGGACCACAUAAUACACCCAAUAGGUCGUUUUAAGCUACUCCACUGCUAAAACUAUUGCAAAAUGCGCAUUAGGAUUUAUACUUCUAUUAGCUACGCCUUUCCUUACUAGGCAAAUGAACCAUAUAGUACACCAAGAUGGAUGUUAUACACGUUGGAGUUUGAGCAGAAUUCUUUUUGUUAUCAUGUCUCACAUUGCUAGAAUUGAAAAGUUCAUAAUAUAAUAACAUUCACGUAUGAACUUGAGAAACAACAUACUACUGGUUGGCCUGGAAGGUGCAGUGAAGGAGAGGAAAGAAAGUAACAAACACGAAAGGAUAAGGACUAUCCAAUAGAUUAUAAACAAUGACUUCUUGGGGGUGAUUACAGCUAUUCAACCAUCAAUAAUGCAUUAUUUUAGUUUGGAAUUUGGAAGCAUUUGAGAAGUAACAUGACAACAACCACAUAAUAAACAAAGAUGAUUAGAAAAAAGACCCGAAUGUGAAAGAAUAAUUAAAAACAAUUAUUCAAGAUUAGUGAUAAAUGAUUCAACCAUUUACAAGAUAUGAACUUAGAACAACAAUCUAUUAGAUCGUUGUAUUAAUUAUUAAGUGGUGCUCUAAUAUAAUAGAUCCAAAUCGGAACGGACCACAUAAUACACCCAAAUGGAUCAUUUUUAGGCUCCACUGCUAAAAACUAAUGCACCAUGGGCAUUAGGAGUAGACUUUUAUAGCUAUCUUUCCUUACUAGUCAAAUGAACCAUACAAUACACCCAAAUGGAUGCCAUCAUGCCAUAUAUAAACAAUGUUUUGAAAGGACAAGGUAGCUAACGCUGUCUUUUUAUAUAUGUAAGCAACAACCCUAAAUGAAUCUUAUUGGAGCUAAUUAACUAAUGUAUUUAUUAGACAGUUGGAUUCCUUAGCAAGGGGUUAACUAUUUUUGUUUAGAUUAGUAGUCAGGUGGUAAUUAAUUAGUCAAAUGAACCAUAUAAUACACCCAAAUGGAUGUGCAUAUAUAAACAAUGUUUUCGAAGGAUGAAAUGACUUUCUUGCCGGUAUGGGGGAAGAGGAUUGCGCGAAAAUUUUCGCACUAAUCUAAAUAUUGUGUUUCAAGCUUUGAAAAACCAUUGAAGCUUUGAAAAGUUUGGUGAUUUUGUUAGGUUAUGUGUAUGAGUGACAUUAAUAAUUUUCAACUUCCCAAGCAAUUGUUACACAAAAUUAAAUUUAAAAUCCAAGAGGCCGUGGUUACAGCUAUUCAACUUUUGUAGAUUUUCCGGUUUUAUGAGAUUGGCAUUCUUUUUCAACACAACUUCUAUUGAGUUCAUAUAAACUAUUAUAUGAAGGAGAAAUGGUAAAAAGACUCCCUCAAAAUCCCAAAUGUGAUAGGAGAAAAGACACAAAUAUGAAACAAUUAAAAACAAUUAUUCAAGGUGGGUAGUAAAUGAUUCAGUCAUUUACAAGAUUCAAACAUGGGACCACGAUCUACUGGAUGACUGUAUUAACUAUUAGGCGGUGCUUUGAUAUAAUACAUCCAAAUGGGGGUGGACCACAUAAUACACCCCAAUGGUUCGCUAAAAACUAUUGCAAAAUGCGCGUUGGGCUUAUACUUCUAUUAGCUGCGCCUUUCCUUACUAGGCAAAUGAACCAUAUCCAAAAUGGAUGUUAUACACGUUAGAGUUUGACCAUAAUUUUUUUCGGUUAUCUCAUUGUCUCACAUUGCUAGAAUUGAAAAGUUUUAAUAACGUUUGUGUAUGAACUUGAGAGACGACAUACUAUCGGCCGGCGGGGAAGGUGCAGUGAAAGAGAGGAAAGGAAGAAAGAAGUCAACACGGAAUGACAAAGACUAACCAAUAGGUUAUAAGCAAUUACUUCUUGGGGUGAUUACAGCUAUUCAACUAUCAACAACGCAUUAUUUUAGUUUGGAAUUUGGAAGCAUUUGAGAAGUAACAUGGCAACAACCACAUACUAAACUAAAGUGAUUAGAAAAAAGACCCAAAAUGUGAAAGAAUAAUUAAAAACAAUUAUUUAAGAUAAGCGAUAAAUGAUUCAACUAUUUACAAGAUAUGAACUUAGAACAACAAUCUAUUUGAUCGUUGUAUUAACUAUUAAGUGGUGUUCUAAUAUAAUAGAUCCAAAUGGGGACCGACCAUAUAAUACACCCAAAUGGACCAUUUUUAGGCUCCACUGCUAAAAACUAAUGCAAAGUGGACAUUAGGAUUAAACUUGUAUUAGCUAUCUUUCCUUACUAGUCAAAUGAACCAUACAAUACACCCAAAUGGAUGGCAUCAUGCCAUAUAUAAACAAUGUUUUGAAGGGACAAGGUAGCUAACGCUGUCUUUUUAUAUAUGUAAGCAACAACCCUAAAUGAAUUUUACUGGAGCUAAUUAACUAAUGUAUUUAUUAGACAGUUGGAUUCCUUAGCAAGUGGUUAACUAGUUUUGUUUAGUUUAGUAGUCAGGUCGUAAUUAAUUAGUCAAAUGAACCUGCAUAUAACACACGCAAAUGGAUGCCAUAUAUGCAUACUAUUUUUGUUUAGUUUAGUAGUCAGGUCGUAAUUAAUUAGUCAAAUGAACCUGCAUAUAACACACCCAAAUGGAUGCCAUAUAUGCAUAUAUAAACAAUGUUUUCAAAGGAUGAAAUGACUUUCUUGCCGGUAUGGGGGGAAGAGGAAAGAAACUAGCACGAAACUGCAGACCCUAUCGAUCCAUUAUAAUAAAUUUCAAUGGUCCAAGUUGUAAGUUAAUUGUGUAACGUAAAAACUUAUUUACAGUUAUCAACUUAACCACGUACAUGUGGAAGACAUUAUCUCAGAAAACUAGAAAGUUCAAUUGCAACUCUACACAACUGAAAGCAAGGCUCGCUCAAUAGGGCUUGAGUUUUUUUGUAAACUUGCGUAUUUUUGUAAACGCAUCACAUAGUAGUUAAAACAUCCGGCCGUAAAUAAAGGGUUUGAGUGUCACAUCCUAGCUCGGGGCAGACCACUUCCCGGGCUCACUCCACUACCGUAGCAUGAUAUUGUCCGCUUUGGGCCCCGACCACGCCAUUACGGUUUUGUUUCUAGGAACUCACGAGCAACUUCCCAGUGGAUCACCCAUUAUGGGAGUGCUCUGGCCACCUUCUCGCUUAACUUCGGAGUUCCGAAGGAACCCGAAGCCAGUGAGCUCCCAAAAGGCCUCAUGCUAGAUAGGGAUGAGAAUAUACAUUUAAGGAUCACUCCCCUGGGCGAUGUGGGAUGUUACAAUCCACCCCCCUUAGGGGCCUGACGUCCUCGUCGGCACACUUCCGGCCAGGGAUUGGCUCUGAUACCAUUGUCACAUCCCGGCCCGGGGCAGAACACUUCCCGGGCCCGCUCCACCACCGUAGCACGAUAUUGUCCACUUUGGGCUUACCAUUCCCUCACGGUUUUGUUUUUGGGAACUCACGAGCAACUUCCCAGUGGGUCACCUAUCCUGGGAGUGCUCUGGCCCCCUUCUCGCUUAACUUCGGAGUUCCUACGGAACCCGAAGCCAGUGAACUCCCAAAAGGCCUCGUGAUAGGUAGGGAUGAGAAUAUACAUUUAAGUAUCACUCCUCUGAGCGAUGUGGGAUGUCACAAUCCAAUUGUAACAGUGUCAUGAUCAGACUUGUAAGACUGUCUUUAAUAAGAAGUUGUUGCGUUUUGUCAAAACUAGGUAUGGGCAACGGUUAUGGCGGGCGGGUAACCGCGGUUAAUUAUCCAUAACCGUUUAUUCUCAUACAUGCAUAACUGUUUACCCGUUGGGUAAUUGUCUAAACGGUUAUACCCAUACCCAUAACCGUUUAUAAACGGUUAACCAUAACCAUAACCGUGUACCCAUUUAACCGUAACCGUUUAGUACCCAUUUACCCAUUUAUCAUUUUUAAACCCGUUUAUCCUUUCUUUUUUACCAUUUACUCAUUUUUCACGCAUCUACGUGUUUUUUUAACAACUUGAAAAUUAAAAAAGAAAAAUUUGUCAUAAUUUUCUUUUUCUAACAAUUAAACACCGUUGUAGUAUUCAUCAUACAUUUCCGUAUUUUAAUUUUUAAGUCCUUAUACCAUUUCAAUAAUUGAAAUAAUAGUUUACAGACAAUAUUUUUAAUUGUUAGCAAUGAAGGUAAUAUAAAAUUUGCUAAGUAUUCUUUGGUUACGAAAACUGUUAAAAGACAGUAUUCUUGGGUUAUUUAACUCAGAAUGUAUAAUAUAUAUAAUGGACCAUGAAAUUUAAAGUGGUUAAGGAAAACUAUAUUAUAUUAGCUAUAGAAAUCAUGCACUAUAGUCAAUAGCAUUGAUCUAAGUUUUGUCCGAUAGUGAACAUGGUUUGUGUUAAUUUUACAUAUAUAAAAUAAAUGGGUAAAUGGUUACCCGUUUAUAACCACGGUUAAUACCCAUACCGCCCAUUUAAAUUUCACGAGUAAACGCCCAUAACUGUAACCGUGAAAUUUAAAUAGGCGGAUAACCGCAGUUACCCAUAACCAAUGAGUAUUUACCCAUCCCUAGUCAAAACCGGUCCAUCUAAUUACAAAUUGUAACCAUAUUAGUUGAGUGCAUAUGCUACAUCACAUUUAGUGAAUAUUCAGUACGGGUGACACAUGGUCAGACUUGUAGGUUGUUCAUUAAGAAGUUAGUUACCACGUUCUCAAGAGUGGAGCUAGAGGGGAGCACUUCCCUACCAAAGUGUUUUCCUUCUCCCCUUUGCAAGGGAUUUGUGUCACUAUUAGAUAGGAGAUUCAAACACAAGACCUUCAAUUGAGAGGUAAACGCUUUUACAAAGCUUCUACGAGCACCUUCUUGUUUACCAAACUUAUUGAGACUAAAGGAGGUCUUAACGCCAUUUUGGCUAAUACUAUUCUGUAUAUUUACGAAUGGUUUUAAGUUUGGGUUUAAUUGGAUAAUCAGAUAGUAGUGCAUCAAACUAUGGAUAUUCAGAAACCGAAAGCAUAAUUCAUAUUCCUCCAACAAGUCCACGCAAAUAACCACAAUCAGAAUGUUAGUUCAUAACUGGCCAUAUAGAACGCAGUACAAAAGCACUAAAAGCGUCCAAGUGAAAGUGCUUUCUCCUCAUGUAGUUUCAUUUAACUUAGUUUCACAUGCCACUCCGUCACACACUCAACUCCUCAACGUUCGGGCUCAAAGCAUUCUUUAUCCCUUCUGCACGAGAGACAAUAAGUUUAAAGUUCUUGUGAUGAAAUCAUGUAAAACAUUCAGAAAUCUUGAUUUAACCCUUUAUCAAGAUCAUAGGUUGUGUCAUCUCAACUUAUAUCUUAGGUCUUAUGAGUGCUCGUAAUACACUAAUAUGACACUUGUUUUCUGGCCAGGACAGAAACAAAAUCAUGCAGGAAAUUGUCAUGACAACUUCAGUGUAAAAUAAAGGUCGUACCCAGUGCACAAGGCUCCCGCUUUACGCAGGGUCUGGGAGAGGUGAAUGUCGGCUAACCUUACCCCCAUUUAUGGAGAGGCUGCUCCCAAACAACUUCAGUGUAAAAUGCGACCGGAAAAACACUAAACAAGAUUGCUAUGCUCUCUUAGUGUAAACCUUAACAACAAAGACUAUACCGUAUCUGUCACAGUGAUAUGCGACCAUAAGCCCAACUCCAAGAGCUUUGAAGGCUACAAAUCAAAAGUUACAUGCAGUGACGACAUAAUCAUGAAAAAAUACAAUCAUAAAUUAAAGGAAAACAUACCGACUUCUAGUUCUGGCAAUUCACUAUUGGGCCAUAUAUUUGAACCACAGUAUGAUGGAUACCUACAAUACAGAUCACAAAUAAAAUCUGAGCAGACACAAAGUAUUAUGUUCUGUUUACACAAAAUCUGUAAGUUCUCAAAUAGGAUAAAUAAAGAUAAACAUAUCCCAGCAUAAAGACGAUUUGUCCUGGCUAAUUCUAAGAAACCUUGUAUCAAAUGUAUGAUAGUUAUUCAUAACUAACACAAACAAUAGUUUUGCCGAACAUUUCUGGUCUGAGCCGUAUACUGUGUGACCUCAGACAAAACAGAUCCCACAUGGACCCAGAUUAUGAUUGAUGUCCCUAUAGACUUUUACCUUUGAAUUAGAGAUUCAUCUGUUGUAGGGCUUCCAAUAUUGGAUUUGCAUAAAACGAGCCUUUUAACGUAUCUGCAAAACCAGAACAGAAACGGAAAAUGAAUGAUCCUACGUUCUUAGAGUUUCCAAAGAAACAAAAUUUAAAACAAAGAACAUAAAGUGAUACCAGGCUUUCCAGAUUCCAGCUUCUCUUUUCCAUGACUCCAUCCAAAAUUGUACCUAAACAUGGAUGGCAGGUAAAAAGAAGAUAAGCAAUAAGACUUUGUAAAGAUUCCCAAGAAAAGCAAUAAAACUACGUAAAUAUUAGUUAAUAAUGCCAAGACCAUAGUCUGUGACAAAUCCAAGAGUUGAGAUGAGACUAUCUUUCAGGCAGGAAUUUUUGGAAUUUUUCUCUAUUGGGACUAAAAUGAAAGCAUAACAAUGGGACUAAAAUGACUUAGCUACUAUGAGGAUCUUCAAGUUCCUUCUUCACCUCUUCGGGCAGAUUGGCUAAUCUAAUAAACGAAAAGAAAACUCCCAUGAGCAGUGCUAUAACAAACUAUCUUCCUAAAUUCAUUAUGAAUUGCAGUUAAAACUUAAAAUGAACAUGAAAAUCCUACGUAGAAGGGAUAUACCUAGGUGACAAGCCUAGAAGAUUCUCACGCAAGGAAGAAUAUCCCGGAACCUACUGCCAUUAAGGUUGUUAUUAAUAUCAAUUCAUGUAUAUUUCCGCAUGUGUCAUAUUAUUAAGUUAGACAGUGAAAAAUAUAUAUCGGAUGUUAUGAGAAUAUGUGUGGCUGUCAAGCUUGACACGUGAAUAACAUGCUCUCUACUACUUUAUUACACUGUGAAGAUUUUAUCCAAAAUUAAUUGACGAUGAGCGAAUAAACUGAAAGAUUAUGCGCUACUUUGAUUAUGCAACGAGUGAAGAGGCAAUUUACGCCAACCUCCAGUCAAGAAUUUGGACUCACAAUCACUAGCCAAUAUGCUUUUUUCUCACAUUUCCCCUGACACGGCAAGUUCAUUGUUCAAUAUUCUGGUUCUGGUGUCCUAUGACCCUGACACGGCAAGUUCCACUUUUUGUUCAUUUUCUUGACGAAACCAUCACACUUACCCUUACGGCACGGCACGGUUCCGGGCAUAGAGCAUGGAUUGGGUUUCGUUGCAGUCCCGACACUACUUAGCACUGUAGAGAAGGAAAUACAAAGACAAGUUUGGAUUUCUUACAACGUAUUGAGUCUCUCGUCAUGGCUCUUGCUGUGUUGUUCUUAUUUCACAUCCUGUUUCUCGAGUUUGGUGUUUCCGGUUGCAAAUUUGGUUCGGCAGUGUAGUGCUCAAGAGAGGGGACUGUCUCACAUUGUUCCAAGCAGACACAGGCGGUUGACAACGAUUGCGAUAAUGUGUUUUUCUACUGGGAGAACAUACAGCAGUCAGCAGUCAUCUUUUCACAACCGUCUUCAGUAUUUGGAGGCACCUCAAGAAAUUAUCAAGGACAAACGAAUGUAGAAAAGAAGAAAUAUCGAAGUUAGUUGACAAAAGGGGCCGAAAAAUUGUGAGAUACAGAGAAGAAGAUUAGACGAAACUCGAUGCAAAUUUUAAGCUAGAUUAGUUAUUUUUCAUUAACGAGCGAUACAGAGAAGAAGAAACAGCUGCAUUUGGAGAAAGCUGCUUUAGUUGCCUAGUUUGUAACAUUAGCUUUCUGUAAUUCCGGGGAAGAAACAGGAGUAAAAAAAAAACACAAUCAGGCAGUACCAAAAAAGAAAAAUGUACAAUUAGGAACAAUCGCCACUUCUCAAACUUUGUAGUAGAUCCAGGUAUCUGAUGGACUCGGGGCUAAUGUACCUGCAUUAACAAGAAACAAAAAUCAGAUUUGUGGAAGGGAGUCACAUAGUGGUUAAAAUACUUGGCCGUGCAUGAAUGGUUUGAGAUACCAUCAUAGAGGCAUCCUCCAGGUGUGAGUUUCUCUCGUAUCUGAUCACUUAUUAUAAGAAUAUCAGUAGUGAAAGUGAAAUACCCGUGUCGGGAAAGGAAGUCAAUGAUGACAAAAGAGCAAUUUGGCUUGAAAUAUUGUGUCCUCCGUAUGAUGCUUGCAACAUGCAUCACCGAAUCCACUUGAAGCUCUCCACCUCUCCAUCUGUUAAAUGUUUCAUAAGCAGCAUUGUUAAAGUUCUCUCUAUUUGGGGGGAUAUUGCAGAUGGUUUUGAAUGAAGAAAGGCAAAAAUUCAUGCAGAAGGCAUAAUUUACAACUAGUUUUGUAAAAGCUAAGCUCUAAAGGUCUCACCUUGAUUCUUUGGCACAAAUAGCUAAAGUUUUGAGAUGGGACAAAAUGGGUCCCAAGACCCACAUACAGCGCAUCCGAUGGUGUUGAAAUCCUUUUCCCAGUAAGUCAAAGAUAAGCGCCAAGAAAGACAUGACAGUGUUAAACUUAAAACAAAUACAGAACUAAGAAUUGAUGCAUGAAUCAAACAGAGAAAUGGUACAGGCCAUUCUCUUUAUAUUCUUAUAAUCUAAACAUUUCUCCUUAUCAACACUGGAAAAACAGCUUGCUUCAGUCAUAGGAAAUAAAUUGCGCCUGGAGUAUAGAAAAGACAUACCUACAGAUCCUCCUCCUGGACUCUUUGCCGCUAUACGUGAAAACCCAACAUCUGGGAACAAACAAAUUACAUUCUCUGCCAUAGCAAGAACAGUCCUCUGAAAUGUAUCCAUACAAAGUUAAGACACAAAAAAUUCAAAAAGGCAAUGUAAUUCACAACAUUGACAAUCUCUGUCUGACAAGGCAAUAAUACCUCUGUAAUGAUCUGGUAGUGACCGUGACCUGAUAGGCCAACACCAAAGCCCAUUGUUAUGCCAUCCAUGAAGAUAGGGCUUCUUGUACUCAGAGAUUUUGCAUAUUAGAGAAUACUCAGCAGUGAAUACCUGAAAAACAUGCAGCACAAGUAUCAUACCGGUAGCCUCUCAAUCUUAAGAAAUGGUAGCUUAGAAAAGAUAUGAAUCCUAUCCAACCAAUACAAAUCAUAUUACCCAAGUUCAAGCAAAAUCACGACUAAACAAAUGAUCAGAUGUUGUAGGUUGCCCGAGAAUGUCAAACAUGAAAUUACAAAAGAAAAAAAAACAAUCGUAUGUAUUGAACAUUAAUAAAUACUUGCUGAAAGCACAAUCUUAGCUGCAAUUUAUGACAUUUAUACGAGAUUGAAUAGCCAAAGCAAUUAAAGAAGUAGCAGAACUCAUAUAAGUGAUUUUCACUUUGAACUUUUAGGCUUAUCAGCAAAUACAUCAUUACGAUUCUAACGCAUGAAUUUUGUUAAAAGGGGCUUGCUUGCUUGUAUUAAGGCUUAAUCAUCAAUGAUUUUGCAAGGGUCAAUCGUCUUGCUAGUUGUAAAUCCAUGCACUAUGAAAAUUACCAAAAUUACAUCUUAUAUGGUAGAGAAGGAAGUCAUCUUAUAUUAUCUGGAUUUUAGAAGACGGUGUAAGGUUAUAAGUCUGUUAUUCUAUAUAGUUUAAAGGACACAAUUAGACAACAAUCAUAUUCGGUGGUUGGUUUUUGGCCGUGAUCUGCUUCACAUCACCGCCCGCAGGUAAUCUAAAUCUGGGUUAUUACUUAUCAAUGAAUCAAAGUGCCAACUUAUCGGACACCAACUAUCUCUCUAUGGCAAAAAAAUAACACAAAAAGGAACAAUGAAGUGAAACAAUAAACAACAUGACAUGAAACAGCACAAACAUCAAAGACCAACAAUCUAUCACAUAAGCACCUAAACAAGAAACAACUUUAGUUCAAAGCAAAGCGUAAUGUAGAAACCUUCAGCACAAGAGGCGUGUUUUUGUCCUUUUGAAUUUCGGCAACAACAACUUUAAUAUCCUUACCUGCAUUUACCAUGAUUGGUCACUCUCAAAACCUUACCUAAGAGACCCAAAAACCAAAAUAACUGCUAAAAGAGCUGAACAUACAUAUCUAGAAAAACUUAUUCAACUACAUGCUAAAAUGGAAGUGUAAAAUUGCCAGGAAAGAUAAGAAACUAUUCAAAUACGAGUUCUGGGCGUUACCGCCACAAAAGGCACGAGCCGAGCGGCUAUCAACAAGAACACACUUCACAUUUGGGUCAGAUUCCCAUUCAUCCAGAUAGCUCUUGUAUUUCACAUCCAAAUCUGCAUUUUCCAACAAUUCCCACUUAAACAGAAACACAAAAUUCUUCCAAAAAGAGCUAACUUCUUUGAAAUUUGAAUCCAACGUUUCGUCUUAUAACAAAUGCAAUAACAUAGAUUUGUAAUCAAUACGAUGCCAUAAAGUUCAAGCUCAAAAAUUCAAAUCAUCUCCAAAUCAAAAGCAAUUACAGAUAUAUACAUAUAUACAUAUGCGUGUGUGUGUUUAUCUACAUACCUAGGUUUAUGGCGUUGAGAGCUCGGGGGGCGACCGAGGGUGAUGACGGCGACGCCAAAGGUGCGGAGAAGGCGAGGGGAUUUGGAGGGUUUUGUAAAGAGGGGAUUUGCUCAGAAUUUGGGUCGCUCGUCCCUCUUAUGAGAGUGAUUCAAAAAUCGAAAAAGUUGAAAUUUAUUGAUUGUGAUCUGACUCAAACAUGUGAUGAUGACGAUGCAUCACAACCUUGGUUGUGCCUCUGGAUCAAAAUCCUGUUCCAUCAAAUUCGUGCUCAUUUUCCUUCAUAGGUUUGUCCCAUACUAGAUUAACCCCUGUUCCCUUAAUUGUCACAUUACCAUAUUUACUGUAUGGCUCUGGCAUUUCAAAAGUUAUAUCAACUUUAUCCCCGCUUUGCAAAUUGAGCUUAUCAUUCGAUAUUUGUCCCUGCCAAAGAUAACAUUUUCCAGAUACAUUGCACAUUUUUAUAACCCAAUCUUCUUUGCCUAUGUAGGUCUGCAACUCAGUACGCUUGGUAUUAUUUAUAUCAAUAUUGGCACGAGGAUGACAUUCUCCACAACUGGCAUAAGGGCUUCUUGACUCAUUAGUAUUUGAGCAGUAAAAGCAUAAUAGAGUCAGUCCUUCCAAAUUACGACCAUCACUCGGGAGGAUAUCAAAACUGACUUUAUUACCAUCGUUGACAAACUCGAACCAAUCAGGAACAUAAUUCCCAUUGAGAAAAAUGCCAUCACUUGGGAGGAUAUCAAAACUGACUUUAUUACCAUCGUUGACAAACUCAAACCAAUCAGGAACAUCAGGAACAUAAUUCCCAUUGAGAAAAAUGCCAUCACUCGGGAGGAUAUCAAAACUGACUUUAUUACCAUCGUUGACAAACUUGAACCAAUCAGGAACAUAUUUCCCUUUGAAAAAAAUAUCCGCAAGAAGUCCAUCCCUACAUAUACAGUGCAAGUGUCAUAUUUAUAUAUAUACACACACACAAUGUACAUGUGCGUUGUGUGUGUGCAUGUGCGCAAUAGGAAGACAAUUAAAGAGAGAUACCUUUAGGACGUUACUCAUAAAACCAGCGGUGAGUUUGGGGCAGUACCUCAUAUUAAAAUGUCGUGGAGUUUAAUGACUUAUCCAAGUCUGGAACCUCAGUGAGUGCGCGUGAAUCACAUACAUGUAGCUCUCUCAUAUUCGACAUUUUCGAAAAAUUGGGCAUUGUUACCAAACGGGAGCAAUCAGACGCAUACAGAAAUUUCAAAUUUGUUGGUAAACCAUAGAUUGUAUGAAGGUUACGGCAGUAAUUUAACUGCAAACGUUCAAGCUUUGAAAAACCAAUGAGGCUGGGUAAGGUAUGAAAAUCAUUACAUGUGAGACACAAAUCUUGCAAAGAAAUUAGACUCCCAAAAUCUUUUGGGAAUGCAUCAUCGCUUAAGCGCUGGAAUGAGAGAUCUAAAUUUCUUAAAGAGUCUAAGCCGUGUAACGAAUUGGGAAAUUGUGUGACAUGCCCCCUUAAAAUGAAAUCAGUGGUAAACCAUGAUUUCCGUAGAAAUAAAUGAGUGAGAUUCUUCAAUCUUACUGUGGAACGCGGUACUUGUCUUAUGGCUGUUUCAGACGCUUUAAGUACUCUCAAUGAUAUCAUCUUCCCUAAAUCCUCGGGCAGUUCAUUGAAUCGCCUACAAAAAUCAAGAACAAGAGUCUGAACGGAUUUGGACUUGUAGAAAUCCCCAGGAAGAGAAAUAAGAUUAUGGCAGCAUGUGAGGUUCACCAAAGAAAGUUUUUUAAGCUGACCAAUGGAGGGGUGAAUCUCGAACAAACUCUCACACCUUCCCAAUAUCAACUCUUCAAGACUUGGGAGAUUUGAUAAGUCUGGUGAUUUUUUUAAGUCACAGCAAUUACUGAGAUUAAGGAUUUUCAAGUUUUCAAGCGACUGUUGCACAAAAUCCAAAAGGUCAUACCCAGUGCACAAGGCUCCCGCUUUACGCAGGGUCUGGGAGAGGUGAAUGUCGGCUAGCCUUACCCCCAUUUAUGGAGAGGCUGCUCCCAAGUCUCGAACCCGAGACCUACCGCUUAUGGGCGAAGGCAUUUGUCAUCGCACCAAGUGCGACCUCUUUGGGGAAAUCCAAGAAAAAUUAAAAUUAAUAUCCAAAAGGAAUAUCUCAUAAAAUAAAUAAAUAAAUAAAUAAAUAAAGAGAGAAGGAAAUCCAAAAACAAAUAGAAACUUAACAUCAUCAUGUGUAAUCGAUUGUACCUUGGAGCCCUCCCAAACUUGUACCAGUUUGCUAUGCUUUAUCUCUAAAAUAACUAGUGUUCUUGGUUGAUCAAAGAAGUCAUCUGGUAUGGACUCUAAAAGGUAUCCUUCCCAACGCAACCAUACUAACUCUUUGGGGAGAUGUUUGUAUUCUCCAUUGAGCUGCACGUUCUGGAGCAUGAGCAGUCUCAGUUUCUUCAUAUUAGCAAAUGCUUCUGUACUGAUACAACUAGACUUUAAAGGGAAUUCUCCACGGAGCUGCACGCGGUGGAUCAGUCCCAGUUCCCUCGAAUUGGUAGGGAAACUUACAACAAGUCCUUCAACUUCUUUAGUUCCCUGUUAACAACACAUUAUACUGGGUAAGAAAAGGAUUAUGUGCAUCUAUUUUACGUGAUUUUGCUAAUUGAGCUUCUUAAUGCAAAUACAUAUAUUUACACAUGAAUUUUUUAAUGUAUAAUAGGCAUACGUGGGUUACAUAUAUGCUUUUCUUGUACGAUGCAUUAAUACAAAUUUUUUUUGGGAAUCUACUUACAGAUUUAUUUGUUAGUACAUCAUAGACAUCUCCAGGGAUCCACAACCUGCUCCAUUCUCCAGGGGGACGAGUGGAUUUUUCAGAAAUGAUUAAUUUGGCCAUUUCUCGAAGCAAAUCAUGCAUAUUCAACUUCUUGUCUUCAACAGUUAUAAGGCAUCGUUCACGGAGGUUACUGAUUCCUAUUGUUGCAAAAAACUUACAUUCAUCUAAUAUUUUUGCGACAUCGUCCUUAUCCCAUCCAAUAAAGAAACAAGAUAUGUCAAGGAAUAUAUCCUUCUGCGUAGGAUCUAGCCUUUCAAAGCUUACUUUUAGCGGUUUCAUUAUUCCUUCAUCAUGAAAUUUUUUCAAUUUCUUCAAUUGACUUUUCCACUCUGCUGGGGUUCUUUCAGUCAUAGAAGAACCUAAAACUUCAAGGGCUAGUGGCAAACCACCACAGUAAGAAACCACCUCUUUUGAGAGUUCAAGAUAUCCUUCAUUAGGCCAACUAUUUCCAAAGGCAUGCCAACUAAAGAGCAUCAGGGCUUCUUCUUCAUUCAUUUCUUGAAGCGGAUAUGUCUUGUCCACUUUCAUGUUCACUUGCUUUAGUAAACGUUCAUCUCGUGUCGUUAUGAUAAUUCUACUUCCUGGGCCAAACCAAUCACGAUUUCCAGCCAUUGCAUUUAGUUGUUCCACUUUGUCUACAUUGUCAACAAUGACAAAUACGCUUCUACGUCGGAGAUGAUUUUUUAUCAGACUGAUACCUCCAUCAACACUGGUUAUCUUAUUAGACUCGGUCUGUUUCAAGAUGUCAGAAACAAGUUUUCUUUGCAAAUCAACCAGAUCAUAUUCGCUAACGUUGGCAAGGAAACUUUUGAACUGGAACUUAUGAUGAAUUUGGUUAUAAAUGGCUUUGGCAGCUGUUGUUUUACCCAAUCCACCCAUCCCCCAAAUUCCAACCAUGCGUACAUCUGAUCCACCAUUUGAAAGAUAAGUGAUGAUAUCUUGAAUGCGGGUAUAUAUUCCAACUGGGUGCUUGGCCACAUGUAAUUUUUCUGCGCUCGGAAGCCAUUCCGGGAUAAUCUUGUCAACAAUUUCUCUAAUAAGCUUUGCUUCGCGCCUGAAAAUUGAAUUCGUAAGCGUUAGUGGGACUCAAUGAACAGUAGGAGCUAUCAGUACAUAGACAAUUGUCUUUACUUCAUAAAAGAAAGAAAUUCAUUCACUAAAAUGUUUCAAAACUUGAAAAGCAGGUGAAUGAUUACCCAUUGUUAGUGAUUUGAAGAUGUUGGCCAAACAAAUUUGCAGCUUCUGUAAGAGCCUUUCUCCAUUGCUUUACCCUUUCUUGUUUAGCUUCACGUUCCUUGUCAUCUUUUUCUUCAUGGAUGCCCUCUUCGUGCUUCUGAAAUGCUUGAGCUAAAUCUCCGUUCUGCUUCCUAAUGUGAAGGAUCAACAUGAUAGAAUAUUGGCAAAACACGUCGCCCCAGUUUGUAUCUGCACUCCAUGAUCUUCACCAGCUCGUCAAGACACCAACUCGAGUCCGCAUAACUCUUUGAGAAGACAAUGAUAGAGAUCCUCGCCUCUUUGAUUGCCCGGACCAGUUCCUCUUUUAUUUCUUCCCCUCUUUCUAGAUCGUCCUCAUCGAUAUAAGCCUGGUAUCCCCUGUCAGUUAAUGCCGCAUGGAGGUGGCCCGUGAAACCAUUGCGUGUGUCUACACCGCUGAAUCUCAAGAACAUGUCGUAAUUCCAAAGUUUUGACUUGGAGGACGAUGAAGAGGAGGCUUCGUGGGUCGUCAUGGCGGUAUCCACCGUUAUGGCACUGCAGUGGUUCAGAUCACGACUGAAAAAUGGCAGUAGUUGUGCUCAUGCUGUCGAACGAAUGAUCCUGAAAUACCUAAAACCCAAGUCAAGCUCCUUCAGUCAACAAGAAUAAAGUUUUAAUAUAAUAAUGUUGGUGUAUGGACUUGAGAAACGACAUAAUGUUGGCCGGAAAGUGCAGAGAAAGAGAGAGGAAAAGAGGAACAAAAGGAGAAAGACUAUCCAAAUGAUUCUUGGCUGUGAUUACAGCUAUUCAUAGGAGAAACAACGUACAUAUUUUCAUAGGAGAAACAACUUGCCCAUCUUCAUAUAUAAUACAUUUCAACAGACAUAUUUUAAUAGGAGAAACUAGGGGUGGGCAAACGGGUCCAGGAACCGCAGGUCGGGGCGGGUAAUGGCGGUUCAGGGCGGGUACAGGCCGGGUCUUAUUUUUUUAAAGAAGAAACGGGGUGGGGGCGGGGAGGUGGUAUUUAUGGGGCGGGUCGAGUUCAAAUUUGUACAAGCAUGGGGCCCCGGGCCGACCCGUUCCUAAAAUGGACUGAUUGGAACCUGGACAAUAUGUUGUGGGCUUACUACACAAGGCAAUGGCCCAUGUGGGCUUACUGCUCGAAUACUCUAGAAACUAUGAUCCGACUCCUAUCUCUCCUGGAUCGAUCCCCAAAUCCCACUACUCUCUCUCCUCGUCGGCAUCACCGAACACAGAACCACCGAUUCACCACCAUCGUCACCCAUCACCGCCGUGGCGACCAUCACCAUCGCAGACGCUAUUAACCGUUAGUUUCACCCUAGGUCUCCCCUAUGUCUAUCACUCAAGUCCUCGAUCGUUUCUCUCCCGCGUGCGUCAUUCCCUCCACGGUUCUUCCACUACACUCUGUCACUCUCCGUCACUCUCCGUCAGUCACCUCCUCCACCACCCCGACAUCAACCCCGUCGCGAGUCUGGGCCCUGGCGACCACCACGACGAGCCAGCAACCUCGAUUGUCUUCCUCGAGUCCUCGAUGGCAUCCCAGAUUUAGAGAACUUUAGGGUUCUCUUUCUCCCUCCCACCCCUCGAAUCGACUGCGUCGACAUCAAAUCAGCCACCACACGAGUCACGAGGCUUCAAAUUCGGCUGGUGACUGCCCAAUCUGGUGCGACUCAACCGAUUCCGAGCGCUCUUGACUCUGUCGACGAAGAAGAAGAAGAGAAGAAAAAAAAAAAUAACCCGUGGACCCGGGCCGGGUUAGGUCAGGUUUCUGUGUUAAAAUUAGUUGUACCCGCCCCUGCCCGACCUGUUUCUUUUAAACCUGGGUCCGGCCGGUCCCUUCAAAAUUGGGCCCGGCCCUGGGCCCGGCCCGGCCCAUGCCCAGCCCUAGGAGAAACAACUUUAGUUUUUACUAGAAAUUUUUACCCACACGUUGCUACAGGAUUUGAAAUUGUAUAAAAGAUUAUCUUUGAAAUAUAUAAUAGAUUGUGUGAUUGAAGAUUAAUACUAUUUACACUGAAAACGUUGGGAAAAGUUUUACAUACAAAAGAUUUUACAAUACAAUCCACAUACAAAAGAUGGUAAAUUUUUUUCUAUCUACAUGCAUUAUGUUAUGGAAUGAUAUAUAUAUAACUAAGUUCCAGAAUACGUAAAUUUCAUAAUUUCGAAUUUUUUUGACAAAUUAAUCAGAUUCAACUGUGGGAUAGAAAGGUCGCCUAUAAAGUUGUGAAGUCGUGGAAGCAUAAAGGACAAAUAACAAAUGAGUUUUGAGAAAUUAUUCCACAAAAGUCAUUUUGCAAAAUGCAAAUGUAUUAAAGACGAUUGGUACAAGAUUAGUAAUCAUAAGUAGUGUAACAACAUCAACAAAAUAACUAUAAACCAUAGUUGAACAUAAUUCAAAUUUCGUUUGCAAAAACAAAAGAAAAAGAAAGAAAACAUACUUACAAUAAUUCAGCCUUUAAUCCUAAAGUCCUACUCAAAGAUCCAAACUUGAAUGCAAGCUUUCUGAAAUCUUCCAAACAAUACAGAUAAAAAGGUAACACCCUAGUCAGAAAUGAACCAAGGUGCGAGCUUUCUUAGAAACUCAGAUGAAAAAAUCAACAAAAUAGAAUGAAAAAAUGACUUACACUUUUAAGGCAUGCUCGAAUCGUGAUCUAAAAUUGGUGGUGGGUCGAUUGUUGGUCACCAACUCUAAAUGAAGAAUUCAUCAGAACCUAGAAAUUUAACAAAGAAUUUUCCAAAAUCAACAUUUACUAAAAACCAGUUACUUGGUUAUCAUGCAUGAUGGCUUGCCAAAGACUAAAUUAAGGAAUGCACAACUUUACCUUUAUGAUAUUUUCAAUGACAGCUAAAAGGUCAGAUUCAAAUGAAAAUAAAAGUUAGGACUUCACAAAACCAAUUAAAAAUCUAAUUCCAAAGUUACAAACACCAACCAAAUGAUUCCAGAUAAAGUUUUAAACUCAAAGUCAGACCCAAAUGAAAUUAAAAGUUAGGACUUCACAAAACCAAUUGAAAAUCUGAUUCCAAAGUUCCAAACACCCACCAAAUGAUUCUGGAUAAAGUUUAAACUCAAAAACCCAACAGAAACAAAAACCCAAAGUUCCAAACACCCACCAAUUGGUGUGACUUAAUUGUAUCUAAUUGAAGAAACUAAAACAAAAAUAAAGCAAAGUAUAUACCUCAAAAUAUCAACCAACUAAGUUCUUCCUCCGACAACCCAAAACUCUGAAAAUUCCACACAAAAAGGGUAAAUCCGUAAGCAAUUCAUAGCUUUCAAAAUUAACAAAAACUUGGGCAACAAUAAAGACACGUUGAGAACCAUCACUCUUUCUCCUUGUGUAUUUGAAAAUAUAUUUUAUAAGCAGUUUAUGUAGUCAUUCUGAUCAUGUUGCAGUUAAAUUCCUUUUCCACAGAGUUCAAAAUUAUAUGGCAGUUUAUGGCAUCUGUUGAACAACAUGGUUGAAAGAUUUAAAAUUGAUACAUUCAAUUUUUAUGUGUAAAACUAUAACAUAUACCUAAAGCUAUUUGGUCUAUAUAUCCAUAUCAAUCAUGUUGUAAUUAAAUGUUUAUCGAUGUAAAUAGAUGAUUUCAGUCAUGUGAUAACAUGUUUCUUGUUAGUAUACGCUGAAGUUUGGUCUAAGUUGGAUAAAAAUCGACCAAAAUCUUAGUAAGAGACUCUUUUAACUUUUAACCAAAAAAUGAGCACCACAAUACUACACUCAUAAGUUUUAUCAUGCACAAAAUAUACAACACUGAUAGCCACUUUUAGAGCAAGAACAAUACUUUACCAGACGAAAACAACAAAACACUCAAAACCCAGAAACAGAAACACACUUAGGACUCAAACUCCUCAAAAACAUAAGAAAGAGAGUGCAUGAGGAGAGAGAAUAAAAAAAAAUAUUAUUUUUCACAAACUCAAAAUUGCUUAUAAAAUUACAAAUCAAAACAAAUGAAUGCAAAUCCAAAAUUGCCCUAAAUUAAAUCUGUUUAGUUAAAUGUUUGUUGCCCUUCAAAUGUCAUUACACCUGACAAUUGCUUUGAAGUUGAUAUUUUGGUCAAUCCAGGGGAAAAGGAGUUAUUUCUUUUGGAGCAGUUGUCAUGGAGAAUCCCAUCUCCAUGUUGAAUGAUCUAAAAAAUUACUUACAUCUUCUGGUGGCCACAAUAAUUUAGGAGGCCCUUCUCUCCAGAUUUUCUCAAUAACUUUGCUUUUCGUAGCUGGUAAGAUUGCAACUCCAAGAAUUGCUCUGAAGAGAUAUAUACAAACAAAAUCAACCUAAAACUAAGCUAUUGGAACAAAUUUGGAAAACACAAACACCACUACAACUCAGAGUUAAAGUCAAUAGAAACCAAAUGGGAGAAGUUGAAAAAAUAUAUGGUCAUGAAUCGAGAACUUCAUCAAACUAACAGCAAUAAAAUCUCAUAUAAUCUGUCUAAAACCAAAAGAGAGAGAGAGGUAAUUUCAAGACCUUGUAACGCUAAGGCCUCGUACAGUUGUAGUAAUAAUAUAUGGUUGAUGCACCUGUUGCUCAAUCAAAUCCUUUGUCUGGCUAAAAAAAUAAAAAUCUAUAAAUACAUUCACGUCCAAUUUAUGAGAAAUCAUGGGAAAGCAAAUGCACUGAUAACGGAAUCAUGAAUAUGAAGAACUUGCCAAAAAGAAAAAGAAAACUUCUUAUAGUGUGCCAAGAACAUCCUCCUACUCCUAGCAAAUUUUUUAUGGCAUUAUCCACUUCUCAAUUCAUAAUUCAACCAGUAACUCAAAGUCUAUAGUGUAUGAAAAAGUGAUAUCUUAGUUGAUCACGAUGAUAAUUAAGCAGAUUAAAUGACGACCCAUAAAGCAUACAAAUUCAGAAAAGAAAAGGUUCAAAACUGCCAUAAGAAAACACAGAAUAUAUAAACGGGAAAUCAAAAGAAGAGAAGCGAAAAGGAAGAAAAAACCAAACAAAAUUAUUAGGUUUGUGAUAUACCUUUAUCCGAAACGCCACAAUCAUCAAAGUCAAACAUAAACAAUCCAAAAAUUUGUGGAAAAUAACAAUAAAUGCUUAACUAAAAACGAAAGAAAACGUAGAAUAAGUUUACAUGUUCUCCCCCUAAUUAAACUGGAAUACAAUUCACCACUAAUAUUCUCGUCAUCCUCUUCAGCCUGAAAAAUUUAGUAGAAAUAUUCAAUGAAGACGCUUAAUGGAGACAGUAAUAUUAGCAAUGGAGGAAUUGAAUUGAUAACUAAAACUGCAAGACCAAAUGACUACAAUAGGUUCACAACAGAAACUCGUCUGUUAGAUGUCUCAUCUUUAGGCAGUGCCUUGUUCUUUUUUUUUCUUUUUUGUCCUUUUGAAUUUCGGCAACAACAACUUUAAUAUCCUUACCUGCAUUUACCAUGAUUGGUCACUCUCAAAACCUUACCUAAGAGACCCAAAAACCAAAAUAACUGCCAAAAGAGCUGAACAUACAUAUCUAGAAAAACUUAUUCAACUACAUGCUAAAAUGGAAGUGUAAAAUUGCCAGGAAAGAUAAGAAACUAUUCAAAUACGAGUUCUGGGCGUUACUGCCACAAAAGGCACGAGCCGAGCGGCUAUCAACAAGAACACACUUCACAUUUGGGUCAGAUUCCCAUUCAUCCAGAUAGCUCUUGUAUUUCACAUCCAAAUCUGCAUUUUCCAACAAUUCCCACUUAAACAGAAACACAAAAUUCUUCCAAAAAGAGCUAACUUCUUCGAAAUUUGAAUCUAACGUUUCGUCUUAUAACAAAUGCAAUAACAUAGACUUGUAAUCAAUACGAUGCCAUAAAGUUCAAGCUCAAAAAUUCAAAUCAUCUCCAAAUCAAAAGCAAUUACAGAUAUACACAUGUAUACAUAUGCGUUUGUGUGUUUAUCUACAUACCUAGGUUUAUGGCGUUGAGAGCUCGGGGGGCGACCGAGGGUGAUGACGGCGACGCCAAAGGUGCGGAGAAGGCGAGGGGAUUUGCUCAGAAUUUGGGUCGCUCGUCCCUCUUAUGAGAGUGACUCAAAAAUCGAAAAAGUUGAAAUUUAUUGAUUGUGAUCUGACUCAAACAUGUGAUGAUGACGAUGCAUCACCACCUUGGUUGUGCCUCUGGAUCAAAAACCCACCAUCACCAUCAAAAUCGUGCUCAUUUUCCUUCAUAGGUUUGUCCCAUACUAGAUUAACCCCUGUUCCCUUAAUUGUCACAUUAUCUAAUGUAACGUAUGGCUCUGGCAUUUCAAAAGUUAUAUCAACUGUAUCCCCGCUUUGCAAAUUGAGCUUAUCGUUCGAUAUUUGUCCCUGCCAAAGAAAACAUUCUUUAUAUACAACAUCGCGCAUGAGGUUUUUUCUUUUUUUGGCGUAACAAUCGCGCAUUUUUAUAACCCAAUCUUCCUUGCUUAUGCAGGUCCGCAACUCAGUACGCUUGGUAUUAUUUAUAUCAAUCCUGGCAAGAGGAUGACUAUCUUUACAUCUGAUAUAAGGGCCGAACUGAGAAGGACUUGAGCAAUAAAAGCAUAACAGAGUCAGCCCUUCAAAAUUACAACCAUCACUCGGGGGGAUAUCAAAAGUGAUUUUAUUACCAUCGUUGACAAACUCGAACCAAUCAGGAACAUAAUUCCCAUUGAGAAAAAUGCCACCAUAUCCGCAAGAAGUCCAUCCCUAUAUACACAGUGCAAGUGUCAUAUAUAUAUACAUGUACAUGUGCGUUGUGUGUGUGCAUGUGCCCAAUAGGAAGACAAUUAAAGAGAGAGAUACCUUUAGGACUUUCCUCAUAAAAUCAGCGGUGAGUUCGGCGCAAUACGUCAUAUCAAUCCAUGUCAUGGAGUUUAAUGACUUAUCCAAGUCUGGAACCUCAGUGAGUGCAUGUGAAUCACGUACAUUUAGCUCUCUUAUAUUCGACAUUUUCGAAAAAUUUGGCAUUGUUAUCAAACGAUAGCAACGAGACGCAUCCAGAAAUUUCAAAUUUGUUGGUAAACCAUAGAUUGUAUGAAGGUUAUGGCAGUAACCUAACCACAAAUUUUCAAGCUUUGAAAGACCACUGAGGCUGGGUAGGGUAUGAAAAUCAUUAGAUGAGAGAUCUAAAUUUCUUAAAAAGUCUAAGCUGAGUAACGAAUCGGGAAAUUGCAAAUGAGUGAGAUUCGUCAAUCCUAGAGAUAAAUGAGUGAGAUUCUUCAAUCUUACUGUGGAACGCGGUACUUGUCUUAUGGCUGUCUCAUAUGCUUUAAGUACUCUCAAUGAUAUCAUAUUCCCUAAAUCCUCGGACAGUUCACUGAAUUGCCCACAAAAAAUCAAGAACAAGAGUCUGAACGGAUUUGGACCUGUAGAAAUCCCCAGGAAGAGAAAUAAGAUUCUUGCAGCCUGUGAGGUUCACCAAAGAAAGUUUUUUAAGAUGACCAAUGGAGGGGUGAAUCUCGGACAAACUCUCACACCAUUCCAAUAUCAACUCUUCAAGACUUGGGAGAUUUGAUAAGUCUGGUGAUUUUUCUAAGUCAGAGCAACCACUGAAAUCAAGGAUUUUCAAGUUUUUAAGCGACUGUUGCACAAAAUCCAAGAAAAAUUAAAAUUAAUAUCCAAAAGGAAUAUCUCAUAAAAUAAAUAAAUAAAGAGAGAAGGAAAUCCAAAAACAAAUAGAAACUUAACAUCAUCAUGUGUAAUCGAUUGUACCUUCGAGCCCUCCCAAACUUGUACCAGUUUGCUAUACUUUAUCUCUAAAAUAACUAGUCUUGGUUGAUCAAAGAAGUCAUCUGGUAUGGACUUUAAAGGGCAUUCAUUCCAACACAACCAUAUUAACUCUUUGGGGAGAUGUUUGUAUUCUCCAUUGAGUUGCACGUUGUAGAGCUGGAGCAGUCUCAGUUUCUUCAUAUUGGCAAAUGCUUCUGUACUGAUACUUGGAGACAGAAGAUCAGGGAAACCUACAACAAGUCCUUCAACUUCUUUAGUUCCCUGUUAACAACACAUUAUACUGGGUAAGAAAAGGAUUAUGUGCAUCUAUUUUACGUGAUUUUGCUAAUUGAGCUUCUUAAUGCGAAUACAUAUAUUUACACAUAAAGGUCGUACCCAGUGCACAAGGCUCCCGCUUUACGCAGGGUCUGGGAGAGGUGAAUGUCGGCUAGCCUUACCCCCAUUUAUGGAGAGGCUGCUCCCAAGUCUCGAACCCGAGACCUACCGCUCAUGGGCGAAGGCACUUGCCAUCGCACCAAGUGCGACCUCUGAAUACAUAUAUUUACACAUAAAUGUUUUUAAUGUAUGACAGCUAUACGUGGGUUACAUAUUUGCUUUUCUUGUACGAUGCAUUAAUACAAAAUUUUAUAGGGAAUGUACUUACAGAUUUAUCUCUCAAUACAUCAGUGACCUCCUGCUGGUUCCACAACCUACUCCAUUCUCCAGGGUGACGAGGGGAUUUUUCAGAAAUGAUUAAUUUGGCCAUUUCUCGAAGCAAAUCAUGUAUAUUCAACUUGUUGUCUUCAACAGUUAUAAGGCAUCAUUCACGAAGGACACUCAUUCCUAUUGUCGCAAAAAAGUCACAUCCAUCUAAUAUUUUUGUGACAUAGUCAUUAUCCCAUCCAAUGAAGAAACAAGAUAUGUCAAGGAAUAUAGCCUUCUGUUUAUCAUCUAGCCCUUCAAAGCUUAUUCUUAGUCGUUGUAUUAUUUCUCCUUCAGGAGUUGUUUUCAAUUUUACCAAUUGAUUUUCCCACUCUGCUAUGGUUCUUCCAAUUAAAAAAGUGCCUAAAACUUCAAGUGCUAGUGGCAAACCUCCACAGUAAGAAACGAUCUUCCUUGAGAGUUCAAGAUAUCCUUCAUUAGGCCAACAAUUUCUAAAGGCAUGCCAACUAAAGAGCUCCAGAGCUUCUUCUUCAUUCAUUUUAUGAAGCGGAUAUAUCUUGUCCACUCCAACUUGGCGUAGUAAAUGUUCAUCUCGUGUCGUUAUGAUAAUUCUACUUCCUAAGCCAAACCAAUCACAAUUUCCAGCUAUUGCAUUUAGUUGUUUCAUUUUGUCUACAUUGUCAAUAAUGACAAGUACGCUUCUACGUUGGAGAUGAUAUUUUAUCAGGCCGAUACCUUCAUCAACACUGGUUAUCUCAGGCUUGGUCUGUUUCAAGAUGUCAGAAACAAGUUUUUUUUGCGAAACAACCAGAUCUUUUUCACUAACGUUGUCAAGGAAACUUUUGAAUUGGAACUCAUGAUGAAUUUUGUUAUAAAUGGCUUUGGCAGCUGUUGUUUUACCCAAUCCACCCAUCCCCCCAAAUUCCAACCAUGCGAACAUCAUCUGAUCCACCACUUGAAAGAUAACUGAUAAUAUCUUGAACGCGAGAAUUGAUUCCAACCAGGUGAUUGGCCACAUGUAAUUUGUUUGCUCUCCGAAGCCAUUCCGGAAUAAUCUUGUCAACAAUUUCUCUAAUACGCUGUGCUUCGCAACUGAAAAUUGAAUUGGCAAGCUUAGUAAGCUCAGUAGGAGCUAUUAGUACACAAACAAUUUUCUUUCCUUCGUGUGUGUGUGUGUGUGUGUGUGUGUGUGUGUGUGUAUACACACUAACUAGCUACUAGCUAGUAUGUGAGUUUGUGAUCAACUUCAAUAAAAGAAACAAAUUCAUUCACUGAUAUAUUAAAGUUUGGUGUAUCAAUUAAACUCAUUAUGGUUUAGAUUUUAGAAGAAAUUGGAGAAAUGGUCCAUGAACUAUGAUCGAAUUGUAGCUUUGGUUCUUAAACUAAAAAUUCAUUAAAUCUCGUCCCUGAACUUAACAAAAUAUGGAACAUUGGUCCCUCCAUGUUAACACCGUAAGAUUUUCUGUUAAUUUGAUAACGUCGUCUUUGUGGGCUCCAUAUUUUUGUUUAUUAGAUGCCACGUUGCUUGAAAAUUCAAAUAAAAGAAAAUAAAUACAAGCAUUGAGAAACAAAGAGAAAAAAAAAUACUUUAAAUUAUAAAAGUUAACUCUCUCCCAUCCUCCCUUCCGCCUCACCUUCUCCAAACCCCAGCCACACCAUUGUAGCACUUUCCCAACAGCCAAAACAAAAGAAAAGUUCCUCAUCCAAAUUUGGAACACACCUCACCUUGCAAACGACUUCACAAUGACAUUCAUCUACGCUGUCUCGAAAGGUAAGAUUCAAGAAAUUUGUGGGAUGCGGGUUCGGGGUUCGGGUGAAGGCUGUGGUCCGUGGGCUAAAGGUUGGGGUCGGCUGGGGAGUGGGGAUUAGGGAUUGGGGGUUGGAAGUGGGAGGUUGACGGGGUGGGAAUCAACGAUUGAAGGUGAAGGGGUGGGCUGCGAGCCUGCGAGUGUUGGUGGGAUGAGGUAGGCCUGCAAUUAUAUAUAUAUAUGUAUGUAUGUAUGUAUGUAUGUAUGUAUGUAUAUAUAUAUGUAUGUAUGUAUAUAUGUAUAUAUAUGUAUGUAUAUAUAAUAUAGGUGAAACUAACAUGUAAAGUUGUAAACACUUUUAACUAAAACUGAAAGGAAUUGGUUACGAAGGACUAACGCUCCAUAUUUUAUCAAGUUCAAGGACAAAAUAUAAUGAAAUUUUAGUUUAGGAACCAAAGCUACAAUUUUCCUCUAGAUUUGAUAUGAGAUUUAAGGCGUAUUAAUUAAGCAUGUUAAUUAGAGUAAUGCAACUUAGAUAUUGAAAAGCACGUGAAUGAUUACCUAUUAUCAGUGAUUUGAAGAUGGUAGCCAGACAAAUUUGCAGCUUCUCUAAGAGCAUUUCUCCACUGCUUUACCCUUUCUUGUUUUUCUUCACGUUUCUUGUCAUCUUUUUCUUUACGAAUGUUCUUUUUGUGUUUCUUAAAUGCUUGGGCUAAAACUCCAUUCUGGUUCCUGACAUGUGAAGGAUCAACGUGAUAGAAUAUUGGCAAAACAUGGCGCUCCAGUUUGUCUCUGCACUCGAUGAUCUUCAUCAGCUCAUUAAGACACCAACUCGAACUCGCAUACCUCUUUGAGAAGACAAUGAUAGAGAUCUUCGAUUCUUCGAUUGCCUGGAACAGUUCUUUUUGUAUUUCUUCCCCUCUUUUUAGAUCGUCCUCAUCAAUAUAAGCCUGGUAUCCCCUGUCCGUUAAUGCCCUGUGGAGGUGGCCCGUGAAACCAUUGCGUGUGUCUACACCGCUGAAGCUCAAGAACACGUCGUAAUUCCAAAGUUUUGACUUGGAGGACGAUGAAGAGGAGGCUUCGUGGGUCGUCAUGGCGGUAUCCACCAUUAUGGCGCUGCAGUGGUUCAGAUCACGACUGAAAAAUGGCAGUAGUUGUGCUCGUGCUGUCGAACGGAUGAUCCUGAAAUACCUAAACCCAAGUCAAGCUCCUUCAGUCAACAAGAACAAAGUUUUAAUAUAAUAAUGUUGGUGUAUGGACUUGAGAAACGACAUAAUGUUGGCCGGAAAGUGCAGAGAAAGAGAGAGGAAAAGACGAAUGAAAGGAGAAAAGACUAUCCAAAUGAUUCUUGGCUGUGAUUACAGCUAUUCAUAGGAGAAACAAUGGACAUAUUUUCAUAGGAGAAACAACCUGCCCACUUCAUUUAUAAUAUAUUUCAACAGAGAUAUUUUAAUAGGAGAAACAACUUUCGUUUGUACUAGAAAUUUUUACCCGCGUGUUGCUACGUGAUUUGAAAUUGUAAGAAAGAUUAUCUUUGAAAUAUAUAAUAGAUUGUGUGAUUGAAGAUUAAUACUAUUUACAUUGAAAACGUUGGAAAAAGUUUUACAUACAAAAGAUUUUACGAUACAAUCCACAUCAAAAGAUGGUAAAUUUUUUUCUAUCUACAUGCAUUAAGUUAUGGAAUGAUAUAUAGAUAUAUAUAUAUAACUGAGUUCCAGAAUACGUAAACUUCAUAACUUGGAAAUUUUUUGACAAAUUAAUCAGAUUCAACUGUGGGAUAGCAAGGUCGCCUAUAAAGUUGUGAAGUCGUGGAAGCAUAAAGGACAAAUAACAAAUGAGUUUUGAGAAAUUAUUCCACAAAUGUCAUUUUGCAAAAUGUAUUAAAGACGAUUGGGUACAAGAUUAGUAAUCAUGAGUAGUGUAACAACAUCAACAAAAUAACUAUAAUCCAUAGUUGUUGAACAUAAUUCAAAUUUCGUUUGCAAAAACAAAAGAAAAAGAAAACAGACUUACAAUAAUUCAGCCUUCAAUCCUGAAGUCCUACUCAAAGAGCCAAACUUGAAUGCAAGCUUUCUGAAAUCUUCCAAACAAUACAGAUAAAAAGGUAACAUCCUAGUCAGAAACGAACCGAGGUGCAAGCUUUCUUAGAAACCCAGAUGACAAAAUCAACAAAAGAGAAUGGAAAAAUGACUUACACUUUUAAGGCAUGCUCAAAUCUUGAUCUAAAAUUUGUGGUGGGUCGAUUGUUGGCCACCAACUCUAAAUGAAGAAUUCAUCAGAAACUAGAAAUUUAAACAAAGAAUUUUCCAAAAUCAACAUUUACUAAAAACCAGUUACUUGGUUAUCAUGCAUGAUGGCUUGCCAAAGACUGAAUUAAGGAAUGCACAACUUUACUUUUUAUGAUUAUUUUCAAUGAUAGCUAAAAGGUCAGAUCCAAAUGAAAAUAAAACUUAGGACUUCACAAAACCAAUUAAAAAUCUAAUUCCAAAGUUACAAACACCCACCAAAUGAUUCCAGAUAAAGUUUUAAACUCAACGUCAGACCCAAAUGAAAUUAAAAGUUAGGACUUCACAAAACCAAUUGAAAAUCUGAUUCCAAAGUUCCAAACACCCACCAAAUGAUUCCGGAUAAAGUUUAAACUCAAAAACCCAACAGAAACAAAAGCAUUGGUGUGAAUUAACUGUAUCUAAUUGAAGAAACUAAAACAAAAGUAAAGCAAAGUACAUACCUCAAAAUGUCAAGCAACUAAGUUCUUCCUCCGACGACCCAAAAUUCUGAAAAUUCCACACAAAAAAAGAGUAAGCCCAUUAGCAAUUCAUAGCUUUCAAAAUUAGCAAAAACUUGGGCAACAAUAAAGACGCGUUGAGAACCAUCACUCUUUCUCCUUAUAUAUUUGAAAAGAUAUUUUAUAAGCAGUUUAUGUAGUCAUUCAGAUCAUGUUGCAUAUAAAUUCCUUUUCUACAGAGUUCAUAAAAGUAUGGCAGUUUAUGGUAUCUGUUGAAUGACAUGGUUGAAAGAUUUCAAAUUGAUAUAUUCAAUUUAUGUGUAAAACUAUAACAUAUAGCUAAAGCUAUUGGGUCUAUAUAUCCAUAUCAAUCAUGUCGUAAUUGAAUGUUUAUCAAUGUAAAUAGAUGAUUUCAGUCAUGUGAUAACAUGUUUCUUGAUAGUAUACGCUGAAGAUUGGUCUAAGUGGGAUAUGAAUCGACCAAAAUCUUAAGAAGAGACUCUUUUAACUUUUAACCAAAAAUGAACACCACAGUACUACACUAAGUUUUAUCAUGCAUAAAAUACACAACACUGAUUGCCACUUUUAGAAAACAACAAAACACUCAAAACCCAGAAACAGAAACACACUUUAGGACUCAAACUCCCCAAAAACAUAUGAGAGAGAUAGAGAGAUAGAGAGAGAGAGAGAGAGAGAGAGAGAGAGAGAGAAUAAAAACAAUAUUAUUUUUCACACAAACUCAAAAUUGCUUAUAAAAUUACAAAUCAAAACAAAUGAAAGCAAAUCCAAAAUUGCCCUAAAUUAAAUCUGAUUAGUUAAAUGUUUGUUGCCCUACAAAUGUCAUUACACCCGACAAAACUUGCUUUGAAGUUGAUAUUUUGGUCAAUCCGGGGGAAAAUGAGCUAUUGCUUUUGGAGCAGUUGUCAUGGAGAUUACCAUCUCCCUGUUGAAUGAUCUAAAAAAGGACUUACAGCUUCUGGUGGCCAUAAUAAUUUAGGAGGUCCUUCGCUCCAGAUUUUCUCAAUAACUUUCCUUUUCGUGGCUGGUAGGAUUGCAACUCCAAGAAUUGCUCUGAAGAGAUAUAUGCAAACAAAAUCAAACUAAAACUAAGCUGUUGGAAGAAAUUUAGAAAACACAAACACCACAACUCAGAGUUAAAGUCAACAGAAACCAAAUGGUAGAAGUUGAAAAAAAUAUAUGGUGAUGAAUCGAGAACUUCAUUAAACUAACAGCAAUAAAAUCUCAUAUAAUCUGUCAAAAACCAAAAAAGAGAGAGGUAAUUUCAAAACCUUGUAACGCUGAGGCGUCGUACAGUUGUAGUAAUAAUAUAUGGUUGAUGCACCUGUUGCUCAAUCAAAUCCUCUGUCUGGCUAAAAAAAUAAAAAUCUAUAAAUACAUUCACGUCCAAUUUAUGAGAAAUCAUGGGAAAGUAAAUGCACUGAUAACGGAAUUAUGAAUAUGAACUUGCCAAAAAGAAAAAGAAAACUUCUUAUAGUGUGCCAAGAACAUCCUCCUACUCCUAGCAAUUUUUAAUGGCAUUGUCCACUUCUCAAUUCAUAAUUCAACCAAUAACUCAAAGUCUAUAGUGUUUGAAAAAGUGAUAUCUUAGUUGAUCACGAUGAUAAUUAAGCAGAUUAAAUGAUGACCCAUAAAGCAUACAAAUUCAGAAAAGAAAAGGUUCAAAACUGUCAUGAGAAAAUACAGAAUAUAUAAACAGGAAAUCAAAAAAAGAGAAGUGAAAAAGGAAGAAACAACCAAACAAAAUUAUUAGGUUUGGGAUAUACCUUUAUCUGAAACGCCACAAUCAUCAAAGUCAAACUUAAACAACAACAACAACAACAACAACAACAAAGCCUUUUCCCACUAAGUGGGAAAGUCAAACUUAAACAAUCCAAAAAUUUGUGGAAAAUACCAAUAAAUGCUCAACUAAAAACGAAAGAAACGUAGAAUAAGUUUACCUGUUCUGCCCCUAAUUAAACUGGAAUACAAUUCACCACUAAUAUUCCUUGGUGUAUGCUUUUCGCAGACGAUAUAGUGUUGAUAGAUGAAACUCAGGAAGGGGUAAAUGCAAAGCUUAACCUUUGGAGAGAAGUGUUGGAAUCUAAAGGUCUUCGCCUAAGCCGAUCAAAGACAGAAUAUAUGGAGUGCAAGUUCAGUGCAAAUGGAGGCCAAAACGAGUUAGGGGUGAGGAUCGGAGAUCAAGAAAUACUAAAGAGCGACCGUUUUCGUUACCUAGGAUCUAUCUUGCAAAAGAACGGAGAAUUAGAUGGAGAUCUCAACCAUAGAAUACAAGCUGGAUGGAUGAAGUGGAAGAGUGCAUCCGGCGUGUUAUGUGACCGCCGUAUGCCACUGAAGCUCAAGGGAAAAUUUUAUAAGGACGGCAAUAAGGCCGGCGAUGCUGUAUGGCACAGAAUGUUGGGCGGUGAAACAUCAAACACGUACACAAAAUGGGUGUAGCGGAGAUGAGGAUGCUUCGUUGGAUGUGUGGGCACACGAGAAAGGAUAAGAUUAGGAAUGAGGAUAUCCGGGGUAAAGUAGGAGUAGCCGAAAUUGAAGGAAAGAUGAGAGAAAAUCGGUUACGGUGGUUUGGACAUGUGCAAAGAAAGGCCUACUGACGCUCCGAUUAGAAGAUGCGACUAUGGGACAGAGGUUCAGGGCCGAAGGGGUAGAGGAAGACCUAGGAAAACUUUGGAAGAGACUCUAAGAAAAGACUUAGAGUACUUGGAUCUAACGAAGGACAUGACACAGGAUCGAGCACAAUGGCGUUCUAAGAUUCAUAUAGCCGAUCCCACUCAGUGACUUGGAUUUUCCAAGUCUCCAACCGAGAAGUUUUCCUCACUCGGAAAAUUAAGGGAACACUACCCCAACCUACAUGCUCCACUCAGAAAGCUUCAACAUACAAGCUUCAACAAAAGAAAAUUCAAAGAACUUAGCGAAGAAGGCUUUGGUGUAUUAACACAAUACGUUGAAAUGAAGGAAAGCUUAUUUAUUGAUAUCCCCGAUAAGCUACAAAUAUGUACAUAUACAUGAGUCAAAAUAAACACACAAGAGGGAGCCUUCACAAAGGUUGCUUAGGAGAAGUCUCAGCAGUCGGUAGAGCCCCAGAAAGAGAAGGCACCGGAGGGGGAUCAUUUGGAGCCUCAGUACUGGACAGAACCCUAGAAGGAGGAGGCAUCAGAGGUUGAUCAUUUGGAGCUUCAUUACGCGGUACAGCCCCAGAAGACGAAGGCAAUAAAUGCCUUUGGAACAAACCCACAAAUCUCUGAUGAUCAAGUAAAACCUGACCAUCAGUUUCCUUCAUCUGGUCAAGCUUCCUCUUCAUGUUUGUAGCAUAGUCAUGUGCGAGCCGGUGCAACUGUUUAUUCUCAUGCUUGAGCCCUCUAAUCUCCUGUUUGAGACUCAUCACUUCAGCCGCCAAUGAUUCAACUUGGCGGGUUCGAGCAAAUAGGCGUUGGGCCAUAUUAGACACAGAACCUGCACACUGAACACUGAGAGCCAGCGAAUCCUUAACAGCUAACUCAUCAGACCGUUUGGAAAGUAGUCUGUUAUCUUUGGGAGUGAGAAGGUUCCUGGCCACCACCGCAGCGGUCAUAUCAUUCUUCAUCACGGAAUCCCCAACGGUAAGAGGACCAGUAGGGGAGACGAAGGAUGGGCGCCAUAUGUUGUCUGGAGAAGGCGGGGCUGCCUCUUCAACAAGGUUCAAGUCAAAACGACGGUCGGAGGGGCCAGACAUUUUCAAAGGUGUUGAAGAGAGAAGAGGUCGGACAAAUCAAGAUCUUAGAAGUGCAAGAAUGAAGCUUCUACUGGUGGAGAUUCAAGUGUGCUUUGGAACUUAAUGCCAGCCCCUAUAAAAAUCUGCACUCGACGGAGCUUCAGAAAAUCGAAGAGGCGCCUGCUCAGAAAUCGAAGAGGCGUUUGCUUUCUCAAAAGCUGGGCUGCUUAGAGAUCACGAGGGUUGAUCUCAGAAAUCGAAGAGGCGUUUGCUUUCUCAAAAGUUGGGCUGCUCAAAGACCACGAAGGCCGAUCUCAGAAAAUCGAAGAGGCGCUCGCUUUCUCAAAAGCUGGGCUCCCCAGAGACCACGAGGGCCGAUCUCAGAAAUCGAAGAGGCACCUACUUUUCCAGCCUUGUCAGCACCUGUCACACGCACACUCAGCUUUGCGGAAAUUAUGGGCAUUCUGUCGAAGACUUCUGGGGAAGUAGAAAACACAUGAAUCUUACUGUUCAAUCACCCACUUCCCACACGCAACAAUAGCUCAUGGGUACCACAGAUAACUUUGCCAAAGUUCUCUGCCAAAGUUGAGCACGUGAAGCUUGCAGCUCCCACUACAUCGCUCUGACCAAGAAGGGUAAAAGAAUAGCAAAGAAACAGCACUAACAAAGUUUAGACCCAUAAAUUUUGAAGGUCUAGCUACCAUAUUAUUACCCACAAGGGUAAAGGAACAGUACCACUGCUGGAUAAUUGGAAAGUCCCUGUGUGUCAACCUCUGUGCUUCGUGGCAAGGUAGACUAGCAAACAUGCCCAACCUUUACUCACAUUCGAGAAAACACUCCCAAUAAGAUUGCUUGCUCCAAAAUCGAAGAGGCACCGUCCUCCGAAUCUCGAGAGCCAGACUCCCAACAUGACUACUUUCUUAAAAAUCGAAGAGAGGGUAAAGGAACAGUACCAUUGCUGGAUAAUUGGAAAGUCCCUGUGUGUCAACCUCUGUGCUUCGUGGCAAGGUAGACUAGCAAACAUGCCCAACCUUUACUCACAUUCGAGAAAACACUCCCAACAAGAUUGCUUGCUCCAAAAUCGAAGAGGCACCCGCCCUCCGAAUCUCGAGAGCCAGACUCCCAACAUGAUUACUUUCUCAAAAAUCGAAGAGACACUGCUCCCCGAAUCUUCGAGAGCCAGACCCCCAGCAUGAUUGCUUUCUCAAAAAUCGAUGAGGCAUCGUUCUCCGAAUCAAUCGAAGAGGCGCUCGCUUUCUCAAAAGCUGGGCUGCUCAGAGACCACGAGGGCCGAUCUCAGAAAUCGAAGAGGCACCUACUUUUCUAGCCUUGUCAGCACCUGUCACACGCACACUCAGCUUUGCAGAAAUUAUGGGCAUUCUGUCGAAGACUUCUGGUGAAGUAGAAAGCACAUGAAUCUUACUGUUCAAUCACCCACUUCCCACACGCAACAAUAGCUCAUGGGUACCACAGAUAACUUUGCCAAAGUUCUCUGCCAAAGUUGAGCACGUGAAGCUUGCAGCUCCCACUACAUCGCUCUGACCAAGAAAGGUAAAAGAAUAGCAAAGAAACAGCACUAACAAAGUUUAGACACAUAAAUUUUUGAAGGUCUAGCUACCAUAUUAUUACCCACAAGGGUAAAGGAACAGUACCACUGCUGGAUAAUUGGAAAGUCCCUGUGUGUCAACCUCUGUGCUUCGUGGCAAGGUAGACUAGCAAACAUGCCCAACCUUUACUCACAUUCGAGAAAACACUCCCAACAAGAUUGCUUGCUCCAAAAUCGAAGAGGCACCGUCCUCCGAAUCUCGAGAGCCAGACUCCCAACAUGACUACUUUCUCAAAAUCGAAGAGAGGGUAAAGGAACAGUACCAUUGCUGGAUAAUUGGAAAGUCCCUGUGUGUCAACCUUUGUGCUUCGUGGCAAGGUAGACUAGCAAACAUGCCCAACCUUUACUCACAUUCGAGACAACACUCCCAACAAGAUUGCUUGCUCCAAAAUCGAAGAGGCACCCGCCCUCCGAAUCUCGAGAGCCAGACUCCCAACAUGAUUACUUUCCUCAAAAAUCGAAGAGACACUGCUCUCCGAAUCUCGAGAGCCAGACCCCCAGCAUGAUUGCUUUCUCAAAAAUCGAAGAGGCAUCGUUCUCCGAAUCUCGAGAGCCAGAUACCACAGACCACUUUUUCAAAGUGCUCUGACAGAGUUAAAACAUGUGAAACUGGCAGCUCCCACUACCGUGCUAUGACCAAGCAGGGUAAAGGAAUAGCAUUACUACUUGUUGUUAGGGAGACUCCUAUAUAUGUCGACCUCCAUCCCCAACGGACAGGCAGACCUGCAAAAAUGCUCAACCCUUCAUCAUAUCUGAGAGGGCACUCCCAACGAAGCCUUUCGAAAUAUUCAGCUUUCUUUCCCCCCGAUAAUACCUCUGCAAACAAGCUAUACUACUAGAGCAAGAAUAUCUCAUAUCAUCAGGGUUAAAAGCAAGAGUAUCCCAUAUCAUGCUUUUUCCCUGUCUUUUCCUUUGGCCUUGUUUUUUACCUGCAAGACAAGGAGAAAGAGAGAGCAAUCAGUCAGCACUUGGAAUCAAGCUUCCAGCCAGGAACUGACUGCCUGGAACCCCUUACCUGAUUACUUACCUGGCAUUGCUCUCGAGUACUCAUCUUCAACAUCUUAUGUUUCCAGGGAAGAUUCCGCAUCUGCUUGAGGAACAGAUAGGGCAAGUGCGAAGGAUACAAGGAAGCAUGUGGAGACAAGCGUAACAGCACACGUGCCGAUACAUCCAUUACUCUGUCAAAAGCAAAAGUAUCCCAUAUCAGCAGGGUGGAACGUACUCUAGAUUUGAUGGACUUGUUUUGACCCUCAAAUUCUUCAGUCGGCCUUAUACUCUGGAGGAAACCAGAAAACCCUCCAGCUCAGUUCAAGAAUAAGCCUGUGGAAAGUUACUUCUUCAAAAGCAAAAGUAUCUCUCAUAUCAUCUCUUCUCAUUUUUUCUUCUCUUUAUCCUUCAUGCUGCUGCAAGAUGGGGAGAAGGUGAACAAUCAGUCGGAGCUCUGAUUGCUUACCUUGUCUGUCACCUCUUUCAGCAGACCCCCUAGCUCGGCGACUUGGGGGACUCCUACUACAUGGUUUGUAUCGCGCUUGACCAAGCCUGAAACUACAAGUAAGCUUCAAGUGAAAUUGAUACAUUACCUUGUGCAUCUCCACCAGUUAAAGAUACCACCCCUGGAUGGAGGAAGAGUACUUCCAGAGAAGAUGCCACAUCUACCUAUGAGACAGAUAAGGCAAGUCAAGACGACACCACACUCCGAUACUUAGAAGUUUCGUGAUUACGAGAUCAUUCUCCCACAAUAUUUCCUAAUGUCAUUUGUACUAAAUCAUUCACUUGUACUCACUAAAGGAGAGCUUGAACCUAUGUACUUGUGUAAACCCUUCACAAUUAAUGAGAACUCUUCUAUUCCGUGGACGUAGCCAAUCUGGGUGAACCACGUACAUCUUGUGUUUGCUUUCCUAUCUCUAUCCAUUUAUAUACUUAUCCACACUAAUGACCGGAGCAAUCUAGCGAAGAUCACAAAAAAGCGACCGUUUUCGCUACCUAGGAUCUAUCUUGCAAGAGAACGGAGAAUUAGAUGGAGAUCUCAACCAUAGAAUACGAGCUGGAUGGAUGAAGUGUAAGAAUGCAUCCGGCGUGUUGUGUGACCGUCGUAGGCCACUGAAGCUCAAGGGAAAAUUUUAUAGGACGGCAAUAAGGCCAGCGAUGUUGUAUGGCACAGAAGAAUGUUGGGUGGUGAAGCAUCAACACGUACACAAAAUGGGUGUAGCGGAGAUGAGGAUGCUUCGUGGGAUGUGUGGGCACACGAGAAAGGAUAAGAUUGGGAAUGAGGAUAUCCGAGGUAAAGUAGGAGUAGCCGAAAUUGUAGGAAAGAUGAGAGAAAAUCGGCUCCGGUGAUUUGGACAUGUGCAAAGAAGGCUGAAUGACGCUCCGGUUCGAAGAUGUGACUACGGGACAGAGGUUCAGGGUUGAAGGGGUAGAGGAAGACCUAGGAAAACUUUGGAAGAGACUAUAAGAAAAGACUUAGAGUACUUGGAUCUAACGGAGGACAUGACACAAAACCGAGCGCAAUGGCGUUCUAGGAUUCAUAUAGCCGACCCCACUUAGUGGGAAAAGGCUUUGUUGUUGUUGUUGUUGUAUUCAAUGAAGAUGCUUAAAGGAGACAGUAAUAUUAGCAAUGAAGGAAUUUAAUUGAUAACUAAAACUGCAAAACAAAAUGACUACAAUAGGUUCAAAACAGAAACUCGUCCGAUAGAUAUCUCAUCUUUAGGCAAUGCCUUGUUCCCUUUUUUUUUUUUUUUUUUUUUUUUUUUUUUUGUUGCAUGUCUUGUGAACUUCAUGUAAAUCAACAAAAUUGAUACCUUAACCAACAAUGGAGAGGUAAAAAGUUAAAAACAGAAGGAAUGUCUUCAGUUUUGUAAUGGAUUUUGCAAGUCAAAUUCUGUUCGAGAAUUUGCAACCCAGAAAGUCCCAGCAAUUAUUAACAAUCACAGAUAAGCACCGAAUGAAGGCCAAUCUAAUAAGCCAAAAUAUGUAGGGCACUAAAGAAAUUAUUGCCCAGUAACAAUGAUAGAUAAGCACAUGUGAAACUAAAGAAAAUUUUCAUUACUAUCAACUCCAAAAAAAAUUACCUAUGCAAUCCAAAAAAUGUUGAUACAGAGUUGGAGUAUCGAUGCCUGAAAUUGGUAUUUGAACCACCAACUACCUCCGUGAAUAUGCUUGUCACUUAAUGGUUUGGGUUGAAGUUGUGAAAGGAAAUGUAAUUUCUUAAAAGGAAGGAGAGAAUGCAGAGAAGAAUACAGAAUGGUUCACGUGGCCACCGCAAAACAGGUUAAUAAUCAAGCUUCACUAUGAAUGGAAAGAUUAAUAGAUGAUAAUUAAGAAGGCCUGAUACCCAAGCCGAAAUCAGAGAUAUCCUUUGUAAACAAAGAGAUUGAACAUUUCCUCUCAAAAAAUAACUUUUUUUUUUGUUUUGGGGGGGAGGUUGGGAAGGCUCAGAAAAAGACAUCCAAUAUAAUACUUAUUGCAUGCAAGGUAUGAAACAGCCUCCCCCCGAGUAAAAUCACAGAAAUAAAAGAAAUCGAAUCAAGAAAAAAGAUAAUUACACAAGAAUUACACCUUCACUAAGAAAAUAAAUUAUAAAAACGAAGACUCUGAGAAUAAUUGCCUGUGAUUUGCUGCCAAAAACAAAAAUAAUGUCGUAUACAUUAAGCCUGCCGAUUACUAAAAACAAAACAUUUUUCCAUGAGAAGAAGUAAGAACAUACCGAAACUUGUUUGCUAAUAGAUGAGAAAAAUUUAUAACUGAAACAUAUAGGAAAUUUAUUAGGAAAAGAUAAACAAAACACCUAAAUUAAGCAAUUAAAUGGAGUAUUACUUGAUAGAGCUGGAAAAUUACCCAGUUCCUCAGAGAGAGGAUCAAGAGUGAAUGAUGAGAGUGCAGAGAAACGAAUGAUUGAGAAAUUCAAGCUCUGAGCUCACAGUUGGGGCUUCCACUUUCCAACUGGGGAAGAAAUAACAGAGAAAACACAAGGCCAAUCCACCAAAAAUAUUAAUCAAAUGGGUUUCUUCUAAUUCAAAAUUUUGACCACCCAAAUUCCGAUGAAGCAAUAAUUGUUCAAAAUUCCAACAGAUUGAAGGAAAAAGUAAUAAAUUUUUUUAAAACAGUAAUAAUGAAGGAAAAAGAAAUUAAAGCUGCGAGCCAUUCUCUAAAUCUCAGGCACCAAUCCAAAUCACCAGUAAUUUGCACAUAAUGAUAAGAAUCUAGCAAUACUUCCAUUGUUUAAAACCCAAAUUCCAGAAAUCAUGAAAAAUGGAAACUUUAUAUGGAAAUUGAAGCUUUACCUGCAGAUCAGCAGCAGCAAACGAAAUUCAAGAAGUCACGAUUAUCGACGCGUGGGUAGCAUUCCACUGUGCCAAGGACGAAAAUGAACGGGGAAUGUAGAGCUGGCUGACGAAGACAGGAUUCGCGAAGCGCUCUGAUUUUUUUUUUCACGAGAAUGCGGAAUGAAGAGAAGCGAGUAGAGGAGGAAUCAUUUUAAGCGAUGAUCGACGCGUGGAAAUUGAGGGCAAAUCUGCCAUUUUGCUGUGAACGAAAGUGAAAAAAGGCACAAUCAAAGAGUAAUUUGAGGGCAUUCUAGCCACUUUAAUAAACAGUAGCUUUGUGUUUGAGAUUUAAUAUAGGUAUAUAUAGAGCCCUACAGAGCAACUCCACCCAUGGAGCCCUCCUCUCUGACAAUCUACUAUUGAAUUCACCUUUUUGAACAGUAACUGCCUUUAAUAAAUAGUAACUACCAUUAAUGAACAAUAAUUGUCAUUUGCAUCUCCACCCUUGGAGCCCUCCCCCCUGGCAAUAGGCAAUAAAAUAUUAAUUUUUUUUGUUUGUUUAAAUAAUACAAAAUAAAAUUAUUUGUAAUUUUGGAUAAGAUUUUUUAAAUCGUUCUCGUUGCGCCACGUGUCAUUUUAUAAAAAAAACAAUUAUUUAGCGAUGGAUUUCGAUAAGAUUUUUAUCCAAUGUCAUCGUGUCACAUGUCGUUAUCUUUUGAUAAUCUUUGACGAUAUCUUUCGAUCAGAUUUUAACUCGUUCAAAAUUGCGUCACGUGUCAUUAUUCGAAAAGAUAAUUAUUGGAGAUCGAUUUCGAUAAGAUUUUUAUCCAAUACGAUCUUGUCACGUUUCAUUAUCUUUCAUAAUAUUUGAGGAUAGAUUUCGAUCAGAUUUUUAACGAAUGACGGCAUGCCACGUGGCCUUAUCUACAAUCCAAUCCUUUCUGAAUCAUCCAUAUAAUCCACCAUCCAUCCUCACAAAUCUCACACCAAAUUUCUCAACAUUUCUAUCUCAUUAUUCAUAGUUUCUGCUUCUUCUUCACCAUCCAUCAUUACAAUGUCUUCUUCUUCAUCAAGGAUGAUGUGGGAAAUCGAUCAGCAAGAGGAAGAAUUGUUUAACCAAUCUGAAGGAAUGUUCAACCUUCAGAUAGCCGAAAAUGAGAUGGAUGAGGAUGAGGAGCGUAGAAGGAGAGACGACGAAACAAGAAUGGCCAGAGCCUCACAUUCCCGUUGAGUCAUCCAGACUGUUGCUCAGAUAUGCAUGCCCAACCGUUCAAGAAACCUUGGUAGAAGCAGGCAACGAUGGGGUGAAGAGCUAUUGGACGAUUACUUUGUCCAUAACAGUGCAUUUCCUGAUACGUACUUCAGACGUCGUUUUAGAAUGGAACGACAUUUGUUCAACAGAAUCAUGACUGAUGUUUACAACCAUGAUUCUUACUUUGUGCAAAAGAAUGAUGCUUGUGGUGUUAUGGGUUUCCUGCCUGAGCAAAAAAUCACUGUUGCGUUGCGGAUGCUUGCGUAUGGAGCAUCUGUAGACCAAGUGGAUGAGAUAACGAGGAUGGGGAAAUCAACCAUUCUUGAGGCCCUUAUGAGGUUUUGCGGAGCAGUCGAAUCUUUGUACACCGCAUAGUACCUCCGAAAACCUACUUGUAGGGACUUGCAAAGGCUUCUGAAGAAGGGCGAGAUGCGAGGUUUUCCUGGGAUGAUAGGAAGCAUCAAUUGUAUGCACUGGACGUGGAAAAAUUGUCCAAGUGCAUGGCAAGGCGCAUAUGGGGACAUAAAAGGAUCAAAAACUAUCAUUUUGGAGGCAGUGGCAUCUUUUGAUACAUGGAUAUGGCACGCCUUUUUCGGGGUUCCGGGGGCUCAAAAUGAUCUCAACGUCCUUGCCCAAUCCCCAGCGUUCAACGACAUCCUGCAAGGAAAGGCACCAAAAGUCACGUACAUCGUCAACGGACGUAGGUACGACGGGCCAUACUAUCUAGCUGACGGCAUUUACCCACGGUGGGAAACAUUUGUCAAAACAGUGCCACGUCCGCGAAGUGCAAAGGAAAAACACUUUGCAAGCUGUCAAAAGGGGUGCAGGAAGGAUGUGGAGCGUUGUUUUGGUAUCCUUCAAGCUCGUUGGGCGAUCGUCAGGGGUGCUGCCAGAAUGUUCGAUGUAGAGUCACUUUGAUCCAUCAUGAUGACAUGCGUCAUUCUUCACAAUAUGAUUGUGGAAGAUGAGUUCGAUUAUGAUGCGGUUGAUGAAUAUGAGCCAGAGCCAGACACGAUGAACAAUUCAAGAACACGGAUAUAUUGUGCGCAUGAUGCCACCAAAGAACCCGUGCAACAUGAGCCAUUAGAAAGGGAUGAACGUUACAAUGAAAUGGUCAUUCAACGAUAUACUGCACUUCAAAUGUCAUCUAUGCACAAUGAUCGGCAAAUUGACUUGAUAGAGCACCAGUGGACAUUAAAACAAGCUGAAGAUACUUAAGUUUAUUUAGUAUGUUUGUUUGUAUUUGGUAUGUUUAUGUAAUUUUAUUUGGUGUGUUUUUUGUAGUGAGUUUUUUAUUAUUUCGUAUGUUUAUGUAAUUUUAUUUGGUGUGUUUAUGUAAUUCCAAUUGGUAAGAAAAUAUGAAAUUGUGGUGUAAGGUAGAUGGAGAAGAAGUGGUAUUUAUAGAAAAGUAAAAACAAUUUUUUACAAAUUUUUUUUUUUAGAUUUUUUACAAUUUUUUCGGAUUUUUUCCAUUUUUUUUAAUUUUUUUUUCAAAUAAUUAAUCUCUGCCGUUGGAUUUAAAAAAAAUUGAAUUCCAACACUCCAGAUUGUGCCACGUGUCACAACGGUAAUUUUUCUUAAUUUUAAAACUAUUUUUUCUUUAUUUAUAAAGCAUAUUAAUAUCGACCGUUGAUCUGAAAUCGAACGGUUGAUAUUAAAUAAGAUUUGUUUUAUUUUUUUUACCGUUGAGAUCCAACAGUCCAAAUGAAAGAGCCGUUGAGAUCGAACGGACCGUGGGAAACCACGUGGCUUCCCAAUGGUAACUGAGACAACUGCAAAAGUGGGCUGCUUUUCUGAAAAGCUGUCAGGCGACGCGCCCCCACGCGCGAGUGGGGUGCACGCGCCUGACAAAAAAAAAAAAAAUGGGUGAAGAGCUCGGGCUCACGGCUGUCACAAAUUGACAGGCCUUCUGCUCGGGCCUUCUCCACGAGCUCGGGCUCUUCAAGACUGGAGCUGAUUGACUAGCCCUCGGGCCUUUCUUUUCCCCUGUCCCCCGGCCUACAUGCAUGGGUGGAGUUGCUCUAAGAGAAGGGAUUUCCAUUCUUGUUUUUUUAAAUGUGGACACCUUUUUUACUGUUAGAUUUGACUUUAACGAAAUUUUGUGGUUGAGAUUAAAUCACAAACCACAGAAUCUCAACCAUAGAAUUUCAUUAAAGCUAUAUUUAACGAUCAAUAGGGUGUUCCCAUUUUUUUUGAAAAAUAGGAAUCCCUUCCCUUAAGGCUUUCAGUAUAUUAUAUACACUAAAACUCAAUUGAUGAACACUGUUCAUUAACAGUGAUUUUACGUUUUAGCCCCUGUUUUGCUGUUUGUUUGCCCUUUUAUUUUUCGAUCUUAACAGUAAAAUGACAGUUUUGCCCGUUCUUUCCACGCGUCAGUCAUCGUUGAGCUCUUCACUUCAAGAGUCUUCUUUUAGGUUUAGCCUUUUCUUUGCACUGGUGAUUCUCUGAUUUCGUCUCUUCGUCUCGCCCUCUGUUUUUUCUCAAAUCCUCCAUUCCUCUCAAAUAUUCCGUUCUUUAUUUCACAAAAUAUUCAGGAGAAAGUUCCUGAUUUUCGUGUUUUAAGGGAUAUAAUGAUUUGGUGUUGUUUAUCUCAAACAGCGGGCUUGCAGGUAAAAUGUUAAGCUUUAUGUCCAAAGCAAUCUUUCUCUGCAUGCUGACUGUGUGUUGAUUUGAAGGGGUGGUUUAGUGAAUGGGUGCUUCUUAUUUUUGGCCUUUCUCUAUUAUCAUAUAUGUUUCUCUAUUCUCAGGUAUCAGAUCAUUCGAAACAAAAACAUUUUAACGUUAUUUUUGCAGGUUAAUGUUGGGUUUGAGUCCAACACGAUAUACACUUGAACAGAGUAGAGUAGAAGACAGUAUGCAAACAUGAUUUAGGACACAGUUUACCUAAUUGUAAACACUCUGUGAAAUAUUAUUAGUUAUGAACAUCCAAUUUGAAUCCCCCACAUGCUAAAUUAGGUACCAUUAAAUUAGUUUUAUGUCUUUUUUUUAUUUGAAAGCUGCUUCUUAUUUCUGUCUCUAUUAAGAUUCUGGGGUGUGCUUUGGAUUUGCUACAUAUGGUCAUAUUUUUUGUCAUUGGCUUUUUGUUCUGCUUAGUUUUUUUUAAUCGAGUGUUUUAUCUGGUAUUUCAUUUUGUUUUGUUUAUUUGUUUCCUUUUUAUGUUUAAAUGUUUUUUGUUCUUUCUAAAUUUGGGCUUCUGGGAAAUUCUUGCUCACUGUUUGGAUUCCGAGAAAAUUUAGGGGAUGUCCAGUAAUAUUCACAUCCUGAAAACUCAGUGAAAAUAGAUACCAAUUUAUGUGCAGCUGAAAAUUUUGUUAUCUGAUUCUGUUCUAAAUAACAUGAUUUAUUUGUUUUUUAAACUUUUAAUUAUUUCGUAUUUAUUUUGUGAUUGCAGAUGUUUAAAUGAUGGAGAGUUUCGCAAAGCUGUUACUCGGAGGAGACAUGUCUAGAUGAGGGAAAGGUGUCUCCACUGCCCUUGCUAUCUCAAAUGCCAUCACCAAUCUCUCUGGUUAGUCACAUUCCUCUUGGAAUAUGCAUAUUCUUAUGUGAUGUUGGCUGAUACCUUGGUGAGUCAACUUAAUAAAAAAUGUGAGAUGGACAAAUUGAAAAGUCUAUUUUCUUCUCAUAUGCAUCCUUUAACAUAUGUCAGUUUUAAUUAUUGAUGAGCAAUUGAAAAUUUAGUUUUUCUUCUCAUGGUACACUUACAUUGGUAGUUCAACAUAUGUUUGUUUAACAUAUCUUAUUAAAUGCAUUUGAGAAUCGAUUGAAGAAACUCAGUUCUUUUAGCAAUUAAGAACAAGGUAAACAUAGUUGUAAAUAUGUGUAAAUAAGAUAGGAAUUUUGAUGAAUUUAUGUUUUUUCCUCCGUUUUUCAGUGUUUUCAGGCAUUGAAGCUAAAUAUGGAGAGGGUUUUGAGACUUUUAGACCUAUUGGACCUCUCAAGGUUUGCGUGGUAAGGAGUUUAUGGAGUUAUACGCAUAGUAGGCAUUAUAUUUUAUGUUCUGUUGAAUUUAAUUUAAUGGUUAUAUUUUAUGCUCCUAUGAGUUAUUACUGUUAUGUUUACUCUGAGUAGGAUUUGUUGAACGACAAACUGCAAGGAGGUUUUCUUAAACGAAUAUGAUAUGCUAUGAAACCGAAUGAAGCUUACUGUCUUCUAUUCUCUUUUGUUAAUUUCGUGGUAAGUUUCUAUAACACUGAUUAGUUAUGUCUUCGAGGUUCUAAUGGCUAGAUAUGCUAAUGUAAUGAACUAUGGAAUAUUGUAAUAGUUUAUGGUCAAUGUGAUCCCAUAUCUGUUUGAUUGAAAUAUUGUUCUAUAACAGGUUUAAACUUUGUUUUUCCAAUACCUUAUCACAAAAUAAUUCCACCUUGGACAAAUUACAAGGUAUGCUGCAACAUGUGCUUUGAUUAAUUGCAUUCAAAUUGAUACUGCUUAAGAAUGCAUUUGAACAUGUUGAAUUUCACGCCCGCAGCAUCGCGCGGGCAAUAUUGCUAGUAUAAUAUAUAAUUGGGUGAUAAAGAGAGUAGGUGAAAGAACACAAUUUGCUCUUAAAAAUGUUGUUUUUAAGAACGAGUGAUUUUUCUUUUCUGACUCUUUCUGUCUAACCCAAAAGCAUACUGGUAAUAGGGUCCAGUAAGAAAAUUAUUUUUAGAAAUUAAACAUGAAAAAAUACAAAAUUUACAAUUUCGAAUUAUACAAAAAAGACAAAAAAAGCGCAAAAUAAAAAGAGCAGGACAGAAAAACAGAAACAAAAGAAAGGAGACACUAAGAAUACAAAUAGCGUGAUUUGAGCCCUCAAUUUUGGCAGGCAACAUGAUUGUUAACGCAUGAUUGUGAACCCAUCCAUUGAAGAAAGAAGCAUCAUAAUACACAAGAGUCAAGACUGGGCUUGGUUUAUAUAAUGAAUAAUGUUAGGGAGAUCAAAUUUUUUAAACUAAAUUUGUAAAUUAAAUGAUGUAGUUAUAGAUGAUUGGGUUAUUACUAAGUGUCGAUUAAUAUGUUUAUUUCUUAUUGGUGACAUAUCAUUUGGUUUAAAAAUUUGGUCUCCCUAGCAUUAUCCUUAUAUAAUUAAUCAAUAAUAUUCCAUAACAAGAGCUAGGUCCAUAUAUUACGAGGUUAUAAAAUAUGCUAGGUGCUAGUCGAGAGGCGGGCGGGGCCUAAGCAGAUUUAAGUAAAUUUAUUAUAUAUUGUAUAAAUAAAUGCCUUUUUAUACUUAAAAUGACACACAAUUGUAUCGAAAUAUAUAAAUUGCAAAAUAAAAUGACAUAUAGAUUAUAAAUUACUAGAACAUAAUGAACAAUCAUAUAAUGAGGGUUUAUCCAAAUAUUUAUUGGAAAACAAAAAACAAAAUGAGUGUUAUCGAUUUUCUGUCUAAAUGAAAGUUGCGGGCUAGGCAGGUUUAAGUGGGUUAGGCGGACGCCUAAGCAAGUCUAGAGCACUUUCUUAAUUUUUAAAUGAUUAGGGACUAAUUAGGGUGGUGGACAACUGCCUAGCGCUAGACAUGGGUUUUUAGAACAGUAAUUACUUGUUCUCAUAGAUCUCUGGGUUCAAGAAAAUUAUGAUCACCUAUUGUUCGAUCUUAAUACCGUCGGUAAGCGGUUAUUUAACCAUUUUUUAUAUUGAGUAAUUUUCCUGGAUCCUGAAAUCUAGAAGAACAAAACUCUUAUGUCACAUGGAUAAACAUAAUCAGGCAUAAGAAAAAGGUUGAAGAAUUCAUAAGUCAUAUAGGGGGCGUUUGUUUGCCCUCACUAAGUAUCACUGGACUAACUAUUAGUCCAGUCCCGUGUUUCUUCUGUAGAGGGAUUAUGUUUCAUGAGACUAAAGGGGAGUCACACGGACAAACUCCUUCACUAGGAGUUCUUAGCGAGAUCCCCCAAUGCCCAUGGGAUUGCUAAGACCUCGUAUACUCCAUCUUUGUAUGCUAUGUCUCAUCCUCUCUAUGCUCUCUAUUAUCUUGAGCACCAUCACACCACAACUCACCAACUCCAGUGAGAUCACACCACCAACCCACCACCACUUUCUCCCUCUCUCUUCACAUGAACCCAAAAUUUCGAACUGAGGAAGAUCCCGUUCUUACAGUAAUUCGUCCAGCUCUAGCUGUCUGCUUCGCUUCGCUGCACUUCAAACUCGACCUUGGACUCGUCUGAUUCGCUUUGAACUCGACCUCGUAUUUGUCGACUUUACGCAAUUGACGAGAUCUUGUGAACUUGAUGAUGGGUGAGCCACCCAGUGCACUUGAAGGAAUAUGGGAGGCCAAGAACGCCAAAGCCUACGACGGCAAUGAAGACGUUGGCUGGAUUGGGAUGACAGCGACGUGUUCCACAUCAAGGGCAGCGGCUUGGGAUUCUUGUUUUCAUUUGGUUUUGAUUUAAAUUAGGUUUUGAUUUCGAAUUGGGUUUGAUGUGAUCUGGUAUUGGCAUUUGAUUUGCUCUGUAAUUGUUUGAAUGUGUGGAAUAAAUUUUGGGGAAAGAGGAAGAAAAUUUAGAAAAAGAAAAAUAGACUAAAUAAUAAAAUAUUAAUAUAUAUUAGAUUAAAUAAUAUCAUAUUAGAAUUUAUUAUUAUCCUACUUCUUGGUCCGACACUGCACCAAACGCUUUACUAAGCUAAUCCAACUUAGUCUAGUCUAAGUCAAUCCAGCUUAGUUCCUGAAGUUAGUCUAGUCCAAGACAAUCCGGUGCAACAAACACAUUCAUAGAGUAAUUAUAGGGAUACUAAAUUUGUAAAUAAAAUUUUGUAAACUAAAUGACAUGGAAGUUGAUCGUUGAAUUAUUACUUAAACGUUAAUAAAUGUACUCAUUAUCACUAAAGACACGUUAUUUAAUUUGUAAAUUUUAUUUAUAAAUCUAAAGCAUUACCCAAACUCAUAAUACAAAUAGCUACUUUGAGAGAAGAAAAGAUGGAGAGUGAUAUGAUUGCAUUCUUUUUUAAAGCAACUUCUGAAGAUUCCAUAAUAAACUAUUAUUAUAUAUGAAGAUGUGCCGUGGUAAAAGAGAGGAAAAAAUGAAUGGAAAGUUUAUCCAAAAGAUUCUUGACCGUGAUUACAACUAUUUAACUUUUGUAAAUUUUCAUGGACCGAGAUCCAAGAAAAGAUGGAGAGUGAGAUUGGCAUUCUUUUUUGUAAAGGGAUUUUUUUUCCGAUCCCUUCCAUCUAAUUCACCUGAGUCAACCAUUUGAGUUCUUGAAAUUUAUUUAAACAACUAAAAUUAUUAUAACUUUUAAUGAAGCCCCUAUUUGUAGUCGUUAAAUCAAAUUUUAAAGAUUCGAAUUAGUGAAUUAGGUGGAUUAGGUGGAAGGGAUCCGAAGAAUAUCAAUUUCCUUCUUUUUCAACACAACUUUUGUUGAGUCCAUAAUAAACUAUUAUAUGAAGAAAGAAUACUAAAAAGACUCUCUCAAAAUCGAAACUUUUUGCGAACUUUUUAGCAUCUCAUGUUUUUGAGAUUAAUAACUAACAUUAUCUGAGAUUUAUUAAGUUUUCACAAAAUUCCCUUACGUAUGAGAUAUUACGCUAACAACACUUUAGUGUAAUGUCUCAAACGUAAUGGGACCUUGUAAAAUUUGAUUAACUUCGACAGUAUUAGUAUAUUUUUAUGUAAAUAUUAUAAAAUAUUAUGUUAAAUACAUUAAAUAACAGAUAGUCUUUAAGAGAGAUUUCUUACAUCUUUCUAAUGGAUACGGACGGUGGAAAAAGAUCAUUCCAUAAUUAAAUAUUGUGCUGUUGAUUACGCGUCUCUCCAUUUGACUAAGUUCCUUUUCACAUUCUUCCCUAAAUAAAAUGGUUCACUUUUCACAUUAUUACAAUAUUUAUAUUUAUAUUUUUACAAAAGGGAUUCGUCUAAAUUAAAUUUUUCGAAAAAUUUCGUAUAGUGAGUGAAAGUGAAACACUCCCUUUGUUAUGAUUAUGACAAUAUUUAUAUUUUUACAAAAGGGAUUUAUCUAAAUUAAAAUUUUCAAAAUUCCGAACAAGAUUUGAACUUUCGUGUAUAUGAAUAUAUGGAGUAAAUUGAUCAUGGCUGAAAAUAUGGCAGUGGUUGUGUUUGUGUUGCCUAACGGAUGAUAUUGAAAUACCUAAACACAAGUCAAGCUCCUUCAGUUAACAAAAACAGAAGUUUAUAAUAUGAUAAUGUUGGCGCACGGACUUGAGAAACAACAUAGGCCGGGAAUGUGCACAAAAAGUAAGAGAGAGGUAAAGAGGAAAGAAACGAACAUGAAAGAACAAAGACUAUCGAAUACAUUAUAAAACAAUGACUUCUUGGUAGUCAUUACAUCUCAACCAUCAAUAAUGCAUUAAUUUUGGUUGAAAUGUAGAAGUAUUUGAGAAGUAGCAUGACAACAACCACAUAAUAAACAAAAGUGGACGCAAAUGUGAAAGGAUAAUUAAAAACAAUUAUUCAAGAUGGGCGGUAGUUGAUUCAGCCAUUUAGAAGAUUCAAACCUAGAAUCAUUAUUGUAUUAACUAUUAACAGGUGCUAUAAUAUAGUUCUUAGGGAUUUCAAGGAGGCAUAUGGGGGACUACAUAAUGUGCAAUAGGAUUAAACUUUUUUUGUUACUAGGCAAAUGAACCAUAUUGAAAAAAGUUGAGGUUUAACCAUAAAAUUAAUUGACGAUAUAAAAAGUAGCUCAACCUCUUAUAAGCGUUUGCAAGAUUUCUCUUUUGACCUAUACAAGACUCUUUUACUUUCACAUCCUCGAACAUAUAAUACACCCAAAUGGAUGCCAAUAUAUAAACAUUGUUUUGAAAGGACAAGGGAGCUAACAGUGUCUUUUUAUAUGACUUGGACUUGGAGUACGGGCUGCAAAUUGCAUGCAAUUGCAACGAGAGCCAAAGAUAAUUGCCUUGUCCUUCAAAUUUGUUGGUAAAUUGGGGAUUGCACGAAGAUUUUCGCACUAAUCUGAAUACAGUGUUUCAAGCUUUUAAAGACCACUGAAGCUUUGAAAACUCUGUUGAUUUUACUUCCCAAGUAAGUGACAUAAAACUAAAUUGGGCAGUUGCAUGACAACAACCACUUAAUAAUCAAAAGUGAUUCGAAAAAGACCGAAAGUGAGAUGACCGCAUUCUUUUUCAGACAACUUUGGUAGAUUCCAGAAUAAACUAUUAUACAUGAAGAUGGGCGGUGGUAAUUGUCCUUUUGAUUAAAGUUUUUUGAGUCGAAAAUCAUUUUUCUAUAAUUAAUUCUUAACUAGAAAUUUGUACCAGUACACCGUUGUGGGACUGAAAAUCUUAUGAAAUAUUUUAUAACUUUAAUUUUCAUAAAUAAUGUGCGAGUGAAAAACAAAAAAUUACGAAUGGUAAUGCAAUUUAUAUGUAACCUUAUCAUGAACGGAACAAAUUUAGAUACUAAAAGAAAAAUUAAAAAUCUAUUUUUUCAAAGUGCGAAGAGAUAAUUGUUUAUUAAAAAAGUUGGACCAAUGAUAACUGCAUAAAUUACAAAUGCAAUAUUAAGAGUAUACCAGUCAAACUAAGCUUGCUACAGGCUAAACAAUGUUGAAAAACAUCAUUAGCUUUUUCAAGUGUUAUAUGCAAUGAAUGUAAUUAGCACGAAACUAGCACGAAACUGCAGAGGCUUUCGAUCCAUUAUAAUAUAAAAUAAAUAAUAAUAUUUACGUAUAAAAUAUGAUAUGAUUAUAUGAAAGUAACGACCCAAAUCUUAUUGGAGCUAAUUAACUAAUGUAUGCUCAUCAGGCAGCUGGAUUCCUUGGCAAGUGUUUAACCCCUACUUUCUUCACGCUCACAGAAUCACCAUUUGCAAAGUCAAUCGGCCUCACACCAAUAAAAACUUAAUCCCCGGCUAGUAAACUGAUCAGCUUAUCGUCCGAUAUAUGUCACUGCAAAGAUAAUCACCUUGUCUUUCAAAUUUGUUGGUAAAUUGGGGAUUGCGAGAAGAUUUUCGCACUAAUCCAAAUAUAUUGUUUCGAGCUUUGAAUGACCACUGAAGCUUUGAAAAGUCUGAUGGUUUUGUUAGGUCAUGUGUAUGACUAACGUUAAUGAUUUUCAACUUCCCAAGCAACUGUUACACAACUAAAUUUAAAAUCCAAGAGGAGGAUAUGAUCAGAGAAGAAAGAAAUGCAAUCCACUAAUAAUCAACAUCGAUAUUGUCUUCAACUUAAUCAUGAAUAAGUUUUAAGGCACAAAAGACCUCAUGCUUUUGUAGUUGAGCCAUUUAAUGUAAGGAGAAUCACAAUGUUAGUUAACCACAUCACAGUACAAAAGCACUAAAAGCGUCCAAGUGAAAGUGAAAGUGCUUUCUUCUCAUGUAGUUUCAUUUAACUUAAUUUUCCACAAUGGUAAUUAUGUUUCAAUGGUUCUGUUUUCACAUGCCAGUCGGUCAGUCACAUACUCAACUCCUUAAUGUUCGGGCUCAAUGGCUCGAAGAGAGCUUCCACUUCACUCUGAUUCACCUCCUCUAACUUUGACGGAUUCCACUUCGGAUUCUGCAUUGACAAGAAACAGAAGCCAGAGAUAAAGAUUCGUUGAUAUACGGAAAGUAAGAUGAUUAUACAACCGUAGGUCUAGUAGAGGCUGUAAUGGUUUAUGUUGCAGCAACUGCGUCAGCAAGUGAUUUUAUAGCAAGGAAUCUUGAGCAUAAUUAACGAACCUGAUCCUUGUCCACCAAAACUGCCGUACACCUUCAGCAAAAUCAUUCCGUAAAGACGAUCUUAUAGCAACGUGAUAUUCAGUUUCAUCACACCAGUUAACUGGUAUUGGUCAAGUAAAGCACAUGUUACUUUCUGAAAAUUUGAAAUACUACAACGCAAAACCUAUCAAAAGGAUGCAACCAUGUGAUGCAAGAAACGAAAAGGUACAAAGUCCAGACUCACUCUGGAUAAUUGAUUGUCAUUUUUCCCAAGCACGGAUGCAACUUUAGCGAAAUAAUUUUGUGUCAAAAAAGUGAAAACAGAGCACCCUUUCCAAGACCUUAAAGAGCUUCGUUAGCCCACUCACCACUGCAAUACAAACAAUUUAUACAAAAUACUUGACAGCGACAUACAAGCUGCUCAAUAGACAAAUGGCAUUAAAAAACUUACCAGUAGCAUCUGAACUCUGAUGCUGCUUUUUAAGUUCAUCAAUUGUCUCAAGAACCAACUUAUCUGCACCAAAUGCUGAAGUUAUUUGAGGUAAAAGAGUCUUGAGUUGCGCUUCAGAAUCUGGGUAGCUGGUGAAUUUCACCACAAUUGUUUCAAUGUCCUGAUGGGGAUCCUGGGAACUGAUUCAACAAUGGAGUUGCUUUUAUCUCAAGAAACGCAUUGGACAAUGUGAUGAUGGCAACUAAAGUUAAACCCACUGAAGCAUUGGAAAUUGCGUCUGAGGAUAGAAAAGGCAUACCUGCAGAUACUCCUCCCAGACUCUUUGCCUCUAUAUGUGAAAACCCAUCUGGGAACAAACCAAUUCCAUUCUCUGGCAUAGCAAGAACAGUCCUCAGAAAUGUAUCCAUACAAAGUUUGACACACAAAAUUAAAAAAGCCAUUGCAAUGUAAUUGACAACAUUGACAAUCUCUGUCUGACCGGGCAAUAAUGCCUCUGUAAUGAUCCGGUAGCGACUGUGACCUGAUAGGCCAAUACCAAAGCCCACUGUUAUGCCAUCCAUGAAGCUUAUAUGGGCUUCUUGUACUCGGAGAUAUUGCAUAUUAGAGAAUACUCAGCAGUGAAUACCUGAAAAACGUGCAGCACAAAUAUCAUAUCGGUAGCCUCUCAAAUCUUAAGAAAACUACAAAUGGUAGCUUAGAAAAGAAAUGAAUCCUCUCCAACCAAUACAAAUCAUAUUACCCAAGUUCAAGCAAAAUCAAGACUAAACAAAUGACCAGAUGUUGUAGGUUGCCAGAGAAUGUCAAACAUGAAAUUACAAAAGAAAAAAAUAAUCGUAUGUAUUGAACAUUAAUAAAUACAUGCUGAAAGCACAAUCUUAGCCGCAAUUUAUGACAUUUAUACAAGAUUAAAUCGCCAAAGAAAUUAAAGAAAUUGCAGAGCUCAUAUAAGUGAUGUUCACUAUGAACUUUUAGGCUUAUCAACAAAUACACCAUAACGAUUCUAAUGCAUGAAUUUUGUUAAAGGGGGCUUGCUUGCUUGUAUUAAGGCUUAAUCAUCAAUGAUUUUGCAAGGGUCAAUCGUAUUGCUAGUUGUAAAUCUAUUCACUAUGAAAAUUACCAAAAUUACAUCUAAUAUGGUAGUGAAGGAAGUCAUCUUACAUUAUCUGGAAUUUAGAAAACUGUGUAAGGUUAUAAUAUAUGGUUACAAGGACACAAUUAGACCUCAAUCAUAUUCGGUGGUUGGUUUUUGGCCGUGAUCUGCUUCACAUCACCGCCUGCAGGUAAACUAAAUCUGGGUUACUACAUAUCAAUGAAUCAACGUGCCAACUUAACGGACACCAUCUAUCUCUAUAUGGCAAAAAAAACAACACAAAAAGGAACAUGAAGUGAAACAAUAAACAACAUGACAUGAAACAGCACGAACAUCAAAGACCAACAAUCUAUCACGUAAGCACCUAAACAAGAAACAACUUUAGUUCAAAGCAAAGCGUAAUGUAGAAACCUUCGGCACAACAGGUGUGUUUUUGUCCUUUCGAGUUUCGGCAACAACCACUUUAAUAUCCUUUCCUGCAUUUACCAUGAUUGGUCACUCUUAAAACCUUAACUCCGCCGUGUAAGUUUAUCUUACAUUGCCGGUCCCAAGCCCGGAUAAAGGAGGAGGGGGAGGGCGUCAGGUAGUCGACAGCCGGCACUCCAUGAUUACGUCGAAUCCUUACGAAAAUGAAUCCAGAACGAAAUCGCGCUAAAGCUAGGGCGUCACCCGUAAGUGGCGCGCUGUGUGGCCCGAGCACAGUGAUAAGUGAGCAAGGGUCGCUAUAUCUCCAUCGGCACCCGGAUGCAGUGUUAAAUGAGCAAGGGGGCUAUAGAAACUUCUUUUCGAACGACUCCACUCAAAGUUGUUUGGGAGCAUAUGCUCCUAUCAACUUUACACGGGACACACAAAAGAAGUACUUUGAUCCUAUUAGACGGGGAAGGGUGAAGAAGCUAGGACAGAAGGGUAGAGUUCAAGAGAGCAAAAUGCGUUUAGGAACGUGGAAUAUAGGAACCUUGACGGGAAAAUCUAUGGAAGUAGUAGCAGUUAUGGUGAGGAGAAGGAUAAAUAUUAUGUGCCUACAAGAAACUAAGUGGGUUGGGCGUAAGGCAAAGGAUCUAGAAAACUCAGGGUUUAAACUAUGGUAUUCGGGCACAAAUAGAACGAGAAACGGUGUUGGCAUCAUCGUGGACAAGACCUUGACACAAGAUGUUGUAGAUGUUAAGAGGGUAGGAGAUAGAAUCAUGUCAAUCAAGAUUGUAAUAGGACAAGAACUUAUCAAUGUGAUUAGUGCGUACGCACCUCAAGUAGGGUUGGAUACGAGUUCGAAGGAGAAAUUUUGGGAAGACCUUGGAGACUUGGUGCAAGGAAUUGCUCAGACGGAGAAGUUAUUUAUAGGAGGAGAUUUAAAUGGACACGUGGGCAGGGAGACAGACAACUAUGGAGGUUUUUAUGGUGGCCAUGGUUUUGGGGAGAGAAAUGAGGAUGGGGAAGCUAUCUUGAAUUUUGCAAUGGCAUAUGAUCUCUUCUUAGCCAACACCUUCUUUAAGAAGAGAGAAGAACAUGUGAUCACCUACAAGAGUGGGUCGUCAAAAACACAAAUAGAUUUUCUCCUAAUGAGGAAAGGGGAUCGUAUAACUUGUAAGGAUUGCAAAGUUAUACCAGGAGAGAGCGUGGCUAAUCAACAUCGCUUGUUGGUGAUGGAUGUAAAUAUCAAAAGAGUGAGAAAAAAGAACAAGACUUGGAAGUGCCCAAGGACUAGAUGGUGGAAUCUAAAAGAAGAAAAACAAGCCAUUUUCAAAGAGAAAGUAAUCACCCAGUGUGUGUGGGAUAGAGAGGGGGAAGCUAACCAAAUGUGGGAUUCCAUGGCUAGUUGUAUCCGAAAAGUAGCAAAAGAGGUAUUAGGAGAGUCCAAGGGCUUUGCCCCACACCAAAAGGAAUCUUGGUGGUGGAAUGAGGAGGUACAAACAAAGGUGAAGGCUAAGAAGGAAUGUUGUAAAGCCUUAUACAAGGAUAGGACCGAUGAAAAUGGUGAAAGGUAUAGAAAAGCGAAGCAAGAGGCGAAGAAAGCUGUGAGAGAAGCUAAGUUAGCGGCUUAUGACGAUAUGUAUAAGCGACUAGAUACCAAAGAAGGAGAGUUGGAUAUCUAUAAACUAGCUAGAGCAAGGGAAAAGAAAGACAAGGGACCUAAACCAAGUGAGGUGCAUCAAGGAUGAGGAUGGAAAGGUUCUUGCUACAGAGAACGCGGUUAAAGACAGAUGGAAAGGUUAUUUUCAUAAUCUUUUCAAUGAAGGACAUGAAAGGAGUGCUUCUUUAGGGGAGUUGAGUAACUCAGAAGAGUGUAGAAACUACUCUUUUUUAUCGUAGAAUUCGGAAGGAAGAAGUGGUUGUAGCUUUGAAGAAGAUGAAGCAUAGAAAAGCAGUAGACCUAGACGAUAUACCAAUUGAAGUGUGGAAAGUUUUGGGAGAGACAGGUAUAACAUGGCUCACUGACCUUUUCAAUAGGAUUUUGAAAACGAAGAAGAUGCCAAAUGAGUGGCGAACGAGCACUUUGGUGCCUAUCUACAAGAAUAAGGGUGAUGUACAAAAUUGCAUGAACUAUAGGGGUAUUAAGCUAAUGAGUCAUACAAUGAAGCUCUGGGAGAGAGUCAUUGAGCAUAGAUUGAGGCAAGAGACACGGGUUUCGGACAACCAAUUCGGGUUCAUGCCAGGGCGCUCAACCAUGGAGGCAAUCUAUCUCUUACGAAGAUUGAUGGAAAGAUAUAGAGAUGGGAAAAAGGAUUUACACAUGGUCUUUAUAGAUUUGGAAAAAGCGUAUGAUAGGGUCCCAAGAGACAUUCUUUGGAGGAUUUUAGAGAAGAAAGGAGUACGAGUAGCAUAUAUCCAAGCUAUACAGGAUAUGUAUGAAGGAGCAAAGACUGCCGUAAGAACUCAUGAAGGACAAACCGAAAGCUUUCCCAUAACUGUAGGAUUACAUCAAGGCUCAUCCUUAAGUCCUUACCUUUUUGCGUUGGUAAUGGAUGAGUUAACAGGACAUAUUCAAGAUGAUAUUCCUUGGUGUAUGCUUUUCGCAGACGAUAUAGUGUUGAUAGAUGAAACUCAGGAAGGGGUAAAUGCAAAGCUUAACCUUUGGAGAGAAGUGUUGGAAUCUAAAGGUCUUCGCCUAAGCCGAUCAAAGACAGAAUAUAUGGAGUGCAAGUUCAGUGCAAAUGGAGGCCAAAACGAGUUAGGGGUGAGGAUCGGAGAUCAAGAAAUACCAAAGAGCGACCGUUUUCGUUACCUAGGAUCUAUCUUGCAAAAGAACGGAGAAUUAGAUGGAGAUCUCAACCAUAGAAUACAAGCUGGAUGGAUGAAGUGGAAGAGAGUGCAUCCGGCGUAUUGUGUGACCGCCGUAUGCCACUGAAGCUCAAGGGAAAAUUUUAUAGGAACGGCAAUAAGGCCGGCGAUGCUGUAUGGCACAGAAUGUUGGGCGGUGAAGCAUCAACACGUACACAAAAUGGGUGUAGCGGAGAUGAGGAUGCUUCGUUGGAUGUGUGGGCACACGAAGAAAGGAUAAGAUUAUGGAAUGAGGAUAUCCGGGGUAAAGUAGGAGUAGCCGAAAUUGAAGGAAAGAUGAGAGAAAAUCGGUUACGGUGGUUUGGACAUGUGCAAAGAAGGCCUACUGACGCUCCGAUUAGAAGAUGCGACUAUGGGACAGAGGUUCAGGGCCGAAGGGGUAGAGGAAGACCUAGGAAAACUUUGGAAGAGACCCUAAGAAAAGACUUAGAGUACUUGGAUCUAACGGAGGACAUGACACAGGACAGAACACAAUGGCGUUCUAAGAUUCAUAUAGCCGAUCCCACUCAGUGACUUGGAUUUUCCAAGUCUCCAACCGAGAAGUUUUCCUCACUCGGGAAAUUAAGGGAACACUACCUCAACCUACAUGCUCCACUCACAAAGCUUCAACAAAAGAAAAAUUCAAAGAACUUAGCGAAGAAGGCUUUUGGUGUAUUUAACACAAUACGUUGAAAUGAAGGAAAGCUUAUUUAUUGAUAUCCCCGAUAAGUUACAAAUAUGUACAUAUACUUGAGUCAAAAUAAACAAACAAGAGGGAGCCUUCACAAAGGUUGCUUAGGAGAAGUCUCAGCAGUCGGUAGAGCCCCAGAAAGAGAAGGCACCGGAGGGGGAUCAUUCGGAGCCUCAGUACUGGACAGAACCCUAGAAGGAGGAGGCAUCAGAGGUUGAUCAUUUGGAGCUUCAUUACGCGGUACAGCCCCAGAAGACGAAGGCAAUAAAUGCCUUUGGAACAAACCCACAAAUCUCUGAUGAUCAAGUAAAACCUGACCAUCAGAUUCCUUCAUCUGGUCAAGCUUCCUCUUCAUGUUUGUAGCAUAGUCAUGUGCGAGCCGGUGCAACUGUUUAUUCUCAUGCUUGAGCCCUCUAAUCUCCUGUUUGAGACUCAUCACUUCAGCCGCCAAUGAUUCAACUUGGCGGGUUCGAGCAAAUAGGCGUUGGGCCAUAUUAGACACAGAACCUGCACACUGAACACUGAAGAGCCAGAGAAUCCUUAACAGCCAACUCAUCAGACCGUUUGGAAAGUAGUCUGUUAUCUUUGGGAGUGAGAAGGUUCCUAGGCCACUACCGCAGCGGUCAUAUCAUUCUUCAUCACGGAAUCCCCAACGGUAAGAGGACCAGUAGGGGAGACGAAGGAUGGGCGCCAUAUGUUGUCUGAAGAAGGCGGGGCUGCCUCUUCAACAAGGUUCAAGUCAAAACGACGGUCGGAGGGGCCAGACAUUUUCAAAGGUGUUGAAGAGAGAAGAGGUCGGACAAAUCAAGAUCUUAGAAGUGCAAGAAUGGAGCUUCUACUGGUGGAUAUUCAAGUGUGCUUUGGAACUUAAUGUCAGCCCCUAUAAAAAAUCUGCACUCGACGAAGCUUCAGAAAUCGAAGAGGCGCCUGCUCAGAAAUCGAAGAGGCGUUUGCUUUCUCAAAAGCUGGGCUGCUCAGAGACCACGAGGGUUUGAUCUCAGAAAUCGAAGAGGCGUUUGCUUUCUCAAAAGCUGGGCUGCUCAAAGACCACGAAGGCCGAUCUCAGAAAUCGAAGAGGCUUGCUUUCUCAAAAGCUGGGCUGCUCAGAGACCACGAGGGCCGAUCUUAGAAAUCGAAGAGGCACCUACUUUUCCAGCCUUGUCAGCACCUGUCACACGCACACUCAGCUUUGCGGAAAUUAUGGGCAUUCUGUCGAAGAUUUCUGGUGAAGUAGAAAGCACAUGAAUCGUACUGUUCAAUCACCCACUUCCCACACGCAACAGUAGCUCAUGGGUACCACAGAUAACUUUGCCAAAGUUCUCUGACAAAGUUGAGACACGUGAAGCUUGCAGCUCCCACUACAUCGCUCUGACCAAGAAGGGUAAAAGAAUAGCAAAGAAACAACACUAACAAAGUUUAGACACAUAAAUUUUGAAGGUCUAGCUACCAUAUUAUUACCCACAAGGGUAAAGGAACAGUACCACUGCUGGAUAAUUGGAAAGUCCCGGUGUGUCAACCUCUGUGCUUCGUGGCAAGGUAGACUAGCAAACAUGCCCAACCUUUACUCACAUUCGAGAAAACACUCCCAACAAGAUUGCUUGCUCCAAAAUCGAAGAGGCACCCGCUCCUCCGAAUCUCGAGAGCCAGACUCCCAACAUGAUUACUUUCUCAAAAAUCGAAGAGACAUCCGCUCUCCGAAUCUCGAGAGCCAGACCUCCAGCAGGAUUGCUUUCUCAAAAAUCGAAAAGGCAUCGUUCUCCGAAUCUCAAGAGCUGGAUCCCUGACAGGAUUGCUUGUUCGAAAACCAAAGAGGCACCACUUUCCCAACUUCAAGAGCUGGAUCUCCUUGGAUAAAGCUUGUCUGUAAUCUUCACACACGCAACAUCAGCUUUUCCAGAUACCACAGACCCACUUUUUCAAAGUGCUCUGACAGAGUUAAAACUUGUGAAGCUGGCAGCUCCCACUACCGUGCUAUGACCAAGCAGGGUAAAGGAAUAGCAUUAUUACUUGAUGUUAGGGAGACUCCUAUAUAUGUCGACCUCCAUCCCCAACGGACAGGCAGACCUGCAAAAAUGCUCAACCCUUCCUCUUAUCUGAGAGGGCACUCCCAACGAAGCCUUUCGAAAUAUUCAGCUUUCUUUCCCCCCGAUAAUACCUCUGUAAACAAGCUAUACUAGAGCAAGAAUAUCUCAUAUCAUCAGGGUUAAAAGCAAGAGUAUCCCAUAUCAUGCUUUUUUCCCGUCUUUUCCUUUGGCCUUGUUCUUACCUGCAAGACAAGGAGAAAGAGAGCAAUCAGUCAGCACUUGGAAUCAAGCUUCCAGCCAGGAACUGACUGCCUGGAACCCCUUACCUGAUUACUUACCUGGCAUUGCUCUCGAGUACUCAUCUUCAACAUCUUAUGCUUCCAGGGAAGAUACCGCAAUCGCCUGAAGAACAGAUAGGGCAAGUGAGAAGGAUACAAGGAAGCAUGUGGAGACAAGCGUAACAGCACACGUGCCGAUACAUCCACUACUCUGUCAAAAGCAAAAGUAUCUCAUAUCAGCAGGGUCGAACGUACUCUAGAUUUGAUGGACUUGUUUUGACCCUCAAAUUCUUCAGUCGGCCUUAUACUCUGGAGGAAACCAGAAAACCCUCCAGCCCAGUUCAAGAAUAAGCCUGUGGAAAGUUACUUCUUCAAAAGCAAAAAGUAUCCCAUAUCAUCUCUUCUCAUUUUUCUUCUCUUUAUCCUUCAUGCUGCAUGCAAGAUAGGGAGAAUGUGAACAAUCAGCCGGAGCUCUGAUUGCUUACCUUGUCUGUCAUCUCUUUCAGCAGAUCCCCUAGCUCGGCGACUUAGGGGACUCCUACUACAUGGUUUGUAUCGCGCUUGACCAAGCCUGAAACUACAAGUAAGCUUCAAGUGACAAUUGAUACAUUACCUUGUGCAUCUCCACCAGUUACAGAUACCACCCCUGGAUGGAGGAAGAGUACUUCCAGAGAAGAUGCCACAUCUACCUAUGAGACAGAUAAGGAAAGUCAAGACGAUACCACACUCCGGUACUUAGAAGUUUCGUGGUUACGAGAUCAUUCUCCCACAAUAUUUCCUAAUGUCAUUUGUACUAAAUCAUUCACUUGUACUCACUAAAGGAGAGCUUGAACCUAUGUACUUGUGUAAACCCUUCACAAUUAAUGAGAACUCCUCUAUUCCGUGGACGUAGCCAAUCUGGGUGAACCACGUACAUCUUGUGUUUGCUUUCCUAUCUCUAUCCAUUUAUAUACUUAUCCACACUAAUGACCGGAGCAAUCUAGCGAAGAUCACAAAAAGUGACCGUUUUCGCUACCUAGGAUCUAUCCUUGCAAGAGAACGGAGAAUUAGAUGGAGAUCUCAACCAUAGAAUACAAGCUGGAUGGAUGAAGUGUAAGAGUGCAUCCGGCGUGUUGUGUGACCGUCGUAGGCCACUGAAGCUCAAGGGAAAAUUUUAUUUUAUAGGACGGCAAUAAGGCCAGCGAUGUUGUAUGGCACAGAAUGUUGGGCGGUGAAGCAUCAACACGUACACAAAAUGGGUGUAGCGGAGAUAAGGAUGCUUCGUGGGAUGUAUGGGCACACGAGAAAGGAUAAGAUUGGGAAUGAGGAUAUCCGAGGUAAAGUAGGAGUAGCCAAAAUUGAAGGAAAUAUGAGAGAAAAUCGGUUCCAGUGGUUUGGACAUGUGCAAAGAAGGCCUACUGACGCUCCGGUUCGAAAAUGUGACUACGGGACAGAGGUUCAGGGCCGAAGGGGUAGAGGAAGACCUAGGAAAACUUUGGAAGAGACCCUAAGAAAAGACUUGAGUACUUGGAUCUAACGGAGGACAUGACACAAAACCGAGCGCAAUGGCGUUCUAGGAUUCAUAUAGCCGACCCCACUUAGUGGGAAAAGGCUUUGUUGUUGUUGUUGUUGUUGUGGUCACUCUUAAAACCUUACCUAAGAGACCCAAAAACAAAAAUAACCGCCGAAAGAGCUAAACAUACAUAUAUAGAAAAACUUAAUUAACUGCAUGCUAAAAUGGAAGUGUAAAAUUGCCAAGAAAGAUAAGAAACUAUUUAAAUACGAAUUCUGGGCAUUACCGCCACAAAAGGCAUGAGCCGAACAGCUAUCAACAAGAACACACUUCCCAUUCAUCCAGAUAGCCCUUGUAUUUCACAUCCAUAUCUGCAUUUUCCAACAAUUCCCACUUAAACAGAAACACAAAAUUCAUCGAAAAAAUGCUAACUUCUUCGAAAUUUGAAUCCAACGUUUCGUCUUAUAACAAAUGCAAUAACAUAGAUUUGUAAUCAAUUCGAUGCCAUAAAGUUCAAGCUCAAAAUUUCAAAUCAGCUCCAAAUCAAAAGCAUUUACAGAUACAUACAUAUAUACAUAUGCGUGUGUGUGUUUAUCUACAUACCCAGGUUCAUGGCGUUGAGAGCUCGGCAGGCGACGGAGGGUGAUGACGGCGACGCCAAUUGGGUGGACGCUGCCCUUCGAAUUGGGUCGCUCCUCGCAAUAAGCUUCCCAUUACUUCCGUUUGAGAGUGACUGUCAGUGUAGAGAGAGGGAUUUUUUUUUUGUGCUUCUGGACCGGACUACACUUGAUGUUUCGGUUAUAUUACCGGGAAAAAGAACUGCCGCGGUGGCUACGCAGGGAAACUUGAAAUUUGAAAGAAGUAUGAAGUAUGGACUUGCCUUCAUUUAUUGAACUGAGAAAUCGAAAUCUGAAAGAGGCGUUUGACGAAGUGAUUGUGAUCUGACUCAAACAUGUGAUGAUGACGAUGCAUCACCACCUUGGUUGUGCCUCUGGAUCAAAAACAUACCAUCACCAUCAAAAUCGUGCAUAUUUUCCUUCAUAGGUUUGUCCCAUACUAGAUUAACCCCUAUUCCCUUAAUUAUUGCAUAAUAAGAAUUAUAGCAUGUCUCUGGCAUUCCAACGGCUAUAUCAACUUUAUCCCCGCUUUGCAAAUUGAACUUAUCGUUGGACAUUUGUCCCUGCCAAAGAAAACAUUUUUCAGGUAAACCAUCGUGCAUUUUUAUAACCCAAUCUUCCUUGCCUAUGCAGGUUUGCAACUCAGUACGCUUGGUAUUAUUUAUAUCAAUACUGCCACGAGGAUGACAAUAUUUAAAGCUCAUAGAAGGGCUUGAGGGACAAGUUAAGUGAUAAAAGCAUAACAGAGUCAACCCUUCAAAAUUACGACCAUCACUUGGGGGGUAUCAAAACUGACUUUAUCACCAUCGUUGACAAACUCGAACCAAUCAGGAACAUAAUUCGCAUCGAGAAAAAUGCCAGCAUAUCCGUAAGAAGUCCAUCCCUAUAUAUACAGUGCAAGUGUCAUAUACAUACAUACAUACAUACAUACAUACAUAUAUGUAAAUGUGCAUUGUGUGUGCAUGUGCGCAAUAGGAAGACAAUUAAAGAGAGAGAUACCUUUAGGACCUUCCUCCUAAAAUCAGCUGUGAGAUUGGUGCACUUUUGCAUUACAAUCCAUUUCAUGGAGUUUAAUGACUUAUCCAAGUCCGGAAUCUCUGUGAGUGCGUGUGAACCAGUUACAUUCAGUUCUCUCAUAUUUGACAUUUUCGAAAAAUUGGGCAUUUUUACCAAACAACAGCAACCAUAAGCAUCCAGAAAUUUCAAAUUUGUUGGUAAAUCAUAGAUUGUAUGAAGCUGGGAACAAUAACUUAACCACAUACCUUCAAGCUUUGAAAGACCAUUGAGGCUGGGUAGGGUGUGUAAGAUACUGCAGUGACUUAACUCCAGAGUUUUAAGAUUUGAAAGACCAUUGAGGCUGGGUAGGGUGUGUAAGUUACUGCUGUGACUUAAUUCCAGAGUUUCAAGAUUUGAAAGACCAUUGAGGCAGGGAAGGGUGUGUAAGUUACCACAGUGAUUUAACCACAUAGUUUUAAGAUUUGAAAGACCAUUGAGGCUGGGUAGGGUGUGUAAGUUACUGCAGUGACUUAACCACAGAGUUUUAAGAUUUGAAAGAUCAUUGAGGCUGGGUAGGAUGUGUAAGUUACUGCAGUGACUUAACCCUAGAGUUUUAAGAUUUGAAAGACCAUUGAGGCUGGGUAGGAUGUGUAAGUUACUGCAGUGACUUAACUCCAGGGUUUUAAGAUUUGAAAGACCAUUGAGGCUAGGUAGGGUGUGUAAGUUACUGCAGUGACUUAACCAUAGAGUUUUAAGAUUUGAAAGACAAUUAAGGCUGGGUAGGGUGUGUAAGUUACUGCAUUGACUUAACCCCAGAGUUUUAAGAUUUGAAAGACCAUUGAGGCUGGGUAGGGUGUGUAAGUUACUGCAGUGACUUAACUCCAUACCUUCAAGCUUUGAAAGACCAUUGAGGCUGGGUAGGGUGUGUAAGUUACUGCAGUGACUUAACUCCAGAGUUUCAAGAUUUGAAAGACCAUUAAGGCUGGGUAGGGUGUGUAAGUUACUGCAGUGACUUAACUCCAGGGUUUUAAGCUUUGAAAGACCAUUGAGGCUGGGUAAGGUGUGUAAGUUACUGCAGUGACUUAACCACAGAGUUUUAAGAUUUGAAAGACCAUUGAGGCUGGGUAGGGUGUGUAAGUUACUGCAUUGACUUAACCCCAGAAUUUUAAGAUUUGAAAGACCAUUGAGGCUGGGUAGGAUGUGUAAGUUACUGCAGUGACUUAACUCCAAAGUUUUAAGCUUUGAAAGACCAUUGAGGCUGGGUAGGGUGUGUAAGUUACUGCAGUGACUUAACUCCAGAGUUUUAAGCUUUGAAAGACCAUUGAGGCUGGGUAGGGAGUGUAAGUUACUGCAGCGACUUAACCCCAGAGUUUUAAGCUUUGAAAGACCAUUGAGGCUGGGUAGGGUGUGUAAGUUACUGCAAUGACUUAACCCCAGAGUUUUAAGAUUUGAAAGACCAUUGAGGCUGGGUAAGGUGUAUAAGUUACUGCAGUGAUUUAACUCCAGAGUUUUAAGUUGUGAAAGACCACUCAGGCCGGGUAGGGUAUGAAGGUUACAGCAGUUACUUAACUGCAAAUUUUCAAGUUUUGAAAGACCACAUAGGCUGGGUAGGGUAUGAAAAUAAUGUUUUGAGAGAUCUAAAUUUCCGUCUAACGAAUUGGGAAACUGCAAAGUAAACUUCGAUUCCACAGACGCUAGAGAUAAAUGAGUGAGAUUCUUCAAUCUUACUAUGGAACAGGGUACUUGUCUUAUGGCUGUGGAAGAUGCUAUAAGUACUCUCAAUGAUGUCAUCUUCCCUAAAUCCUCGGGCAGUUCACUGAAUUGCUGACAUCCAUUAAGAACAAGAGUCUGAACGGAUUUGGACUUGUAGAAAUCCCCAGGAAGAGAAAUAAGAUUCUGGCAGCCUGUGAGGUUCACCAAAGAAAGUUUUUUAAGAUGACAAAUGGAGGGGUGAAUCUCGGACAAACUGUUACACCAUUCCAAUAUCAACUCUUCAAGAUUUAGGAGAUUUGAAAAGUCUGGUGAUUUUUUUAAGUCAAGGCAAUAACUGAGAUUAAGGAUUUUCAAGUUUCCAAGCGACUGUUGCACAAAAUCAAAGGAAAAUUAAAAUUAAUAUCCAAAAACAAAUGGAAACAUAACAUCAUCAUGUGUAAUCGAUUGUACCUUGGAGCCCUCCCAAACUUGUACAAGUCUGCUAUACGCUAUCUCUAAAAUAACCAGUGCUCUUGGUUGAUCAAAGAAGUGAUCUGGUAUGGACUUUAAAGGGCAUCCAAACCAACGCAACCAUAUUAACUCUUUGGAAAGAUGUUUGUAUUCUCCAUUGAGCUGCACGUUGUAGAGCUGCAGCAGUCUCAGUUUCUUCAUAUUGGCAAAUGCUUCUGUACUGAAGCUUCGAAGCCUUUGCAGCCAAUGAUCUCCAGAAAAAUUAAGAGCAAGUCCUUUAACUUCUUCAGUUCCCUGUUAACAAAAGGUUAUAUUCAUGUGUAAGAAACGGAAUAUUUGCAUAUGUUUACAUGUAUGAAUACAUGCAAGUACUAUUGUUGGCUAAUUGAGAUGAUGUUACUUAAUGUAUAAUACACAUCCGUGAGUUAUAUGUGCUUUUCAUGUACGAUGCAUCAAUUCAGAAUUUUAUUGGGACUAUACUUACAAAUUUAUCUCUCAAUACAUCAAUGACCUCUUGCUGGUUCCACAACCUACUCCAUUCUCCAGGGUGACGAGGGGAUUUUUCAGAAAUGAUUAAUUUGGCCAUUUCUUGAAGCAAAUCAUGCAUAUUCAACUUCUUGUGUUCAAUAGUGAUAAGGCAUCGUUCACAGAGGACAUUGAUUCCUAUUGUUGCAAAAAACUUACAUCCAUCUAAUAUUUUUGCGACAUAGUCCUUAUCCCAUCCAAUAAAGAAACAAGAUAUGUCAAGGAAUAUAUCCUUUUGUGUAGGAUCUAGCCUUUCAAAGCUUACUCUUAGUGGUUUCAUUAUUCCUUCAUCAGGAAAUUUUUUCAAUUUCUCCAACUGACUUUUCUACUCUGUUGGUGUUCUUUCAAUCAUAAAAGAAGAACCUAAAACUGCAAGGGCUAGUGGCAAACCACCACAGUAAGAAACAACCUCUUUUGAGAGUUCAAGAUAUCCUUCAUUAGGCCAACUCUUUCCAAAGGCAUGCCAACUAAAGAGCUUCAGAGCUUCUUCUUCAUUCAUUUCCUUAAGUGAAUAUGUCUUGUCCACUUUCAUGUUCACUUGCUUUAGAAAACGUUCAUCUCGUGUCGUUAUGAUAAUUCUACUUCCUGGGCCAAACCAAUCACGAUUUCCAGCUAUUGCAUCUAGUUGUUCCACUUUGUCUACAUUGUCAAUAAUGACAAGCACGCUUCUACGUUGGAGAUGAUUUUUUAUCAGACUGAUACCUCUAUCAACACUGGUUAUCUUAGACUCGGUAUGUUUCAAGAUGUCAGAAACAAGUCUUCCUUGCAAAUCAACCAGAUCACAUUCACUAACGUUGGCAAGGAAACUUUUGAAUUGGAACUUAUGAUGAAGUUGGUUAUAAAUGGCUUUGGCAGCUGUUGUUUUACCCAAUCCACCAAUCCCCCAAAUUCCAACCAUGCGAACAACAUAUGAUCCACCAUUUGAAAGAUAAGUGAUGAUAUCUUGAAUGCGAGUAUAUAUUCCAACUGGGUGCUUGGCCAAAUGUAAAUUUUCUGCGCUCGGAAGCCAUUUUGGGAUAAUCUUGUCAACAAUUUCUCUAAUAAGCUUUGCUUCGCGCCUGAAAAAUUGAAUUGGUAAGCUUAGUAAGUAGGCUCAGUAGGAGCUAUUAGUACUAAUAUAAACAAUUUUCUUUCCUUCUUUCCUUCGUGUGUGUGUGUGUGUGUGUACAUAUAUGUACACAAACUAGCUACUAGCUAGUACGUGAUUUUGUGACCAACUUCAAUAAAAGAAACAAGUUCAUUCAUUGAUAUAUUAAAGUUUGGUGCAUCAAUUAAACUCCAAUUAUGGUUUAGAUUUUAGAGGAAAUUAGAGAAAUGGUCCUUGAACUAUGAUCAAAUUGUGGCCUUGGUUCUUAAAACUAAAAAUUCAAUAAAUCUCCUCCCUGAACUUAACAAAAUAUGAAGCAUUGGUCCCUAAAUGUUAACACCGUAUGAUUUUCUGUUAAUUUGAUUAUGUCGUCUUUGUGGGCUCCAUAUUAUUGUUUACUAGAUGGCACGUGGCUUGAAAAGUCAAAAUAAAAGAAAAUAAAUACAAACAUAGAGAAAGAAAGAGAGAGAAAAAAAAACUUUAAAUUAUAAAAGUUAACUCUCUCUCCCAUCCUCCCUUCCGCCUCACCUCCUCCAAACCCCAACCACACCAUUGUAGCACUUUCCCAACAGCCAAAACAAAAGAAAGUUUCUAAUCCAAUUUUGGAACACGUCUCCGUUUGCAAACGAAUUCACAAUGACAUCCAUUCACGCUGUCUCGACAGGUAAGAUUCAAGAAAUUUGUGGGAUGCGGGUUCGGGGUUCGGGUGAAGGCUGUGGUCCGUGGGCUACAGUUUGGAGUCGGCUGGAGAGUGGGAUUAGGGAUUGGGGGUUGGAAGUGGGAGGUUGACGGGGUGUGAAUCAAAGAUUGAAGGUGAAGGGGUGGCUGCGAGUGUUGGUGGGAUGAGGUAGGUGAAACUAACAUGUAAAGUUGUAAACCCUUUUAACUAAAAUUUAAAGGAAUUGGUUACGAAGGACUAACGCUCCAUAUUUUAUCAAGUUCAAGGGCAAAAUGUAAUGAAUUUUUAGUUUAGGAACCACAGCUACAAUUUUCCUCUAGAUUUUAUAUGAGAGAUUAAGGCGUAUUAAUUAAGCAUGAUAAUUAGAGUAAUACAACUUAAAUACUGAAAGCACAUGAAUGAUUACCUAUUAUCAGUGAUUUGAAGAUGGUAGCCAGACAAAUUUGCAGCUUUUGUAAGAACCUCUCCCCACUGCUUUACCUCUUCUUGUUUAGCUUCACGUUUCUUGUCAUCCUUUUCUUCACCGACGCCUUCUUCGUGCUUUUGAAAUUCUUCGGCUGACUUUGCAGCUUCUGUAAGAGCCUUUAUCCACUGCUCUACCCUUUCUCGUUUUUCUUCACGUUUCUUGUCAUCUUUUUCUUCACUGAUGUCAUUUUUGUGCUUCUGAAAUGCUUGGGCUAAAACUCCGUUCUGCUUCCUGACAUGUGAAGGAUCAAUGUGAUAGAAUAUUGGCAAAACAUGUCGCCCCAGUUUGUCUCUGCACUCCAUGAUCUUCACCAGCUCGUUAAGACACCAACUCGAAUCCGCAUACCUCUCUGAGAAGACAAUGAUAGAGGUCUUCGAUUCUUCGAUUGCCUGGAGCAGUUCUUUUGGUAUUUCUUCCCCUCUUUUGAGAUCGUCCUCAUCAAUAUAAGCCUGGUAUCCCCUGUCUGUUAAUGCCGCGUGGAGGUGGCCCGUGAAGCCAUUGCGUGUGUCUACACCGCUAAAGCUCAAGAACACGUCGUAAUUCCAAAGUUUUGACUUGGAGGAGGAUGAAGAGGAGGCUUCGUGGGUUGUCAUGGCGGUAUCCACCGUUAUGGCACUGCAGUGGUUCAGAUCACGACUGAAGAAUGGUAGUAGUUGUGUUCGUGCAUUCAAACGGAUGAUCCUGAAAUACCUAAACGCAAGUCAAGCUCCUUCAGUCAACAAGAACAAAGUUUAUAAUAUAAUAAUUUUGGCGUAUGGACUUGAGAAACGACAUAGUGUUGGCCGGAAGGUGCAGAAAAAGAGAGAGGAAAAAAGAAAAGAAAGGAACGAAAGGACAAAGACCAUCCAAAAGAUUCUUGGCUGUGAUUACAGCUAUUCAUAGGAGAAACAACGGACAUAUUUUCAUAGGAGAAACAACCUUCCCAUCUUCAUAUAUAAUGCAUUUCAACGGACAUAUUUUAAUAGGAGAAACAACUUUAGUUUGUACUAGAAAUUUUUACCCGCACGUUGAUGCGGCAUUUGAAAUUGUAUGAAAGAUUAUCUUUGAAAUAUAUAAUAGAUUGUGUGAUUGAAGAUUAAUACUAUUUACAUUGAAAACGUUGGAAAAAGUUUUACAUAUAAAAGAUUUUAUGAUACAAUCCACGUAUAAAAGAUGGUAAAUUUUGUUCUAUCUACAUGCAUUAUGUUAUGGAAUGAUAUAUAUAUAUAUAUAACUAAGUUCCAGAAUAUGUAAACUUCAUAACUUGGAAAUUUUUUGACAAAUUAAUCAGAUUCAACUGUGGGUUAGCAAGGUCGCCUAUAAAGUUUGAAGUCGUAGAAGCAUAAAGGACAAAUAACAAAUGAGUUUUGAGAAAUUAUUCCACAAAUGUCAUUCUGCAAAAUGUAUUAAAGACGAUUGGUAUAAGAUUAGCAAUCAUGAGUAGUGUAACAACAUCAACAAAAUAACCAUAAACCAUAACAUAAUUCAAAUUUUGUUUGCAAAAACAAAAGAAAAAGAAAAGAGACUUACAAUAAUUCAACCUUCAAUCUUGAAGUCCAGCUCAAAGAGCCAAACCUAAAUGCAAGCUUUCUGAAAUUUCCCAAACAAUACAGAUAAAACGGUAACACCCUAGUCAGAAAUGAACCAAGGUGCGAGCUUUCUAAGAAACCCAGAUGACAAAAUCAACAAAAUAGAAUGGAAAAAUGACUUACACUUUGAAGGCAUGCUCGAACCUUGAUCUAAAAUUGGUGGUGGGUCGAUUGUUGGUCACCAACUCUAAAUGAAGAAUUCAUCAGAACCUAGAAAUUUAAAACAAAGAAUUUUCCAAAAUCAACAUUUACUAAAAACCAGUUGCUUGGUUAUCAUGCAUGAUGGCUUGACAAAGACUGAAUUAAGGAAUGCAAACUUUACUUUCAUGAUUAUUUUUAAUGACAGCUAAAAGGUCAGAUCCAAAUGAAAAUAAAAGUUAGGACUUCACAAAACCAAUUAAAAAUCUAAUUCUAAAGUUAUAAGCACCCACAAAAUGAUUCCAGAUAAAGUUUUACACUCAAGGUCAAACCCAAAUGAAAUUAAAAGUUAGGACUUCACAAAACCAAUUGAAAAUCUGAUUCCAAAGUUCCAAACACCCACCAAAUGAUUCCAGAUAAAGUUUAAACUCAAAAACCCAAUAGAAACAAAAGCACUGGUAUAAAUUAACUGUAUCUAAUUGAAGAAACUAAAACAAAAGUAAAGCAAAGUAUAUACCUCAAAAUGUCAAGCAACUAAGUUCUUCCUCCGACGACCCAAAACUCUGAAAAUUCCACACAAAAAAAAAGGCAAAUCCAUUAGCAAUUCAUAGCUUUCAAAAUUAGCAAAAACUUGGGCAACAAUAAAGAUGUGUCUAGAACCAUCAAUCUUUCUCCUUAUGCAUUUGAAAAGAUAUGUUAUAAGCAGUUUAUGUAGUCAUUCUGAACAUGUUGCAUAUAAAUUCCUUUUCUACAGGGUUCAAAAAAAUAUGGCAGUUUAUGGAAUCUGUUGAAUGACAUAGUUGAAAGAUUUAAAAUUGAUACAUUCAAUUUUUAUGUGUAAAACUAUAACAUAUAGCUAAAGCUAUUGGGUCCAUAUCAGUCAUGUCGUAAUUGAAUGUUUAUCGAUGUAAAUAGAUGAUUUCAGUCAUGGGAUAACAUGUUUCUUGAUAGUAUACGCUGAAGUUUGGUCUAAGUUGGAUAUAAAUCGACCAAAAUCUUAAUAAGAGACUUUUUUAACUUUUAACCAAAAAAUGAGCACCACAAUACUACACUUAUAAGUUUUAUCAUGCACAAAAUACACAGCACUGAUUGCCACUUUUAGAGCAAGAACAAUACUUUACCAAAAGAAAACAACAAAACACCCAAAACCCAGAAACAUAAACACACUUAGGACUCAAACUCCUCAAAAACAUGAGAAAGAGAGAGAGUGUGUGAGGAGAAAGAAUAAAAAAAAAAAUUAUUUUUCACACAAACUCAAAAUUGCUUAUAAAAUUACAAAUGAAUGCAAAUCCAAAAUUGCCCUAAAUUAAAUCUGAUUAGUUAAAUGUUUGUUGCCCCAGAAAUUUCGUUACACCUCACAAAACUUGCUUUGAAGUUGAUAUUUUGGUCAAUCCAGGGGAAAAGGAGUUAUUGGUUUUGGAGCAGUUGUCAUGGAGAAUACCAUCUCCCUGUAGAAUGAUCUAAAAAAGGACUUACAGCUUAUGGUGGCCAUAAUAAUUUAGGAGGCCCUUCUCUCCAAAUUUUCUCAAUAACUUUCCUUUUCGUAGCUGGUAAGAUUGCAACUCCGAGAAUUGCUUUGAAGAGAUAUACACAAACAAAAUACCAAAACUAAGCUAUUGGAAGAAAUUUAGAAAACACAAGCACCAUUACAACUCAGAGUUAAAAGUCAACAGAAACCAAAUGGUACAAGUUGAAAAAAUAUAUGGUCAUGAAUCGAGAACUUCAUCAAACUAACAGCAAUAAAAUCUCAUAUAAUCCGUCAAAAACCAAAAAAGAGAUUCAAGACCUUGUAACGUCGAGGCCUCGUACAGUUGUAGUAAUAAUUUAUGGUUGAUGCACCUGUUGCUCAAUCAAAUCCUUCGUCUGGCUAAAAAAAUAAAAAUCUAUAAAUACAUUCACGUCCAAUUUAUGAGAAAUCAUGGGAAAGAAAAUGUGAAUAUGAAGAACUUAACAAAAAGAAAAAGAAAACUUCUUAUAGUGUGCUAAGAACAUCCUCCUACUCCUAGCAAAUUUUUUAUGGCAUUAUCCACUUCUCAAUUCAUAAUUCAACCAGUAACUCAAAGUCUAUAGUGUAUGAAAAAGUGAUAUCUUAGUUGAUCACGAUGAUAAUCAAAAAGGAAGAAACAACCAAACAAAAUUAUUAGGUCUGGGAUAUACCUUUAUCUGAAACACCACAAUCAUCAAAGUGAAACACAAACAAUCCAAAAAUUUGUGGAAAAUACCAAUAAAUGCUCAACUAAAAACGAAAGAAAAAGUAGAAUAAGUUUACCUGUUCCUCCCCUAAUUAAACUGCAAUACAAUUCACCACUGAUAUUCUCGUCAUCCUCUUCAGCCUGAAAAAUUUAGUAGAAAAUAAUGGUAAGAAUCUAGCAGUAUUUCCAUUGUUCAAAACCCAAAUUCCAGAAAUCAUGAAAAAUGGAAACUUUAUAUGGAAAUUGAACCCCCAAAAUCACAAAAAGGAAAAUUGAACAGAAAAUAAAUUUGCAAAUCCAAAAUCACAAAAACGAAAUUGAAACACCCACACUGAGAAAGCUGUAAAACUCACAAGGAAACGCUAGCUUUUCUGGGUAAAAAAAAUUGUUCGAAUCGAAUUGAAGAACCGAGGAAAAUUCUACAGGUUCAGUGGUUUUUCCAGCAAGAAAGCACCUUGUUUGUAAGUCGUGAGAGGUUGGAGAGCGAGAGAAGCCGAUUUGGGAACCAAAGAAAGCGAGGUUGGAGACCGAAAGAGGCUGCGAAUUGCGAGAGAGAAAAACGAAAAGGAAAGGAAAAGCGGAGAAGAAGUCACGAUUAUCGACGCGUGGGUAGGAUUCCACUGUGAGAGGAUUGCAUUCUUUUAAGAGUGUUUCCUUAUUACAAUUUUAUGCUACUAGAUCCAUCCUAUUGUUCCAUUUCUAAACUUUAUAUUAUAAUAUCACCCAUCGUAAAAAAUUAAAAUCCUAUUAAUCCACCCCAAUUAUUUCUAAAAUAACCUCAAAUAUCUAAAUCCAUUUUUAUUUCACCCCAAUUGCAUGAUCAGGCCUCGAUUUGAAGCUAGUUGACGUUGGCCCAAAUGCCAAAUUGUUUGAAUUUCCAAUAAACAUAUUAUAAUUAUAAAAGGAUGGUGAAGAUAUGAAUCAAAUUUGAAAGAGAGAACAUUACUUGGUGAAGGAGGUGAUAGGUGAUGUUGGUAUGGGUUAUGCAGUCACCAUUGGACAUGAGAGGCUUUCUCCUCAAAAUUCCUUCUACAUCUACAGCAUGCAAAUCGAAUGAUGAUAGGUUUAUCGAAGCCCUAAUACCAACUUUAUGACAAAUCUGAACGGACCAAUAAACAACCAUGGAACGAUCUUGAGACGCGACCACUGCGCGUGAGACUCAACCAGGAAUAACUAGACCAUCAGCCGCCGUCGUCAAUAUUGUAGAGGUAGAUGGUGGGUCCGAGAACUCGAUUUUCUUGGAGCAGUUUGAGAUUGACGAAGGGACCUGACGAGGGGUUGGGGUUGUUGGUGACCGAGAGUAUAUGGGUUUGACGAUGGUGGUGGUGGUGGUGGUGGUUUGCAAUCUCUCUCUUUCCUUUUCUUGGGGUUGGACAUUCGGGUGACAGCCGCCUUGGGAUCGGAUGUCAAUGGGGACGUGCUUGAGAGCCAUGAUGACGACGCGAGCGUGGGUGGGGAGAAUUUUCCAGGUCCUUUGAUGUAAUUUUACAAAAGGGUAAAAAUGGAAGUAAAAAAAUUAUAAACUAGUGGGGUGGGAAGAUAAGACAACGGGGUUGUUGUGGUCUAUUUUUAUCUGAUAAAGCAAUAGGGCCGGCGGCAGGGGGAGAGAGAAAAGAGAGAUGUGUGUUUGUAGAAUUGUAGGGGAAUGUGUGUUGUUAUCUCUCAUACAUUGUGCCUUUAUUUAUAGUAGUAAAAGGAGAGAAGAUAUUCCUUCUUCUCCAAGUAAUAUAAGUUGUAAUAGGAAAGAAUAACUAGAAUCAAAUCUAAUAUAGGAUUUACACAAUUUACAAGUUGUUAUCCCUCCUACAUUGUGCCUUCUUCUUCAUAAGAGUUUGAAAGAAGUAUGAAAUAUUGACUUGUUGAUGAUGAAGUUGAUAGUGAAAUGUAGUAACGGUUAAUUUAACAGAAUUUUUAACGGAUGUAUGAAAUUAAAAAAUAAUAUAAGUAAAUGUAUGAAAUUAAAAUGUUUUAAAGAAAUUGUAUGAAGUUGCAAUUGACCCCAAAUACGAGAGAUAAAACAUAAUUUACACAAAAAACAAAGAUCAGAUUUGUAAAAAUGCACCACAUAGUAGUUAAAACAUCCGGACGUAAAUGAAUGGUUUGAGAUACCAUCAUAGUAGCAUCUUUCAGUGUAAGUUUUUCUCAUAUCGGAUCACUUACCAGUAGAAAAGUGUAAUACCGUGUCGGGAAAGGAAGUCAAUGAUGAAAAGAGAGCAAUUUAGCUUUAAAAAUAAGGAAAACUAAUGAAAAGAGUUUGAAAACUUUGCGUUUAAUGAUAAGGACAAAAUAAAAGGAUAAAGUGAAUAGUACUAUGAUUGAUUUUUUAGUGUAAAAAUAUGGUUUUUCGUUAAAGUUUCCUUAAAAAUAUUGCGUCCUCCGUAUGAUGUUUGCAACAUGUGUCGCCAGAGUAUCAACUUGAAGCUCUCCACAUCUCCGUCGUCAAAUGUUUUGUAAGCAGCAUUGUUUAAGUUCUCUCUGUCAGGGAAACUGCAGAUGGGUUUGAUGAAGAAGAAUGGAAAAUAUAAUUUUUAGAAAAUGAGAAAGAAAAUUAUAAAACUUCAUUAAUGAAAUUUCUUUAUCAACAAAAAAAGAUGAAAAUAUAUCUUUGUCUUCUAUCACAACAAAAAAGUUAAGGACAGUAACGUAAUUUUACAAGAUAAAAUUUUACUUUUUUUUUAAAUCUCACAUAUAUGUAAGUUUAUCAUCUUUAAUUUAAAAAAUAUAAAAAAACCUCUCUUCCACGUUCUCUCUCACUCUCUUCCUCUCCUUCAAAUUUAACAACCAAAGUAAAAAAAUUCAUACGCUUUGUGUGUGGACAUAUACUAGUUGAAAUUUAAAAAAGGAGACUUAAAAAGAGAGAUUUAAUAUUUUCUAGGUUGUCUUGGGAGUUGGCAAUGACAGUAAGAGAGGAGAAUCUCGGGUUCCACUGGAAAGGAGGAAAUUUUUCAAAGCGAGAAGGUAGGGGUUUUUUCACUUGCUCUCUUGGUCUUUGGGCUUUUGGAUUGGAUUGGGACAAUUCCAAUUACCCCAUCCCAACUUACGACUUUUUAUCGGUCUAUAUUGGCUAAAGUGAACGUACUAAAAUAGAAAUUUGAGAACUUGAAUUAAGGUCUUGAAUUAGCGAAUGAAUGUCCAGUAAGAAUGUCAUGUAGUCGGACUUGUAAGGCUACCCUUAAUAAGUAGUCACGUUUGUCAAAACUGGUCUAUCUGAUUAUAAUUGUAACCAUAUUAUGUGUGACACAUGAUCAAACUUGAAGGGUUGUCCAAUAAGAAGUUGUCAUGUUGUCAAGCGUAGGGCCAAAGGUGAGCACUUUCCUACCAAAGUGUUUUCUUUUUCCCCUUUUCAAGGGAUUUGUGUCACCAUUAGAUAGGAGAUUCAAACACAAGACCUUGAAUUUAGAGGCAAACGCUUUAAAAAAGCUUCUCUGAUUCAUCUCCUCUGACUUUGACGGGUUCCACUUCGGAUUCUGCAUUGACAGGAAACCGAAGCCAAAGAUAAAGAUCCGUUCUGAUAUACAGAAAGUAAGAUGAUUAUCAACUGUAGGUCUAGUAGAGGCUGUAAUUGUUCUGUCACUUUAUAGUAAGGAAUCUUGAGCAUAAUUAACGAACCUGAUCCUUGUCCACCAAAACUGCCGUACACCUUCAGCAAAAUCAUUCCGCAAAUACAAUCUUAUAGCAAUGCGAUAUUCAGUUUCAUCACACCAGUUAGUAUUGGUCAAGUAAAGCACAUGUUACUUUCUGAAAAUUUGAAAUACUACAACGCAAAACCUAUCAAAAAGAUGCAACCAUGUGAUGCAAGAAACGAAAAGGUAGAAAGUCCAGACUCACUGUGGAUAAUUGAUUGUCAUUUUUCCCAAGCGCAGAUGCAAUUUUAGCGAAUUAAUUUUGUCCCAAAGAAAGUGAGAACGGAGCUCCCUUUCCAAGACAUUAAAGAGCUUCAUUAGCCCACUCACCACUGCAAUAGAAACAAUUUGAUACAAAAUACUUGACAGCAACCAUACAAGCCGCUCAAUAGACAAAUGACAUUGACAAACAUACCAGUAGCAUCUGAACCUGCUGCUGCUUUUUAAGUUCAUCAAUUGUCUCAAGAACCGACUUAUUUGCACCAAACGCUGAAGUUAUUUGAUGUAAAAGACUUGAGUUGCGCUUCAGAAUCUGGGUUGCUGGUGAAUUUCGCCGCAGUUGUUUCAAUGUCCCCAUGGGGAUCCUAAGAACCGUAUCAACAAUGGAGUAUCUUUUAUCUCAAGAACGCAUUGGACAAUGGAGCAUCAGAAAUUGCGUCUGAGGAUAGAAAAGGCAUACCUGCAGAUCCUCCUCCCGUACUCCUUGCCGCUACAUGUGAAAACCCAUCUGGCAUAGCAAGAACAGUCCUCUGAAAUGUAUCCAUACAAAGUUAGACGCACAAAAUUUGAAAAGCCAUUGCAAUGUAAUUGACAACAUUGACAAUCUCUGUCUGACAGGGCAAAAUACCUUUGUAAUGAUCCGGUAGUGACCGUGACCUGAUAGGUCAACACCAAAGACCAUUGUUAUGCGAUCAAUGAAGCUUAUAAAGGGCUUCUUGUACUCAGAGAUUUUGCAUAUUAGAGAAUACUCAGCAGUGGAUACCUGAACGCAGCACAAAUAUCAUAUCGUUAGCCUCUCAAUAUUAAGAAAACUACAAAUGGUAGCUUAGAAAAGAAAUGAAUCCUCUCCAACCAAAUACAAAUCAUAUUACCCCAAGUUCAAGCAAAAUCAAGACUAAACAAAUGAUUAGAUGUUGUAGGUUGCCCGAGAAUGUCAACCAUGAAAUUACAAAAGAAAAAAAUAACUGUAUGUAUUGAACAUUAAUAAAUACAUGCUGAAAGCACAAUCUCAGCCGCAAUUUAUGACAUUUAUACGAGAUUGAAUCGCUAAAGCAAUUGAAGAAAUUGCAGAGCUCAUAUAAGUGAUUUUCACUUUGAAUUUUUAGGCUUAUCAACAAAUACAUCAUUACGAUUCUAAUGCAUGAAUUUUGUUAAAAGGGGCUUGCUUGCUUGUAUUAAGGCUUAAUCAUCAAUGAAUUUGCAAGAAGCAAUCGAUUUGCUAGUUGUAAAUCUAUUCACUAAUUACCAAAAUUACAUCUAAACGGUAGUGAAGGAAGUCAUCUUAUAUUAUCUGGAUUUUAGAAAACUGUGUAAGGUUAUAAGUCUGUUAUUAUAUAUAGUUAAAAGGGACACAAUUAGACCUCAAUCAUAUUUGGUGGUUGGUUUUUGGCCAUGAUCUGCUUCACAUCACCCCCUGCAAACAAAAAUGAACACUAAGAGAAACAAUAAACAAAUGACAUGAAACAACACGAACAUCAAAGACCAACAAUCUAUCACGUAAGUACCUAAACAAGAAACAACUUUAGUUCAAAGCAAAGCGUAAUGUAGAAACCUUCGGCACAAGAGGUGUGUUUUUGUCCUUUUGAAUUUCGGCAACAACCAUUUUAAUGUCCUUUCCUGCAAUUACCAUGAUUGGUCACUCUCAAAACCUUACCUAAGAGACCCAAAAACAAAAAUAACCGCCGAAAAAUUUAUUUAACUACAUGCUAAAAUGGAAGUGUAAUAUUGCCAAGAAAGAUAAGAAACUAUUCAAAUACAGAUUCUGGGCUUACCGCACAAAAGGCACGAGCCUAGCGGCUACCAAAAAGAACACACUUCACAUUUGGGUGAGAUUCCCAUUCAUCCAGAUAGCUCUUGUAUUUCACAUCCAUAUCUGCAUUUUCCAACAAUUCCCACUUAAACAGAAAUACAAAAUUCUUUGAAAAAAAGCUAACUUCUUCGAAAUGCGAAUCCAACGUUUCGUCUUAUAACAAAUGCAAUAACAUAGAUUUGUAAUCAAUACGAUGCCAUAAAGUUCAAGCUCCAAAAUUCAAAUCAGCUCCAAAUCAAAAGCAUUUACAGAUAUAUACAUAUAUACAUGUGUGUGUGUGUGUGUGUGUGUGUUUAUCUACAUACCUAGGUUCAUGGCGUUGAGAGCUUGGGGGCCGACCGAGGGUGAUGACGGCGACGCCAUUUGGGUGGACGCUGCCCUUGACGAACGCGUCGGCGGAGGCCAUGAUCCCGAAGGGGCGGAGGAGGCGAGGGGAUUUGGAUGGUUGGAAAAGAGAAAGCUUCGAAUUUGGAUUGAGGAAGAAGAAAGCGGACGACGAUUUGCUCAGAAUUUAGGUCGCUCCUCCCAAUAAGCUUCCCAUUACUUCCGGUCGGGAGUGACUGCAUCAGUGUAGAGAGAUAAAGAUAUUUUUGGUGCUUCUGGGCCGGACUACCCUUGAUGUUUCGGUUAAAUAACCGGGAAAAACAACUGCCGCAGGGAAAUUUGAAAGAGGCGUUUGACGAACUGAUUGUGAUCUGACUCAAACAUGUGAUGAUGACGAUGCAUCACCACCUUGAUUGUGUCUCUGGAUGAAAAACCUACCAUCAAGAUCAAAAUCGUGCAUAUUUUCCUUCAUAGGUUUGUCCCAUACUAGAUUAACCCCUAUUCCCUUAGCUUUCGCAUAAUUAAAUGCAUUAGUUUUCGCAUAAUUAAAUGCACCGCCUUUCAUUGGUAUUUCAAAAGUUAUAUCAACUUUAUCCCCGCUUUGCAAAUUGAGCUUAUCGUUUGAUAUUUGACCUUGCCAAAGAUAACAGCUUUCAAAUACAAUAUCGCGCAUUUUUGUAACCCAAUCUUCCUUGCCUAUGCAAGUCUGUAACUCAGUACGCUUGGUAUUAUUUAUAUCAAUACUAGCACGAGGAUGACCAUCUUUACCUCUCAUAUAAGGUCUUGGCCGAUCAAGAUAAGAGCGGUAAAAGCAUAACAGAGUUAGCCCUUCAAAACUACGACCAUCACCCGGGGGAAUAUCAAAGCUAACUUCAUUACCAUCAUUGACAAACUCGAACCAAUCAGGAACAUAAUUCCCAUUGAGAAAAAUGCCACCAUAUCCGCAAGAAGUCCAUCCCUAUAUAUAUAUUGCAAGUGUCAUAACUAUAUACAUACAUGUACAUGUGUGUUGUGUGUGUGCAUGUGCGCAAUAGGAAGACAAUUAAAGAGAGAGAGAUACCUUUAGGACGUUCCUCCUUAAAUCAGCCGUGAGUUUGGUGCACUUACUCAUAUCAAUCCAUGUCAUGGAGUUUAAUGACUUAUCCAAGUCUGGAACCUCAGUGAGUUCGUGUGAAUCACAUACAUUCAGUUCCCUCAUAUUUGACAUUUUCGAAAAAUUGGGCAUUGUUACCAAACGAUAGCAACUAGAUGCAUCCAGAAAUUUCAAAUUUGUUGGUAAAUCAUAGAUUGUAUGAAGCUGGGAGCAAUAACUUAACCACAAACUUUCAAGUUUUGAAAGACCACUGAGGCUGGGUAGGGUAUGAAAAUAAUUGACUGAGAGAUCUAAAUUUCUUAAAGAGUCUAAGCCGUGUAACGAAUCGGGAAAUUGCAAAGGAAACUUCGAUCCCACAAAAUUAUUGAGAGAUAAAUGAGUGAGAUUCUUCAAUCUUACUGUGGAACGCGGUACUUGUCUUAUGGCUGUAGUAGAUGCUUUAAGUACUCUCAAUGAUAUCAUCUUCCCUAAACCCUCGGGCAAUUCACUGAAUUGCCAACAAAAAUCAAGAACAAGAGUCUGAACGGAUUUGGACCUGUAGAAAUCCCCAGGAAGAGAAAUAAGAUUCUUGCAGCGUGUGAGGUUCACCAAAGAAAGUUUUUUAAGAUGACCAAUGGAGGGGUGAAUAUCGGACAAACUCCUACACCUUUCCAAUAUCAACUCUUCAAGAUUUGGGAGAUUUGAAAAGUCUGGUGAUUUUUUUAAGUCAGAGCAACUUCCAAGAUUAAGGACCUUCAAGUUUUCAAGUGACUGUUGCACAAAAUCAAAGAAAAAUUAAAAUUAAUAUCCAAAAGGACUAUCUCAGAAAAAAAGAAGGAAAUCCAAAAAACAAAUACAAACAUAACAUCAUCAUGUGUAAUCGAUUGUACCUUGGAGCCCUCCCAAACUUGUACCAGGUCGCUAGAUGUUAUCUCUAAAAUAACUAGUCUUGGUUGAUCAAAGAAGUCAUCUGGUAUGGACUUUAAAGGGCAUCUUUCCCAACACAACCAUAUUAACUCCUUGGGGAGAUGUUUGUAUUCUCCAUUGAGCUGCACGUUGUAGAGCUUGAGCAGUCUCAGUUUCUUCAUAUUGGCAAAUGCUUCUGUACUGAACCCAGGCAUGUUAGACCUUGGAGGCCAAGGAGGAGGGAUACCUAGAGCAAGUCCUUCAACUUCUUCAGUUCCCUGUUAACAAAAGGUUAUAUUCAUGUGUAAGAAACGGAUUAUUUGCAUACGUUUACAUGUAUGAAUACAAGCAAGUACUAUUGUUGGCUAAUUGAGAUGAAUGUUAAUGUAUAAUACACAUCCGUGAGUUAUAUGUGCUUUUCAUGUACAAUGCAUUAAUUCAGAAUUUUAUUGGGAAUGUACUUACAGAUUUAUCUCUCAAUACUUUAAUGACCUCUUGCCGGUUCCACAACCUACUCCACUCUCCAGGCUGACGAGGGGAUUUUUCAGAAAUGAUUAAUUUGGCCAUUUCUCGAAGCAAAUCAUGCAUAUUCAACACGUUGUCUUCAACAGUUAUAAGGCAUCGUUCACGGAGGUCACUGAUUCCUAUUGUUGCAAAAAAGUUACAUCCAUCUAAUAUUUUUGCGACAUAGUCCUUAUCCCAUCCAAUAAAGAAACAAGAAAUGUCAAGGAAUAUAUCCUUUUGUGUAGGAUCUAGCCUUUCAAAGCUUACUCUUAGCGGUUUCAUUAUUCCUUUAUCAGGAAAUUUUUUCAAUUUCUCCAACUGACUUUUCCACUCUAUUGGGGUUCUUUCAAUCAUAGAAGAACCUAAAACUUCAAGGGCUAUUGGCAAACCACCACAGUAAGAAACAACCUCUUUUGAGAGUUCAAGAUAUCCUUCAUUAGGCCAACUCUUUCCAAAGGCAUGCCAACUAAAGAGCUUCAGAGCUUCUUCUUCAUUCAUUUCCUUAAGCGGAUAUGUCUUGUCCACUUUCAUGUUCACUUGCUUUAGUAAACAUUCAUCUCGUGUCGUUAUGAUAAUUCUACUUCCUGGACCAAACCAAUCACGAUUUCCAGCUAUGGCAUUUAGUUGUUCCACUUUGUCUACAUUGUCAAUAAUGACAAGUACGCUUCUACGUUGGAGAUGAUUUUUUAGCAAACUGAUACCUCCAUCAACACUGGUUAUCUUAGACUCAGUCUGUUUCAAGAUGUCAGAAACAAGCUUUCCUUGCAAAUCAACCAAAUCAUAUUCACUAACGUUGGCAAGGAAACUUUUGAAUUGGAACUUAUGAUGAAUUUGGUUAUAAAUGGCUUUGGCAGCUGUUGUUUUACCUAAUCCACCCAUCCCCCAAAUUCCAACCAUGACAACGUCAUUUGAUCCACCACCUGAAAGAUGAUUGAUAAUAUCUUGAACGCGAGAAUUGAUUCCAACCGGGUGCUUGGCCACAUUUAAUUCGUUUGCACCCGGAAGCCAUUCCGUAAUGAUCUUGCCAACAAUUUCUCUAAUAAGCUUUGCUUCGCGCCUAGAUGUUGAAUUUGUAAGCAUUAGCGGGACUCAAUGAACAGUAGGAGCUAUUAGUACAUAGACAAUUUUCUUUCCUUCAUACAUAUUCUAACUAGCUACUAGCUAGCAUGUGAUUUUUUUACCAACUUGAUAAAAGAAAGAAAUUCAUUCAUUAAUUAAACUCCAAUUACGGUUUAGGUUUUAUAUGAGAGGUUAAGGUGUAUUAAUUAAGCAUGUUAAUUAUAUGAGAGAUUAAGUCAUUCACUAAAAUGUGUCAAAUCUUUAAAAGCAGGUGAAUGAUUACCCAUUGUCAAUGAUUUGAAGAUGUUGGCCAGACAAAUUUGCAGCUUCUGUAAGAGCCUUUCUCCAUUGCUUUACCCUUUCUUGUUUAGCUUCACGUUCCUUGUCAUCUUUUUCUUCACGAAUGCCCUCUUCGUGCUUCUGAAAUGCUUGAGCUAAAUCUCCGUUCUGCUUCCUAACAUGUGAAGGAUCAACAUGAUAGAAUAUUGGCAAAACACGUCGCCCCAGUUUGUAUCUGCACUUCAUGAUCUUCACCAGCUCGUCAAGACACCAACUCGAGUUCGCAUAACUCUUUGAGAAGACAAUGAUAGAGAUCCUCGCCUCUUCAAUUGCCCGGAACAGUUCCUCUUUUAUUUCUUCCCCUCUUUCUAGAUCGUCCUCAUCGAUAUAAGCCUGGUAUCCCCUCUCUGUUAAUGCCGCAUGGAGGUGGCCCGUGAAGCCAUUGCGUGUGUCCACACCGCUGAAGCUCAAGAACACGUCGUAAUUCCAAAGUUUUGACUUGGAGGAGGAUGACGAGGAGGCUUCGUGGGUUGUCAUGGGGGUAUCCACCGUUAUGGCACUGCAGUGGUUCAGAUCACGACUGAAUUAAGGAAUGCACAACUUUACUUUUAUGAUUAUUUUCAAUGACAGCUAAAGGUCAGAUCCAAAUGAAAAUAAAAGUUAGGACUUCACAAAACCAAUAAAAAAAUAUAAUUCCCAAGUUACAAAUACCCACCAAAUGAUUCCAGAUAAAGUUUUAAACUCAAGGUCCGGCCCAAAUGAAAUUAAAAGUUAGGACUUCACAAAACCAAUUGAAACAGAAACCAAAUGGUAGAAGUUGAAAAAAAUAUAUGGUCAUGAAUCGAGAACUUCAUCAAACUAAUAGCAAUAAAAUCUCAUAUAAUAUGUCAAAAACCAAAAAAGAGAAAGAGGUAAUUUCAAGACCUUGUAACGCCGAGGCCUCGUACAGUUGUAGUAAUAAUAUAUGGUUGAUGCACCUGUUGCUCAAUCAAAUCCUUUGUCUGGCUAAAAAAAUAAAAUCUAUAAAUACAUUCACGUCCAAUUUAUGAGAAAUCAUGGGAAAGCAAAUGCACUGAGAACGGAAUCAUGAAUAUGUAGAACUUGCCAAAAAGAAAAAGAAAACUUUUUAUAGUGUGCCAAGAACAUCCUCCUACUCCUAGCAAUUUUUUAUGGCAUUAUCCACUUUUCAAUUCAUAAUUCAACCAGCAACUCAAAGUCUAUAGUGUAUGAAAAGGUGAUAUCUUAGUUGAUCACGAUGAUAAUUAAGUAGAUUAAAUGACGACCCAUAAAGCAUACAAAUUCAGAAAAGAAAAGGUACGAAACUGCCAUAAGAAAACGCAGAAUAUAUAAACCGGAAAUCAAAAGAAGAGAAGCGAAAAAGGAAGAAAAAAAAAACCAAACAAAAUUAUUAGGUUUGGGAUAUACCUUUAUCUGAAACGCCACAAUCAUCAAAGUCAAACAUAAACAAUCCAAAAAUUUGUGGAAAAUACCAGUAAAUGCUCAACUAAAAACGAAAGAAAAUGUAGAAUAAGUUUACCUGUUCUCCCCCUAAUUAAACUGGAAUAACAUUCACCACUAAUAUUCUCGUCGUCAUCCUCUUCAGCCUGAAAAAUUUAGUAGAAAUACUCAAUGAAGACGCUUAAUGUAGACAGUAAUAUUAGCAAUGGAGGAAUUGAAUUGAUAACCAAAACUGCAAGACCAAAUGACUAUUUAGGUUCAAAACAGAAACUCGUCUGCUAGAUGUCUCAUCUUUAGGCAGUGCCUUGUUCUUGUUUUUUUUUCUUUUUUUUUUGUUGUUGCAUGUCUUGUGAAGUUCAUGUAAAUCAACAAAAUUGAUACUUUUGACACAACCAACAAUGGAGAGGUAAAAAGUUAAAAACAUUAGGAAUGUCUUCAUUUUUGUAAUGGAUUUUGCAAGUCAGAAAUUCUGUUCGAGAAUUUGCAACCCAGAAAGUCCGCCAGAAAUUAUUAACAAUCACAGAUAAGCACCGAAUGAAGGCCAAUCUAAUAAGCCAAAAUAUGUAGGGCACUAAAGAAAUUACCCAGUAACAAUAAUAGAUAAGCACAUAUGAAACUAAAGAAAUUUUUCAUUACUAUCAACUCCCAAAAAAAAAAAAAAAAAAAACUGUGCAAUCCAAAAAAUGUUGAUACAUAGUUGGAGUAUCAAUGCCUGAAAUUGGUAUUUGAACCACGAAUAUGUUUGUUAGCUUAAAGGUUUGGGUUGAAGUUGUGAAAGGAAAUGUAAUUUCUUAAAAGAAGGAGAGAAUGCAAAGAUGAAUACAGAAUGGUUCAUGUGGCCACCUUGUUAAGGCACAGAAAAAGACAUCAAAUUUUAUACUUGUUGCAUCCAAGGUAUGCAACAGCCUCCCACAGAAAUUACAGAAAUCAAAUCAAGAAAAAAGAUAAUUACACAAUAAUUACACCUUCACUAAGAAAAUAAAUUAUAAAAACGAAGACCGUGAGAAUAAUUACCUUACCUUUGUACGGUGAUUGGCUGCCAAAAAAAAAAAUAAUGUCAUAUACAUUAAGCCUGCCAAUUACUAAAAACAAAACAUUUUGCCAUGAGGAGAAGUAAGAACAUACCGAAACUUGUUUGCAAAUAGAUGAGAAAAACUUAUUCCUGAAACAGAUGGAAAAUUUAUUAGGAAAGAUAAAUCAGCCCACAUGUGUGUAAUCUAUAUACAAAAAACCACUCUCUUCAAUAGCCAAAUCGUUUCACAAAUCCAAAAACACAUAAUUAUAUCUUGAACAAUGCCAAUUAAUGAUUUCCCAUUUACUUAAGCCAACAACAAAGCCAAUGAACUGAUGAAAGAGCAAAACAGAGAAACAAAAAACCUCAAUUAAGUAAUUAAAUGGAGUAUUACUUGAUAGAGCUGGAAAAUUACCCAGUUCCUCAGAGAGAGGAUCAAGAGUGACUGAUGAGAGUGCAGAGAAAAGAAUGAUUGAGAAAUUCAAGUUCUGAGCUCGAAGUUGGGGCUUCCACUUUCCAACUGGGGAAGAAAUAACAGAGAAAACACAGAGAGCCAAUCCACCAAAUAUUAAUCAAAUGGGUUUCUUCUAAUUCAAAAUUUGGACCACCCAAAUUCCAAUGAAGCAAUAACCAUUCAAAAUCCAACAGAUUGAAGCCCUCACAGACUACUAAUUAUCAAUACCCAGCAAUAAAAAAUUUGAAAACAGUAAUAAUGAAGGAAAAAGAAAUUAAAGCUGCAAGCCAUUCUCUAAAUCUCAGGCACCAAUCCAAAUCACCAGUAAUUUGCACAUAAUGAUAAGAAUCUAGCAGUAUUUCCAUUGUUUAAAAACCCAAAUUCAAGAAAUCAUGAAAAAUGGAAACUUUAUUUGGAAAUUGAAGCUUUACCUGCAGAUCAGCAGCAGCAAACGGAAUCCAACGGCAUGUACCUCAAAAGUGAGAGAGAGAGAGUUGAGAGAUGAGUGAGAGAAUCGAUAAACAAAACCCCCCAAAAUCACAAAAGGAAAAUUGAACAGAAAACAAAUUUGCAAAUCCAAAAUCACAAGAACGAAAUUGAAACACCCACACUGAGAAAGCUGCAAUACUCACCAGGAAGCUAGCUUUUCUGGGUAAAAAAAUUGUUCGAAUCGAAUUGAAGAACCGAGGAAAAUUCUACUGGUUCAGUGGUUUUUCCAGCAAGAAAGCACCUUGUUUGUAAUUCGUGAGAGGUUGGACAGCGAGAGAGAAAAACGUAAAGGAAAGGAAAAGCGGAGAAGAAGUCACGAUUAUCGACGCGUGGGUUGCAUUCCACUGUGCCAAGUUCGAAAAUGAACGGGGAAUGGGGAGCUUGGCCGAGGGAGACAGAAUUCGAGAAGCAGCGUUCUGAUUAAUUUUUUUUUUUUUUUUUUUAUGAGAGAGGGAAAGCGGAAUGAAGAGAAUCGAGAAGAGGAUGAACCAUUUCAAUUUUUAAGCGAUGAUCGACGCGUGGGACUUGAGGGCAAAUUUGCCAUUUUGCUGUGAACCCAUGAAGCAUCAGAAUACACAAAAGUCAAGACUUGGCUUGGUUUAUAUAAUUAAUCAAUAAUAUUCCUAACAAGAGCUAGGUCCAUAUAUUAUACGAACAAUACUUAGCUGCUGAAUUCCUACUUUCAACCAAUCAAAUUUUGACACGUGUCCAAAUAAUGAAAUUAUAAAUACAAAUUGAACACGUGUCCAAAUAUGAUUGGGUGAAAAUAGGAAUGGCUGUUGAAUUUUCAGCCGCCAAGUAUUGUUCUUAUACAAGGUUCUAAAUCUAAUAGAUGUUGUGGCUAGACGAGGCUUAUUGACUAGACGGAUUUAAGUAAAUUUAUUCUAUAUUAUAAAUAAAUGUUUUUUUAUACUUAAAAUGACACAUAAUUGUAUUGAGAUAUAUAAAUUGUAAAAUAAAAUAACAUAUAUAUUAUAAAGUAUUGGAACAUGAGAGAAAAGACCUAAAUGUGAAACGACAACUAUAAACAAUUAUUCAAGAUGAACGAUAAAUGAUUCAACCAUUUACAAGAUUCAAAACAUGAGAUCACGAUCUACUGAAUGAUUGCAUUAACUAUUAAGCGGUGCCCUAAUAUAAUACAUCCAAAUGGGGGUGGACCACAUAAUACACCCAAUGGAUCGUUUUUAAGCUACUCCACUGCUAAAACUAUUGCAAAAUGCGUUAGGAUUAUACUUCUAUUAGCUGCGCCUUUCCUUACUAGGCAAAUGGGGGUGGACCACAUAAUAAUGUUAAAACUGCUAUGUCUAUUGGGUUUCUCUGUUUAUUUCAUGUACUAGUUUAUGUUCCUUUUAUUGUAUAAAUAACUUGUACUUGGGAUGUUGCAGAACAAGUUUGAUUUGAAUGAAAUUACUACUAUUGAGUUAGCUGUCAAGCUUCUCUUUAUUCCAAGCUUGCAUUUUGUUCUACCUUUUCCAAUUCUCUACAUCCCUAAGAGGACUGUAUCAGAUGUUAUACACAUUGGAGUUUGAGCAGAAUUCUUUUUGUUAUCUUGUCUCACAUUGCUAGAAUUGAAAAGUUCAUAAUAUAAUAACAUUCGCGUAUGAACUUGAGAAACAACAUACUACUGGUUGGCCUGGAAGGUGCAGUGAAAGAGAGGAAAGGAAGAAAGAAACAAACACGAAAGGACAAGGACUAUCCAAUAGAUUAUAAACAAUGACUUAUUGGGGAUGAUUACGGCUAUUAAAUCAUCAAUAAUGCAUUAUUUUAGUUUGGAAUUUGGAAGCAUUUGAGAAGUAAAAUGACAACAACUACAUAAUAAACAAAGGUGAUUAGAAAAAAGACCCAAAUGUGAAAGAAUAAUUAAAAACAAUUACUCAAGAUUAGUGAUAAAUGAUUCAACCAUUUACAAGAUAUGAACUUAGAACAACAAUCUAUUAGAUUGUUGUAUUAAUGAUUAAGUGAUGCUCUAAGAUAAUAGAUCCAAAUGGGGACGGACCAUAUAAUACACCCAAAUGGAUGCAAUCAUGCCAUAUAUAAACAAUGUUUUGAAAGGACAAGGUAGCUAAAGCUGCCUUUUUAUAUAUGUAAGCAACAACCCUAAAUCUUACUGGAACUAAUUAACUAAUGUAUUUAUUAGACAGUUGGAUUCCUUAGCAAGUGGUUAACUAGUUUUGUUUAGUUUAGUAGUCAGGUCGUAAUUAAUUAGUCAAAUGAAAAUGCAUAUAACACACCCAAAUGGAUGCCAUAUAUGCAUACUAUUUUUGUUUAGUUUAGUAGUCAGGUCGUAAUUAAUUAGUCAAAUGAACCUGCAUAUAACACGCCCAAAUGGAUGCCAUAUAUGCAUAUAUAAACAAUGUUCUCAAAGGAUGAAAUGACUUUCUUGCCGGUAUGGGGGAAGAGGAAAGAAACUAGCACGAAACUGCAGACCCUAUCGAUCCAUUAUAAUAAAUUUCAAUGGUCCAAUUUGUAAGUUAAUUGUGCAACAUAAAAACUUAUUUACAGUUAUCAACUUAACCACGUACCUGUGAAAGACAUUAUCUCAGAAAACUAGGAUUAAGAACCAAAGUUCUCCUGGAACUCUACACAACUUAAGGCUCGCUCAAUGGGGCUUGAGUUUUUUGUAAACUUGCGUAUUUUUGGAAACGCAUCAAAUAGUAGUUAAAACAUCCGGCCGUAAAUAAAGGGUUUGAGAUACCACCAUAGUGAUAUCCCUCAGAUGUGAGUUUCUCACGUAUCAAAUCACUUAUUGUAAGAAUAUUAGUAGUGAAAGUUAAAUACCCGUGUUGGGAAAGGAAGUCGAUGAUGACAAGAGAGAAAUUUGGCUUGAAAAAUGUAUGAUACUUGCAACAUGCGUCACCGGAGUAUCAACUUGAAGCUUUCCAUCUCUCCGUCGUUAAAUGUUUCGUAAGCAGCGUUGUUGAAGUUCUCUAUGUCAAGGGGAAACUGAAGAUGGUUUUAAAUGAAGAAGAAUGGAAAAUAUAAUUUAGAAAAUGAGAAAGAAAAUUAUAAUUGAAACUAAAAAAAUAAGAAAUAAAAAGAGAGAUUUACUAUUUUCUAUGAGGUCUUGGAGUUGGCCGUGACAGUAAGAGAGGAUAAGCGAAUGAAUUGGGCCAAUUACUUGCUCUCUUGGACUUUGGGCUUUUGGAUUGGAUUGGGCCAAUUACUUACUUGGGCCCCAUCCCAACUUAUGACUUUUUGUCGGUCGGUAUUGACUGAGGUGAACGUGCUAAACUAGAAAUUUGAGAUUUUGAAUUAGCAAAUGAAUGUUAAGUAAGAGCGUCAUGAUCAGACUUGUAAGACUGUCUUUGUUGCGUUUUGUCAAAACCGGUCCAUCUAAUUACAAAUUGUAACCAUAUUAGUUGAGUAUAUAUAUGCUACAUCACAUUAGUGAAUAUUCAGUACGGGUGACACAUGGUCAGACUUGUAGGUUGUUCAUUAAGAAGUUACCACGUUCUCAAGAGUGGAGCUAGAGGGGAGCACUUCCCUACCAAAGUGUUUUCCUUCUCCCCUUUACAAGGGAUUUGUGUCACUAUUAGAUAGGAGAUUCGAAUACAAGACCUUGAAUUGAGAGGUCACACUUUUACAAAGCUUCUACGAGCACCUUCUUGUUUACCAAACUCAUUGAGACUAAAGGAGGUCUUAACGCCAUUUUGGCUAAUACUAUUCUAUAUAUUUACGAAUGGUUUUAAGUUUGGGUUUAAUUGGAUAAUCAGAGAGUAGUGCAUCAAACUAUGGAUAUUCAGAAACCGAAAGCAUAAUUCAUAUUCCUCCAACAAGUCCACGCAAAUAACCACAAUCAGAAUGUUAGUUCAUAACUGGCCAUAUAGAACGCAGUACAAAAGCACUAAAAGCGUCCAAGUGAAAGUGCUUUCUCCUCAUGCAGUUUCAUUUAACUUAGUUUCACAUGCCAGUCCGUCACACACUCAACUCCUCAACGUUCGGGUUCAAAGCAUUCUUUAUCCUUUCUGUACGAGAGACAAUAAAUUUAAAGUUCUUGUGAUGAAAUCAUGUAAAACAUUCAGAAAUCUUGAUUUAAUCCUUUCUCAAGAUCAUAGGUUGUGUCAUCUCAACUUAUAUCUUAGGUCUUAUGAGUGCUCGUAAUACACUAAUACGGCACUUGUUUUCUGGCCAGGACAGAAACAAAAUCAUGUAGGAAAUUGUCAUGACAAUAAAGGUCGUACCCAGUGCACAAGGCUCCCGCUUUAAGCAUGACAAUAAAGGAAAUUGUCAUGUAGGAAAUUGUCAUGACAAUGUAAGUGUAAAAUGAGACCGGAAAAACACUAAACAGGAUGACUAUGCUCUCUUAGCGUAAACCUUAACAACAAAGACUAUACCGUAUCUGUCACCAAGGGCGGAGCCACCAUAGGCCUAGGGGGGCGGAUGCCCCCACUGAGAUUUUUCUGAUGCUGGCAUGAUGACCUUCAGAUGCUUGAGAUUCGGCAAUGGUGGAGAGCAGAUCUUUCUAAAUUUCUUUGGAAAGAAGAGAUCCUAAACCAAGCACACAAACAAAAAUUUGAGAACAGCAAAUACAAAAAUUCGACAGUGAUCAAACCCAUCAAGCAUGCAUAUAUAGAUACAUGUUAUAUUUAUAUACCAUAGCAUCAUGAACUUUUAGUGUAAUUUUUCUGAAGCAGUCAAAACUUUCAAGAUAAUCUCGUGCUGCUCAAAUUGAUAUGGUUCUACAGCAGCAAAGCCCACACUGCGAUUUUUCUGGUUCUACUCUCCGAUCUGGUUCUGUAGAAGCAGAGCUGGGUCUUAUUUUAUUUUUUUUCAAAACCAAGCCAAAACGACAUCGUUUUGGUCCUGGUAAAAAAAAAUUUAAAAAAUGUAAACGAAACGGUGUCGUUUCGUAUAUGUUUGAAAAAAUAUGUUCGAGGAUGCCCCCAUUCACCCAAAUGUCUGGCUUCGUCCCUGUCUGUCACAGUGAUAUGCGACCAUAAGCCCAACUCCAAGGAUCAGCUUUCCAAGAACUUUGAAGGCUACAAAUCAAAAGUUACAUGCAGUGAUGACAUAAUCAUGAAAAAAUACAAUCAUAAAUUAAAGGAAAACAUACCGACUUCUAGUUCUGGCAAUUCACUAUUGGCCCAUAUAUUUGAACCACAAUAUGAUGGAUACCCAAUACAGAUCACAAAUAAAAUCUGAGCAGACACAAAGUAUUAUGUUUUGUUUACGCAAAAUCUGUAAGUUCUCAAGUAGGAUAAAUAAAGAUAAACAUAUCCCAGCAUAAAGACGACUUGUCCUGGCUAAUUCUAAGAAAGCUUGUAUCAAAUGUAUGAUAGUUAUUCAUAACUAACACAAACAACAGUUUGGCCAAACAUUACUGGUCUGAGCCAUAUACUGUGUGACCUCAGACAAAACAGAUCCCACAUGUACUCAGAUUAUGAUUGAUGUCCCAAUAGACUUUUAGGCGGUGCUCUGAUAUAAUACAUCCAAAUUGGGGUGGACCAUAUAAUACACCCCAAUGGAUCGUUUUAAGCUCCUACACUGCUAAAGCUAUUGCAAAAUGCGCAUUAGGAUUAUAUUUCUAUUAGAAGCGCCUUUCCUUACUAGGCAAAUGAACCAUAUAAUACACCAAGAUGGAUGUUAUACACGUUAGCGUUUGGGCAGAAUUUUUUUGGUUAUCUCAUUGUCUCACAUUACUAGAAUUGAAAAGUUUAUAAUAUAAUAACGUUCGAAUAUGAACUUGAGAAACGACAUACUGCCGGUUGGCCGUAAAGGUGCAGUGAAAGAGCGAAAAGGAAGAAAGAAACAAACAUGCAUGAAAGGACAAAGACUAUCCAAUAGAUUAUAAACAAUGACUUCUUGGGAUGAUUACAGCUAUUCAACCAUCAAUAAUGCACUAUUUUAGUUUGGAAUUUGGAAGCAUUUGAGAAGUAACAUGACAUCAAUCACAUAAUAAACAAAAGUGAUUACAAAAAAACCCAAAUGUGAAGGAAUAAUUAAAAAAAAUUAUUCAAGAUAAGCGAUAAAUGAUUCAACUAUUUAUAAGAUAUGAACUUAGAACAACAAUCUAUUGGAUCGUUGUAUUAACUAUUAAGUGGUGCUCUAAUAUAAUAUAUCCAAAUGGAGACGAACCAUAUAAUACACCCAAAUGGACCAUUUUUAGGCUCCACUGCUAAAAACUAAUGCAAAACGGGCAUUAGGAUUAAACUAUAAGAACUAGGAUUGCAGGGAAGACAAAACACGCAGGAAAGCUAUAAGACUACACAAGGUUUUCACUGUGAUUGCAUACCCUCAACGUUGUAGGGAGCAACCUUUUUAUAAUCACUUUUCAGAUUACAUCAGGGUUUCAAAAACCCUAUUAACAAGCUUACAUUUUGAAAUUCAAAUACUAUAACUAAUUCUGACAAAACAAAUAUUUAAAAAUUCAAAUGAUUUUAACAGAAGCUCUACUUGAUAAGUGUUGUUGACUGAGUAAACCAACUGAAGAGUUUCUGUUUGAACAGGAAACUUGACUCCGUCUAACAUAAACUUGUAUUAGCUAGCUUUCCUAGUCAAAUGAACCAUAUGAUACACCCAAAUGGAUGCCAUCAUGCCAUAUAUAACCAAUGUUUUGAAAGGACAAGGUACCUUAACACUGUCUUUUUAUAUAAUGUAAGCAACAACCAUAAAUCUUACACAAAUCCUGGUAAGUCUACCACAAGUGUCAAUCCUUAUCUCCUUAUCAUUCCACAUCACCAAGUGUUUGCUCUCGUAUAGAACUUACAAAAAUCUCAUUUAGUUUCAUCUAACUUAUUUUUCACAACGGUGAAUAUAUUUCAAUGGCUUGGUUUUCACAUGCCAGUCAGUCACAUGCUCAACUCCUCAAAGUUCGGGCUCAAUGGCUCGAAGAGAGCUUCCACUUCACUCUGAUUCACCUCCCUCUUACUUUGACGGGUUCCACUUCGGAUUCUGCAUUGACAAAAAACAGAAGCAAAAGAUUGUUGAGAGUUGUCCCACGUUGGUGAGGGACAAGGCUUGCUAUGUACUUAUAUGAAUUUGGGCUACUUUCAAUAUUGUCAAUUGGUUUUAUGGUGGAACCUCAAUUUCAUCAUGGUAUCAGAGCCAAGUUGUUGACGUGUGAAGCCCAAUGGCCACACGCACUUCACGUCACCUAGCUGUUGUCCACGUGUAGGCUUGAAAAUCCGUCACACGUGCGGGGACGUGUUGAGAGUUAUCCUACAUUGGUGAGGGACAAAGUUUAGCUAUGUGCUUAUAUGAUAUUGGGCAACUUCCCAUAUUACCAAUUGAUUUUAUGAUGAACCUCAAUUUCAUCAAAGAUAACGACCUGUUCUCAUACAAGGAAAGUAAGAUGAUUAUAUAACUGUAGGUCUAGUACAGGCUGUAAUGGUUUAUGUUGCAGCAACUCCGUCAGCAAGUGAUUUUCAAGUAAGGAAUCUUGAGCAUAAUUAACGAACCUGAUCCUUGUCCACCAAAACUGCCCGCACACCUUCAGCAAAAUCAUUCCGCAAAGACGAUCUUCUAGCAACGCGAUAUUCAGUUUUCAUCACACCAGUUAGCUGGUAUGGAUCAAGUAAAGCACAUGUUACUCACUCAGAAAAUGUGAAAUACUACAACACAAAAUCUAUCAAAAGGAUGCAACCUUGAAGAGCUUCAUUUGCCCACUCCACCACUACAACAGAAACAAUUUGAUAGAAAAUACUUGACAGCCACGUACAAGCCUCUCAAUAGAAGAGUAAGACAGAUUUCAUUUCAUCAUCGAUAAACAAAUGGCAUUGACAAACUUACCAGUAGCAUCUGAACUCUGCUGCUGCUUUUUAAGUUCAUCAAUUGUCACAAGAACCGACUUAUUUGCACCAAAUGCUGAAGUUAUUUGAGGUAAAAGACUCCUGAGCUGCGCUUCGAAUCUGGGUUGCUGCUGAAUUUUGCCACAGUUGUAAUUGACAACAUUGACAAUUGUCUCUCUCGCAAUAGUACCUUCGUAAUGAUCCGCUACUGACCUUGGCCCGAUAGGCCAAUACCAAAGGCCAUUGUUAUGGCCACGAAGCUUAUACGUGGCUGUCAAGCCCGACACGUGAAUAGCAUACUCUACUACUGUGUUACAUUGUGAGAAUUUUAUCCAAAAUUAAUUGACAAUAAGUGAAUAAGUUGAAAGAUUAUGUAUGACUUUAAUUAUGCAAAGAGUGAAGAGGCAAUUUUCACCAAACCCCAGUAAAAAAUUUGGGCCUCACAAAUCACUAAACCCAAUAUGCUUUUCUCUUAUGCCUUUCGUUCAUGGUUUGAUAUUCUGGCGUCCGAGGACCCUGACAUGACAAGUUCCAACCUUUUUGUUCAAUUUCUUGACGAAACAAUCACAUUUACCCUUACGGCACGGCACGGUUCCGGGCAUAGAAUAUGGGUUGGGUUCCGCCACAGAUCCAACACUAAUUAGCACUGUAGAGAAGGAAGUAAAGACAACUAUUGAUUUCUUACAACGUAGCGAGUCUCUUGACAUGACUCCUGCUGUUUUGUUCUUAUUUCACGUCCUGUUUCUCGAGCUUGGUGUUUCCGGCAGGGCCGGUCUAAAGAUUUUUGAGGCCCGGAGCGACGUAAAAAAAUAUGCCCUCACUUAUAUAAGAAAAUUAUUUGUUUUCACAUGUAAGACAUCGAUAAAAUUAUACUUACAAAAACACUUAAAACUUAAUAAUUUAGAAACAAGGAAAAACUAAUUUAUUUUGUAUCGUGAGAAUGAUCCAAAAAAACUCUGGGUUUACAAGUAGAUAGAUAUGGGUUUACAAGUUGCGGAUUGCUUUGCUAACUAUGAUGUUGAUCUGGCUGGGGUUCAUUGGUGAGAUUCUUGAUUUCCUUGUGCUACUUUGACAUAUCACCAUAAGUUGUCUUUUUUGCCUUGUUAUAGUUUCGUGUGGGGUUUUUUUUCUUCUUCUAAUGCUGAUUGGGUUCUUUUCUUCCAACUCCUGCCCACUCAUUAUUGUCUGAACCACACCUAGUAUUACCCUCAUAUCCACUAAAACUUCAAGCUUUACCAAUUUGUCACAAGCGAAGAUGGUAGCUCCCAACACCAAUGAGGUUCCAAACAAUUACGAUCGAAAACGCGAAGUGAAAGCUUUUGAUGAGACAAGGGAAGGCGUUAAGGGUCUUGUUGAUGCCGGGGUAGCCGAGGUUCCUAGAAUUUUUCAUCAACCACCACAAUUGGACGAUCAGUACUCCAUCAACAAUACAAGCACUGACUCAGAAGCCACCCAGUUUAGCAUUCCGCUAAUAGACCUUGAAGACCAUGGUAAUCCAACUAAGCGCAAUGAGAUUGUUGCAAAGUUGGAGAGGCAUCAGAGACUUGGGGCUUCUUUCAAAUAGUGAAUCAUGGGAUACCUGUAGGUGUUCUGGAGGCGAUAAAGGAUGGGGUACGUGGGUUUUAUGAGCAGGACACUCGAGUCAAGAAAGAGUUUUUACACUCGUGAUCACUCUAAACCUUUGUUUUACAAUAGCAACUUUGAUCUUUAUAGUUCACUGGCAACGAAUUGGAGGGAUACUUUUAAGUGUUACAUGGCUCCAUAUCCUCCUAAGCCAGAAGACUUGCCAGAAGUAUGCAGGUAUUUGACAACCCAAUUCUCUGGUUUAAUUGGUGACAGUAACCUGGUGCAGAUUCCUUCCUUGAUGGAUUAGAUCAUUAAACUCCAUACUUUUGACAAGUUUAAUGUGCUUUCCUGGUUUUCAACUUGCAGAGACGUACUGAUCGAGUAUUCAAAGCGAGUAAUGGAGUUGGGGAAAUUGUUGUUUGAGUUGUUGUCGGAGGCCCUUGGGCUAAAGCCAAGCCACUUGAAUAGCAUAGAUUGUAGUAAGGGGCUACAGGUUUUAGGCCAUUACUAUCCUGCUUGUCCACAGCCAGAGUUAACUUUGGGCACAAGCAAGCACGCUGAUGAUUCCUUCCUUACGGUCCUUUCUGCAAGAUCAUAUUGGUGGUCUGCAAGUUGUUGAUCGUCAAAAUAAGUGGAUUGAUGUACCCCCUGUGCCUGGGGCUUUAGUGGUGAACAUUGGAGAUCUUUUACAAGUAAGCACACGUAUACAAUUGCCCUUUUUUUUUCUCCCUAAAAACUACUAUUAAAUUAAGAGAAUAGUAUCGUAAACUAAGCUAGUUUGUUAAUGACUAAUACUCGAGACAAGCUUUGGUCGCAUGUUAGCGUUCUCUUAGAAUAUGUCUUAGAAUUCUUCGAUUAUCAUAAUUAGGUCUUUUAUGUUCAAUUCUUUUUGGGAUUUUCAGCUCAUAUCAAAUGAUAGAUUCAAAAGCGUAGAACACAGGGUAUUGGCGAACCGUGAAGGUCCAAGGAUAUCCAUUGCCAGCUUCUUAGCACAGGUUUGCUACCAUUUACAAAUCUCUAUGGACCUAUUAAGGAGUUGGUAUCAGAAGACAACCCUCCAAAGUACAGGGAGACUACUGUGAGGGACUACGACACCCAUUUCUAUGACAAAGGCCUAGAUGGAACCUCUGCCUUAUCUCAUUUUAAGAUCCCAACUUAGACAUGGAGGAGCACAGAAGCAGAGACCGCAACGAACAAAUCCUGUCUACUAAAUAAUUUGGCAUGAAAAUAUAUAUUGGUUUGUUUAAUCUGAAAGCACUUUCGCACCACAAAAUUCUGGAUAUGCAUAUUAUUUUGUUUUCUGUUUGCAUAUGGUCUAAUAUACUUGUAGAAAGGGUUGGGUUUCUACCCUUGCGUCUCAGGUACGAAACUUCCCCUCCUAUAAAUUAUUGUAAUAGCUUCGAACUCUCUAUCUUCCGCAAAAAAAAAAAAAAAAAAGGGGGGUUUUCUAACACUUCUAUUCAUCAUGUUUACAGUUUUUGUGGCAUGCGCUUAACGAAUUCAACUGUGGUUGUGGUUGCGGUUGCGGUUGCAUAUCAAUACUAUUAUACCAUAAGUGUGGGCUUGUUUGAGAAUGUUUUUGUUUGUAAGAAGCGGUUUUACACAGUAGUUAAAAUAUAUAUAUGUAGAAAGAAAACAUACAAGUUGGUUGACAAAAGGGGAAGAAAAAUUGAGAGAUACAGAGAAUAAGAAAAGAAGAAAAUCGAUGCAAAUUUUAAUAUAUAUGUAGUAGAUCCAGGUAUCCAAAGGAUUCGGGGCUAAUGUACCUGCAUUGAUGAAAAAACAAAGAUGAGAUUUUUUGAAACGCAUCACAUAGUAGUUAAAAUACCUGGCGGUAAAUGAACGGUUUGAGAUAACGCCAUAGUGGCAUCCCUCAGGUGUGAGUUUCUCUCGUAUCGGAUCACUUAUUGUAAGAAUAUCAAUAGUGAAAGUUAAAUACCCGUGUCGGGAAAGGAAGUCGAUGAUGACAACUGACAAGAGAGAAAUUUGGCUUGAAAAAUGUAUGAUGUUUGCAACAUGCGUCAUGAAAACUUAAGUGUCAUGAAAACUUAAGUGUAAAAUGCGACCGGAAAAACACUAAACAGGAUAGCUAUGCUCUCUUAGUGUAAACCUUAACAACAAAGACCAUACCGUAUCUGUCACAGUGAUAUGCGACCAUAAGCCCAACUCCAAGGAACACCUUUCCAAGAGCUUUGAAGGCUACAGAUCAAAAGUUACAUGCAGUGAUGACAUAAUCAUGAAAAAAUACAAUCAUAAAUUAAAGGAAAACAUACUGACUUCUAGUUCUGGCAAUUCACUAUCGGGCCAUAUAUUUGAACCACAGUAUGAUGGAUACCUACAAUACAUAUCAUAUCACAAAUAAAAUCUGAGCAGACACAAAGUAUUAUGUUCUGUUUACGCAAAAUCUGUAAGUUCUCAAAUAGGAUAAAUAAAGAUAAACAUAUCCCAGCAUAAAGACGAUUUGUCCUGGUUAAUUCUAGGAAACCUUUAUCAAAUGUAUGAUAGUUAUUCAUAACUAACACAAACAACUGUUUGGCCAGACAUUACUGGUAUGAGCCAUAUACUGUGUGACCUCAGACAAAAUAGAUCCCACAUGUACUCAGAUUAUGAUUGAUGUCCCUAUUGACUUUUACCUUUGAAUUAGAGAUUCAUCUGUUGUAGGGCUAUCCAAUAUUGGAUUUGCAUAAAACGAGCCUUUUAACGUAUCUGCAAAACCAGAACACAAACGGAAAAUGAAUGAUCCUAAGUUCUUAGAGUUUCCAAAGAAACAAAAUUUAAAACAAAGAACAUAAAGUGAUACCAGGCUUUCCAGAUUCCAGCUUCUCUUUUUCCAUGACUCCAUCCAAAAUUGUACCUAAACAUGGAUGGCAGGUAAAAAGAAGAUAAGCAAUAAAACUUUGUAAAGAUUCCCAAGAAAAGCAAUAAAACUACGUAAAUUAUUAGUUAAUAAUGUCAAGACCAUAGUCUCUGAAAAUCCAAGAGUUGAGAUGCGGCAGGGAUUUUUGGAAUUUUUCUCUAUUGUAAGUAAAACAUAGAUUGAUGUUUGUGUUUACACGAAAAUUAUGCCAACGGCUUAAGAGAAAUCAAAGUAUAACAAUGGGACUAAAAUGACUUACCUACUAUGAGGAUCUUCAAGUUCCUUCUUCACCUCUUCGGGCAGAUUGGCUAAUCUAAUAAACAAAAAGAAAACUCCCAUGAGCAGUGCUAUAACAAACUAUCUUCCUAAAUUCAUUAUGAAUUGCAGUUAAAACUUAAAAUGAACAUGAAAAUCCUACGUAGAAGGGAUAUACCUAGGUGACAAGCCUAGAAGAUUCCCGCGCAAGGAAGAAUAUCCCGGAACCUGCAAUUGAAAACUCAAAGAAACAAUUACAAAGAUGCUAGAAAGAAAAUACGUAUCAGUUUACAACAAAACGCUAGCUCUCACAAGAAUCGAUUAGGUAUGAAGCAUCAAAACAACAGCAUGAGACAUCAUAAUUUAUGAGCUAUGAAUGGAAUAAUGGAGCAAAAUAUCGUUGCCCAAACAGCACAAUCUACAAUCUACAUGACGGAGAAAGUACCCCGACAUUACAUAUGCAAGUUCAUGUGGUUUAUGUGGUUUAUCUUUUUAACCGAUUCGUUAACAAAUUCUUUCUGCACAUAUAGUUUUAACUUACCAAAACUGGUAAUGGAAGAGAUAAUCAGUAAUUAACAACGGUAAUCGCAUAACGAAAUCAUACUUGAGUGAUUGAUAGGAUUCCCAACCCAUUUGGUCCAAAUCCUUCUUCAAUCUUCACUGACAAAUCUUUGUCCCUGUCCUGUAUCAAUCCAAAAUCAAAAAACGAUAAUUAGAAAAAUCGAAUUCUCGACAUGAUCGACGAGUUAAAACAUAGCAAUUAAACAAAACUAUGAAUAAAACAAUUAGAUUCUGUUUGGUUGCUGAGAAUGAAGAGAAUAACAACCACAAAGUCAACUGAAAUAAAAUUUUGCUCUAACUUCAACGAAUUCUCUUGAGUUUCUGAGCACCCAAACAGAAAAAAAAAAAUUAUAGGCAAUCAAACCAAACUCUCAUGCUCAAUUUUCUCGGCAACCACAAAAAGAACUUAGAGGAGGGGGAGAGAGAGAGUUACUUGGAGCUCGGAGUAGGAUAUGGUGACUGGUGUGACGGUGGGGACGACGGGGUCGGAGGACGGAGGCAUAGUUCGACAAUAAAUUUGGCGGGAAAGACGGCGGUUGGAGUGUGACGAUGGGGAAGAAUCCGUGGGAACGAAGAGGAAUUUUGGUGCGGAAGGAGGGUCUUUAUAUCGGAGGGAGGGAGGGAGGGAGAGAGGUUGAGAGCGAAAGGCGUGAUUGUCAAUUUCAAAUUUUUUUUUUUUAGGAAUAAAGAAAGAAAGAGAGGUUGAGUAUCAAUUCCCUUUCCCUCCAAACCAAAGAAUACAUUCACGAUCAUGAUGUGUGUGGCAAAAAUUAAAGGUGGAGACAAAUAAAUUAAAGAGAAUUUUCACGAAAAGUUCAUGGUACGAUUUAUUUUAAUGAAAAAUUAUAUUUUUAUACUAAAAAGUCAAUUUUGAUACUAUUUACUUUACAUUUUAUUUUUGUCAUUAUCGUUAAAACUAAAAACAAUUGAAGCAUUUUUUUACUAUUUUUCCUUAUAUUAAAUAGGUAUAAGUAUUAGUUAAAUUUAAAAUUAAUUGUGUACUAUUAAAAAUUUGUUUGAAAAUGUUUUUAAAAUGACUGAAAGCAUUUUUGAUUAAAAUGUUUUUUAAAUCAAUCCUUAGUAAAACCAAGUGGAUUCUAAAAAGUCAUUUGGAUUACUUUCUACAAAAACCACAUAUCUUGAGCACUUGAAGCACUUUUGGAAUCCAAAAUUAAUUUAACAAAGGUGUGUCUAGUCUUUUUAAUUUUUGAACAAACAAUAUUAUUUAUUUUAAGGGAGGAGAUGAGCUUAACCUCACAAUGGACUAUCAUAUUAAUAAUGUUGUUCAAAUCCACCUUUAUCCAAAAUCAAAUCUAAAACAUCUUACUCACAACUGAAGAGGAAUACCUUUACAUCGUAAUACUAAGCGACAUGUUUUUUUAUUUUUAAGAGACGUGUUUAUUCAUUUUUAAAAGACUUAAAAACCAGCACUAAUUUGUAUUAAAUUCUAAAACCUUUGAAUUGGGAUGUAAUAUGCAUUGGGUCUUUAAUAAUAUUUAAGUUGUUUUCGGCAAAAAAUAAGGGAUUCAAUUGGGAAAAAUAACAAAAUAUGAAAUAAGGAUAUUCUAAUUAAGGUUUUUAUUAAUUAUUUAAGGCGGAUGGUUCAUGUGAAGAUUAUGAAACGCUUUAAUUCUCUAAUGUGCGAUUCCAUUUCGAUCCAAAGUUAAACAGUGACAAAUACAAUUAAGGUUGUUAAUUUUUUUUGGUAAAAACAAUUAAGGUUGUUAUUAAUAUCAAUUCAUGUAUAUUUCCGCAUGUGCCACAUUAUUAAGUUAGGCAGUGAAAAAUAUAUAUCGGAUGUUAUGAGAACAUGUGUGGCUGUCAAGCCCUACACGUGAAUAACAUGCUCUCUACUGCUUUAUUACACCGUGAAGAUUUUAUCCAAAAUUAAUUGACGAUGAGCGAAUAAACUGAAAGAUUAUGCGCAACUUUGAUUAUGCAACGAGUGAAGAGGCAAUUUACACCAACCUCCAGUCAAGAAUUUGGGCUCACAAUCACUAGCCAAUAUGCUUUUUUCUCACAUUUACCCUGACACGGCAAGUUCAUAGUUCAAUAUUCUGGUUCUGGUGUCCUAUGACCCUGACACGGCAAGUUCCACUUUUUGUUCAUUUUCUUGACGAAACCAUCACAUUUACCCUUACGGCACGGCACGGUUCCGGGCAUGGAGUAUGGAUUGGGUUCCGUUGCAGUCCCGACACUACAUAGCACUGUAGAGAAGGAAAUACAAAGACAACUUUGGAUUUCUUACAACGUAUUGAGUCUCUCGUCAUGGCUCUUGCUGUGUUGUUCUUAUUUCACGUCCUGUUUCUCGAGUUUGGUGUUUCCGGUUGCAAAUUUUGGUUCGGCAGUGUAGUGCUCAGGAGAGGGGACUGUCUCACGUUGUUCCAAGCAGACAGAGGCGGUUGACAACGAUUGCGACAAUGUGUUUUUCUACUGGGAGAACAUACAGCAGUCAACAGUUAUCUUUUCACAACCGUCUUCAGUAUUUGGAGGCACCUCAAGAAAUUAUCAAGGACAAACGAAUGUAGAAAAGAAGAAAUAUCAAAGUUAGUUGACAAAAGGGGACGAAAAAUUGUGAGAUACAGAUAAGAAGAUAAGACGAUACUCGAUGCAAAUUUUAACGAGCGAUACAGAGAAGAAACAGCUGCAUUUGGAGACAGCUGCUUUAGUUGCCUUGUUUGUAACAUUAGCUUUCUGCAAUUCCGGGGAAGAAACAGGAGUAAAAAAAACAGAGUCAGGCAGUACCAAAAAAGAAAAAUAUACAAUUAGGAACAAUCGUCACUUCUCAAACUUUGUAGUAGAUCCAGGUUUCCGAAGGACUCGGGGCUAAUGUACCUGCAUUAACAAGAAACAAAGAUCAGAUUUGUGGAAGGGAGUCGCAUAGUAGUUAAAAUACUUGGCCGUGCAUGAAUGGUUUGAGAUACCAUCAUAGAGGCAUCCUCCAGGUGUGAGUUUCUCUCGUAUCUGAUCACUUAUUGUAAGAAUAUCAGUAGUGAAAGUGAAAUACCCGUGUCGGGAAAGGAAGUCAAUGAUGACAAAAGAGCAAUUUGGUUUGAAAUAUUGUGUCCUCGGUAUGAUGCUUGCAACAUGCAUCACCGAAUCCACUUGAAGCUCUCCACCUCUCCAUCUGUUAAAUGUUUCAUAAGCAGCAUUGUUAAAGUUCUCUUUAUUUGGGGGGAUAUUGCAGAUGGUUUUGAAUGAAGAAAGGCAAAAAUUCAUGCUGAAGGCAUAGUUUACAACUAGUAUUUGUAAAAGCUAAGCUCUAAAGUGAGCCUUGAUUCUUUGGCACAAAUAGCUAAAGUUUUGAGAUGGGACAAAAUGGGUCCACAUACAGCGCAUCCGAUGGUGUUGAAAUCCUUUUCCCAGUAAGUCAAAGAUAAGCACCAAGAAAGACAUGACAGUGUUAAACUUAAAACAAAUACAGAACUAAGAAUUGAUGCAUGAAUCAAACAGAGAAAUGGUACAGGCCAUUCUCUUUAUAUUCUUAUAAUCUAAACAUUUCUCCUUAUCAACACUGGAAAAACAGCUUGCUUCAGUCAUAGGAAAUAAAUUGCGCCUAGAGUAUAGAAAAGACAUACCUACAGAUCCUCCUCCUGGACUCUUUGCCGCUAUACGUGAAAACCCAACAUCUGGGAACAACCAAAUUACAUUCUCUGGCAUGGCAAGAACAGUCCUCUGAAAUGUAUCCAUACAAAGUUAAGACACAAAAAACUCAAAAAGGCAAUGUAAUUCACAACAUUGACAAUCUCUGUCUGACAAGGCAAUAAUACCUCUGUAAUGAUCCGGUAGCGACCGUGACCUGAUAGGCCAACACCAAAGCCCAUUGUUAUGCCAUCCAUGAAGAUAGGGCUUCUUGUACUCAGAGAUUUUGCAUAUUAGAGAAUACUCAGCAGUGAAUACCUGAAAAACAUGCAGCACAAGUAUCAUACCGGUAGCCUCUCAAUCUUAAGAAAUGGUAGCUUAGAAAAGAUAUGAAUCCUAUCCAACCACUACAAAUCAUAUUACCCAAGUUCAAGCAAAAUCACGACUAAACAAAUGAUCAGAUGUUGUAGGUUGCCCGAGAAUGUCAAACAUGAAAUUACAAGAAAAAAAACAAUCGUAUGUAUUGAACAUUAAUAAAUACUUGCUGAAAGCACAAUCUUAGCUGCCAUUUAUGACAUUUAUACGAGAUUGAAUAGCCAAAGCAAUUAAAGAAGUAGCAGAACUCAUAUAAGUGAUUUUCACUUUGAACUUUUAGGCUUAUCAGCAAAUACAUCAUUACGAUUCUAACGCAUGAAUUUUGUUAAAAGGGGCUUGCUUGCUUGUAUUAAGGCUUAAUCAUCAAUGAUUUUGCAAGGGUCAAUCGUCUUGAUAGUUGUAAUCUAUGCACUAUGAAAAUUACCAAAAUUACAUCUUAUAUGGUAGAGAAGGAAGUCAUCUUAUAUUAUCUGGAUUUUAGAAAACGGUGUAAGGUUAUAAGUCUGUUAUUCUAUAUAGUUUAAAGGACACAAUUAGACAACAAUCAUAUUUGGUGGUUGGUUUUUGGCCGUGAUCUGCUUCACAUCACCGCCCGCAGGUAAUCUAAAUCUGGGUUAUUACUUAUCAAUGAAUCAAAGUGCCAACUUAUCGGACACCAUCUAUCUCUAUAUGGCAAAAAAAAUAACACAAAAAGGAACAAUGAAGUGAAACAAUAAACAACAUGACAUGAAACAGCACGAACAUCAAAGACCAACAAUCUAUCACAUAAGCACCUAAACAAGAAACAACUUUAGUUCAAAGCAAAGCGUAAUGUAGAAACCUUCGGCACAAGAGGCGUGUUUUUGUCCUUUUGAAUUUCGGCAACAACAACUUUAAUAUCCUUACCUGCACUUACCAUGAUUGCUCACUCUCAAAACCUUACCUAAGAGACCCCAAAACCAAAAUAACUGCCAAAAGAGCUGAACAUACAUAUCUAGAAAAAACUUAUUCAACUACAUGCUAAAAUGGAAGUGUAAAAUUGCCAGGAAAGAUAAGAAACUAUUCAAAUACGAGUUCUGGGCGUUACCGCCACAAAAGGCACGAGCCGAGCGGCUAUCAACAAGAACACACUUCACAUUUGGGUGAGAUUCCCAUUCAUCCAGAUAGCUCUUGUAUUUCACAUCCAAAUCUGCAUUUUCCAACAAUUCCCACUUAAACAGAAACACAAAAUUCUUCCAAAAAAAGCUAACUUCUUCGAAAUUUGAAUCCAACGUUUCGUCUUAUAACAAAUGCAAUAACAUAGAUUUGUAAUCAAUACGAUGCCAUAAAGUUCAAGCUCAAAAAUUCAAAUCAUCUCCAAAUCAAAUGCAAUUACAGAUAUAUACAUAUAUACAUAUACGUUUGUGUGUUUAUCUACAUACCUAGGUUUAUGGCGUUGAGAGCUCGGGGGGUGACCGAGGGUGAUGACGGCGACGCCAAAGGUGCGGAGAAGGCGAGGGGAUUUGGAGGGUUUUGUAAAGAGGGGAUUUGCUCAGAAUUUGGGUCGCUCGUCCCUCUUAUGGGAGUGACUCAAAAAUCGAAAAAGUUGAAAUUUAUUGAUUGUGAUCUGACUCAAACAUGUGAUGAUGACGAUGCAUCACCACCUUGGUUGUGCCUCUGGAUCAAAAACCUACCAUCACCAUCAAAAUCGUGCACAUUUUCCUUCAUAGGCUUGUCCCAUACUAGAUUAACCCCUGUUCCCUUAAUUGUCACAUUAUCAGAUGUACUGUUUCAAAAGUUAUAUCAACUUUAUCCCCGCUUUGCAAAUUGAGCUUAUCGUUCGAUAUUUGUCCCUGCCAAAGAAAACAUUUUCCAGAUACAUUGUGCAUUUUUAUAACCCAAUCUUCCUUGCCUAUGCAGGUCUGCAACUCAGUACGCUUGGUAUUAUUUAUAUCAAUACUGGCACGAGGAUGACCAUCUUUGCAUGUGAAAUAAGGUUUGCUAUGAAUUGAAUAUUUAGGAAUAAAGCAGUAAAAGCACAACAGAGUCAACCCUUCCAAAUUACGACCAUCACUCGGGAGAAUAUCAAAACUGACUUUAUUACCAUCGUUGACAAACUCGAACCAAUCAGGAACAUAAUUCCCUUUGAAAAAAAUGCCACCAUAUCCGCAAGAAGUCCAUCCCUAUAUAUACAGUGCGAGUGUCAUAUAUAUAUAUACACACACAAACACAAUGUACAUGUGUGUGUGUGCAUGUGCGCAAUAGGAAGACAAUUAAAGAGAGAGAUACCUUUAGGACUUUCCUCAUAAAAUCAGCGGUGAGUUCGGCGCAAUCCGUCAUAUCAAUCCAUGUCAUGGAGUUUAAUGACUUAUCCAAGUCUGGAAUCUCAGUGAGUGCGCGUGAAUCACGUACAUUCAGUUCCCUCAUAUUGGACAUUUUCGAAAAAAUUGGGCAUUGUUAACAAACGAUGGCAACAAGACGCAUACAGAAAUUUCAAAUUUGUGUUGGUAAACCAUAGAUUGUAUGAAGGUUAAGGCAGUAAUCUAACCGCAAACUUUCAAGCUUUGAAAGAUCACUGAGGCUGGGUAGGGUAUGAAAAUCAUUAGAUGAGAGAUCUAAAUCUUGUAAAGAAAUUAGACUCCCAAAACCCUUUGAUAAUGGAUCAUCGCUUAACCUCUGGAAUAAGAGAUCUAAAUUUCUUAAAGAGUCAAAGCCCUGUAACAAAUCGCGAAUUUGCAAUGCAAAUUUGGCUCUUCUGGAAGGAAGACCCCCAAUUAGAGAUAAAUGAGUGAGAUUCUUCAAUCUUACUGUGGAACGCGGUACUUGUAUUAUGGCUGUCUCAGAUGCUUUAAGUACUCUCAAUGAUAUUAUAUUCCCUAAAUCCUCGGACAGUUCACUGAAUUGCCCACAAAAAUCAAGAACAAGAGUCUGAACGGAUUUGGACCUGUAGAAAUCCCCAGGAAGAGAAAUAAGAUUCUUGCAGCCUGUGAGGUUCACCAAAGAAAGUUUUUUAAGAUGACCAAUGGAGGGGUGAAUCUCGGACAAACUCUCACACCAUUCCAAUAUCAACUCUUCAAGACUUGGGAGAUUUGAUAAGUCUGGUGAUUUUUUUAAGUCAAGGCAAACACUGAGAUUAAGGAUUUUCAAGUUUUCAAGCAACUGUUGCACAAAAUCCAAGAAAAAUUAAAAUUAAUAUCCAAAAGGAAUAUCUCAUAAAAUAAAUAAAUAAAUAUAGAGAGAAGGAAAUAUAAAAACAAAUAGAAACAUAACAUCAUCAUGUGUAAUCGAUAGUACCUUGGAGCCCUCCCAAACUUGUACCAGUCUGCUGUGCGUUAUCUCUAAAAUAACUAGUGCUCUUGGUUGAUCAAAGAAGUCAUCUGGUAUGGACUUUAAAGGGCAUCCUUCCCAACACAACCAUAUUAACUCUUUGGGGAGAUGUUUGUAUUCUCCAUUGAGCUGCACGUUCUUGAGCAUGAGCAGUCUCAGUUUCUUCAUAUUAGCAAAUGCUUCUGUACUGAUACAACUAGACUUUAAAGGGAAUUCUCCAUGGAGCUGCACUUUAAUGCGCUGGAACAGUAUCAGUUGCCACGUAUCGGCAAAUGCUUCUGUACUGAUACUUGGAGACAGAAGAUCAGGGAAACCUACAACAAGUCCUUCAACUUCUUUGGUUCCCUGUUAACAACACAUUAUACUGGGUAAGAAAAGGAUUAUGUGCAUCUAUUUUACGUGAUUUUGCUAAUUGAGCUUCUUAAUGCAAAUACAUAUAUUUACACAUGAAUGUUUUUAAUGUAUAAUAGGCAUACGUGGGUUACAUAUAUGUUUUUCUUGUACGAUGCAUUAAUACAAUUUUUUUUUGGGAAUCUACUUACAGAUUUAUUUGUUAGUACAUCAUAGACAUCUCCAGGGAUCCACAACCUGCUCCAUUCUCCAGGGGGACGACGGGAAUUUCCAGAUAUGAUUACUUUGGCCAUUUCUCGAAGCAAAUCAUGCAUAUUCAACUUGUUGUCUUCAACAGUUAUAAGGCAUCGUUCACGGAGAUCACAAAUUCCUGCUGUUGCAUAAAAUUUACACCCAUCUAAUAUUUUUGCGACAUGGUCCUUAUCCCAUCCAAUAAAGAAACAAGAUAUGUCAAGGAAUAUAUCCUUCUGUGUAGGAUCUAGCCUUUCAAAGCUUACUCUUAGCGCUUUCAUUAUUCCCUCAUCAGGAAUUUUUUUCAAUUUCUCCAACUGACUUUUCCACUCUGUUGGGGUUCUUUCAAUCAUAGAAGAACCUAAAACUUCAAGGGCUAGUGGCAAACCACCACAGUAAGAAACAACCUCUUUUGAGAGUUCAAGAUAUCCUUCAUUAGGCCAACUAUUUCCAAAGGCAUGCCAACUAAAGAGCUUCAGAGCUUCUUCUUCAAUCAUUUCCUUAAGCGGAUAUGUCUUGUCCACUGUCAUGUUCACUUGCUUUAGUAAACGUUCAUCUCGUGUCGUUAUGAUAAUUCUACUUCCUGGGCCAAACCAAUCACGAUUUCCAGCUAUUGCAUUUAGUUGUUCCACUUUGUCUACAUUGUCAAUAAUGACAAGUACGCUUCUACGUUGGAGAUGAUUUUUUAUCAGACUCAUACCUCGAUCAACACUGGUUAUCUUAGACUCAGUCUGUUUCAAGAUGUCAGAAACAAGUUUUCCUUGCAAAUCAACCAGAUCAUAUUCACUAACGUUGGCAAGGAAACUUUUGAAUUGGAACUUAUGAUGAAUUUGGUUAUAAAUGGCUUUGGCAGCUGUUGUUUUACCCAAUCCACCCAUCCCCCAAAUUCCAACCAUGACAACGUCAUUUGAUCCACCACUUGAAAGAUGAUUGAUAAUAUCUUGAAUGCGAGAAUUGAUUCCAACCGGGUGCUUGGCCACAUUUAAUUCGUUUGCGCUUGGAAGCCAUUCCGGAAUGAUCUUGCCAACAAUUUCUCUAAUAAGCUUUGCUUCGGGCCUGAAAAUUGAAUUCGUAAGCAUUAGCAGGACUCAAUGAACAGUAGGAGCUAUCAGUACAUAGACAAUUUUCUUUCCUUCAUAUAUAUUCUAACUAGCUACUAGCUGGUAUGUGAUUUUUUGACCAACUUGAUAAAAGAAAGAAGUUCAUUCAUUAAUUAAACUCCAAUUACGGUUUAGGUUUUAUAUGAGUGGUUAAGGUGUAUUAAUUAAGCAUGUUAAUUAAUGUUUAAUUAGCUUCUGUAAAAUGUUAAUUAUAUGAGAGACUAAGUCAUUCACUAAAAUGUUUCAAAUCUUGAAAAACAGGUGAAUGAUUACGCAUUGUCAGUGAUUUGGAGAUGUUGGCCAGACAAAUUUGCUGCUUCUGUAAGAGCCUUUCUCCAUUGCUUUACCCUUUCUUGUUUAGUUUCACGUUCCUUGUCAUCUUUUUCUUCACGGAUGCCCUCUUCGUGCUUCUGAAAUGCUUGAGCUAAAUCUCCGUUCUGCUUCCUAACAUGUGUAGGAUCAACAUGAUAGAAUAUUGGCAAAACACGUCGCCCCAGUUUGUAUCUGCACUCCAUGAUCUUCACCAGCUCAUCAAGACACCAACGAGAGUCCGCAUAACUCUUUGAGAAGACAAUGAUAGAGAUCCUCGCCUCUUCGAUUGCCCGGAACAGUUCCUCUUUUAUUUCUUCCCCUCUUUCUAGAUUGUCCUCAUCAAUAUAAGCCUGGUAUCCCCUGUCUGUUAAUGCCGCGUGGAGGUGGCCCGUGAAACCAUUGCGUGUGUCUACACCACUGAAGCUCAAGAACACGUCGUAAUUCCAAAGUGUUGACUUGGAGGAGGAUGAAGAGGAGGCUUCGUGGGUUGUCAUGGCGGUAUCCACCGUUAUGGCACUGCGGUGGUUUAGAUAACGACUAAAAAAUGGCAGUAGUUGUGUUCAUGCUGUCGAACAGAUGAUCCUGAAAUACCUAAACCCAAGUCAAGCUCCUUCAGUCAACAAGAACAAAGUUUAUAAUAUAAUAAUGUUGGUGUAUGGACUUGAGAAACGACAUAAUGUUGGCCAGAAGGUGCAAAGAAAGAGAGGAAAAGAGGAAAGAAAGGAACGAAAGGACAAAGACUAUCCAAAAGAUUAUUGGCUGUGAUUACAGCUAUUCAUAGGAGAAACAACCUGCCCGUCUUCAUAUAUAAUACAUUUCAACAGACAUAUGUUAAUAGGAGAAACAACUUUAGUUUGUACUAGAAAUUUUUACCCGGGCGUUGCUACAGGAUUUGAAAUUGUAUGAAAGAUUAUCUUUGAAAUAUAUAAUAGAUUGUGUGAUUGAAGAUUAAUACUAUUUACAUUGAAAACGUUGGAAAAAGUUUUACAUACAAAAGAUUUUACGAUACAAUCCAUAUAGUCUCCUAUAAAGUUCUGAAGUCGUGGAAGCAUAAAGGACAAAUAACAAAUGAGUUUUGAGAAAUUAUUCCACAAAUGCCAUUCUGCAUAAUGUAUUAAAGAAGAUUGGUAUAAGAUUAGCAAUCAUGAGUAGUGUAACAACAUCAACAAAAUAACCAUAAACCAUAGUUGAACAUAAUUCAAAUUUUGUUUGCAAAAACAAAAGAAAAAGAAAACAGACUUACAAUAAUUCAGUCUUCAAUCCUGAAGUCCUACUCAAAGAGCCAAACUUGAAUGCAAGCUUUCUGAAAUUUUCCAAGCAACACAAAAAAAAAGGUAACAUCCUAGUCAGAAAUGAACCGAGGUGCGAGCUUUCUAAGAAACCCAGAUGACAAAAUCAACAAAAUAGAAAGGAAAAAUGACUUGCACUUUUUAAGGCAUGUCCAAUCUUGAUCUAAAAUUGGUGGUGGGUCGAUUGUUGGUCACCAAAUCUAAAUAAAGAAUUCAUCAGAACCUAGAAAUUUAAACAAAGAAUUUUCCAAAAUCAACAUUUACUAAAAACCAGUUACUUGGUUAUCAAGCAUGAUGGCUUGCCAAAGACUGAAUUAAGGAAUGCACAACUUUACUUUUAUGAUUAUUUUCAACGACAGCUAAAAGGUCAGAUCCAAAUGAAAAUAAAAGUUAGGACUUCACAAAACCAAUUAAAAAUCCAAUUCCAAAGUUACAAACACCCACCAAAUGAUUCCAGAUAAAGUUUUAUACUCAAGGUCAGACCCAAAUGAAAUUAAAAGUUAGGACUUCGCAAAACCAAUUGAAAAUCUGAUUCCAAAGUUCCAAACACCCACCAAAUGAUUCCGGAUGAAGUUUAAACUAAAAAACCCAAUAGAAACAAAAGCAUUGGUGUGAAUUAACUGUAUCUAAUUGAAGAAACUAAAACAAAAGUAAAGCAAAGUAUAUACCUCAAAAUGUCAAGCAACUAAGUUCUUCCUCCGACGACCCAAAACUCUGAAAAUUCCACACAAAAAAAAGGUAAAUCCAUUAGCAAUUCAUAGCCUUCAAAAUUAGCAAAAACUUGGGCAACAAUAAAGAUGCAUUGAUAAAUAUCACUCUUUCUCCUUAUGUAUUUGAAAAGAUAUUUUAUAAGCAGUUUAUGUAGUCAUUCUAAUCAUGUUGCAUAUAAAUUCCUUUUCUACGGAGUUCAAAAAUAUAUGGCAGUUUACGGCAUCUGUUGAAUAACAUGGUUGAAAGAUUUAAAAUUGAUACAUUCAAUUUUUAUGUGUAAAACUAUAACAUAUAGCUAAAGCUAUUGGGUCUAUACAUCCAUAUCAAUCAUGUCGUAAUUGUAUGCUUAUCAAUGUAAAUAGAUGAUUUCAGUCAUGUGAUAACAUGUUUCUUGAUAGUAUAUGCUGAAGUUUGGUCUCAGUUGGAUAAAAAUCAACCAAAAUCUUAGCAAUAGACUCUUUUAACUUUUUUUUUUUUUUGGCGAACAAAGGUGGGGGGGAUGCAACACGAGGACUUCCCAGGAGGUCACCCAUCCUAGUACUACUCUCGCCCAAACUCGCUUAACUUCGGAGUUCUGAUGGGAUCCGGUGCAUGUGAGUUGGUAUGAUCGCAUCCAAAAAAUGAGCACCACAAUACUACACUUAUAAGUUUUAUGCACAAAAUACACAGCACUGACUGGCAAAACAAUAAAACACUCAAAACCCAAAAACAGAAACACAAUUAGGACUCAAAACUCCUCAAAAACAUGAGAGAGAGAGAGAGAGAGAGAGAGUGUGUGUGUGUGAGAGAGAGGAGAGAGAAUAAAAAACAAUAUUAUUUUUCACACAAACUCAAAAUUGCUUAUAAAAUUACAAAUCAAAACAAAUGAAGGCAAAUCCAAAAUUGCCCUAAAUUAAAUCUGAUUAGUUAAAUGUUUGUUGCCCUACAAAUGUCAUUACACACGACAAAACUUGCUUUGAAGUUGAUAUUUUGGUCAAUCCAGGGGAAAAGGAGAGAUUGGUUUUGGAGCAGUUGUCAUGGAGAAUACCAUCUCCCUGUUGAAUGAUCUAAAAAAGGACUUACAGCUUCUGUGGCCAUAAUAAUUUAGGAGGCCCAUCUCUACAGAUUUUCUCAAUAACUUUCCUUUUCGUAGCUGGUAAGAUUGCAACUCCAAGAAUUGCUCUGAAGAGAUAUAUACAAAAAAAAAUCAAACUAAAACUAAGCUAUUGGAAGAAAUUUAGAAAACACAAACACCACUACAACUCAGAGCUAAAGUCAACAGAAAGCAAAUAGUAGAAGUUGAAAAAAUAUAAGGUCGUGAAUUGAGAACUUCAUCAAACUAACAGCAAUAAAAUGUCAUAUAAUCUGUCAAAAACCAAAAAAGAGAGAGAGGUAAUUUCAAGACCUUGUAACGCUGAGGCCUCGUACAGUUGUAGUAAAAAUAUAUGGUUGAUGCACCUGUUGCUCAAUCAAAUCCUUUCUGGCUGAAAAAAUAAAAAUCUAUAAAGACAUUCACGUCCAAUUUAUGAGAAAUCAUGGGAAAGCAAAUGCACUGAUAACAGAAUCAUGAAUAUGAAGAACUUGCCAAAAAGAAAAAGAAACUUUUUAUAGUGUGCCAAAGAACAUCCUCCUACUCCUAGCAAUUUUUUUUAUGGCAUUAUCCACUUCUCAAUUCAUAAUUCAACCAGUAACUCAAACUCUAUAGUGUAUAAAAAUGUGAUAUCUUAGUUGAUCGCGAUGAUAAUUAAGCAGAUUAAAUGACGACCCAUAAAGCAUACAAAAAUUAAGAAAAGAAAAGGUUCGAAACUGCCAUAAGAAAACGCAGAAUAUAUAAACGGGAAAUCAAAAGAAGAGAACCAAACAAAAUUAUUAGGUCUGGGAUCAUCAAAGUCAAACACAAACAAUCCAAAAAUUUGUGGAAAAUACCAAUAAAUGCUCAACUAAAAACGAAAGAAAACGUAGAAUAAGUUUACCUGUUCUUCCCCUAAUUAAACUGAAAUACAAUUCACCACUAAUAUUCUCGUCAUCCUCUUCAGCCUGAAAAAUUUAGUAGAACAUAAUGAUAAGAAUCUAGCAGUAUUUCCAUUGUUUAAACCCCAAAUUCCAGAAAUCAUGAAAAAUGGAAACUUUAUAUGGAAACUGAAGCUUUACCUGCAGAUCAGCAGCAGCAAACGGAAUCCAACGGCAUGUACCUCAAAAAUGAGAGAGAGAGCUGAGAGAUGAGUGAGAGAAUCGAUAAACAAACCCCCCCCCCCCAAAAUCACGAAAGGAAAUUUGAACGGAAAACAAAUUUGAAAAUCCAAAAUCACAAAAACGAAAUUGAAACACCCACACUGAGAAAGCUGUAUAACUCACCAGGAAACGCUAGCCUUUCUGGGUAAAAAAAUUAUUCGGAUCGAAUUGAAGAACGGAGGAAAGUUCUACUGGUUCAGUGGUUAUUCCAGUGUGUCAAGACUUGGCUUGGUUUAUAUAAUUAAUCAAUAAUAUUCCAUACCAAGAGCUAGGUCCAUAUAUUAUACAAUGUUCUAAGGGUUUAACGGAUAGGCGAGGCCUAGUGUCUAAGCAAAUUUAAGUAAAUUUAUUAUAUAUUAUAUAAACUUAAAAUGAUAAAUAAUUGUAUUAGGAUAUAUAAAUUACAAAAUAAAAUAAUAUAUAUUAUAAAGUAUUAAAACAUAGGAGAAAAGACCCAAAUAUGAAUGGGAGAAAAGACCCAAAUAUGAAAAGACAACUAUAAACAAUUAUUCAAGAUGGACGGUAAAUGAUUCAGUCAUUUACAAUAUUCAAAACGUAGGAUCACAAUCUACUGGAUGAUUGUCUUAACUAUUAGGCCAUGCUCUAAAUAUAAUACAUCCAAAUGGGGGUGGACCGCAUAAUACACCCCAAUGGACCGUUUUAAGCUACUCCACUGCUAAAACUAUUGCAAAAUGCGCAUUAGGAUUAUACUUCUAUUAGCUGCGCCCUUCCUCACUAGGCAAAUGAACCAUAUAAUAGUUUCCAAAAAAAAAAAAAAAAAAAAGAACCUUAUAGUACACCAAGAUGGAUGUUAUACACGUUGGAGUUUGAGCAGAAUUCUUUUUGUUAUUUCAUUGUCUCACAUUGCUAGAAUUGAAAAGUUUAUAAUAUAACAAUGUUCACGUAUGAACUUGAGAAACGACAUACUACCGGUUGGGCGGGAAAGUGUGAAGUGAAAGAGAGGAAAGGAAGAAAGAAACGAACACGAAAGGACAAGGACUAUCCAAUAGAUUAUAAACAAUGAUUUAUUGGGGUGAUUACAGUUAUUCAAUUAUCAAUAAUGCAUUAUUUUAGUUUGGAAUUUGGAAGCAUUUGAGAAGUAACAUGACAACAACCACGUAAUAAACAAAAGUGAUUGGAAAAAAGACCGAAAUGUGAAAUAAUAAUUAAAAACAACUAUUCAAGAUUAGUGAUAAAUGAUUCAACCAUUUACAAGAUAUGAAUUUAGAACAACAAUCUAUUAGAUCGUUGUAUUAAUUAUUAAGUGGUGCUCUAAUAUAAUAGAUCCAAAUGGGGACGGACCGUAUAAUACACCCAAAUGAACAACAAUCUAUUAGUUUUUAGGCUCCACUGCUAAAAACUAAAGCAAAAUAGGCAUUAGGAUUAAACUUGUAUUAUCUAUCUUUCCUUACUAGUCAAAUGAACCAUACAAUACACCCAAAUGGAUGCCAUCAUGCCAUAUAUAAACAAUGUUUUGAAAUGACAAGGUAGCUAACGCCGUCAUUUUAUAUUUGUAAGCAACAACCCUAAAUCUUAUUGGAGCUAAUUAACUAAUGUAUUUAUUAGACAGUUGCAUUCCUUAGCAAGUGGUUAACUAUUUUUGUUUAGUUUAGUAGUCAGGUCGUAAUUAAUUAGUCAAAUGAACCAUAUAAUACACCCAAAUGGAUACCAUAUAUGCAUAUAUAAACAAUGUUUUCAAAGGAUGAAAUGACUUUCUUGCCGGUAUGGGGGAAGAGGAAAGAAACUAGUGUUGUGUUUGACUCAUAUAUUUGUGUGUAAUUAUGAGUCAUGUGUUGACAACAAUUGAAGACCAUGUGAAUGCUACAAGGAAAUGGCAGCAACCUUGACUUUGUGUGCAUGCUUUCGGAGUAGUGGCCAAAUGUGGCCAAAUCUACCUUCGGCUAAUAGUGGAAGAUAGUGGAAGACAAUGAUGAUGUUUGCUUGAGAUUCUUUUCUUUGGCCUUUUUCUGUUUCCCAUUUGAAUGCCACGUGAGUGGCUAUGGGGUUUGAUUAAAAGGCAAAGCAGGGAGCAUGAUACAUCAUGAUUGUGUUUGUGAAAAAAGGGAAAGUUGAUUCCUUUUUGCUUUUGCUAUUUAUUUGCUAAGAACCGAAGAGAGCUAGAGUAAAGUGAGAAGCAUACAAGGGGAAGAGCAUUCGGCUCUCCCAUGGGAAAGGUUGAAUAUGAGUUGAGAGAAAAUCAAGAGAGCUAGAGUGAAAAGUAUUCUAGUGAAAGAACUCUUGGGGUAGAGUGAGGUUCUUGGGAAAAUUCUAUGAGUGGAUGUACAAGGGAUUUGGGAUUGGGUUAUGUCGAUUUAACUCAUGUGUACUUGUACUGUUAUUCUCAUAGUGAAGAGCAAUAUCUCUCCGGGGAUGUAGGCAGGUUUUUGCCGAACCUCGUAAAUUUCUCGGUGUCUUUAUUUUUUGUAUUUUAUUCUGUUCAACUGAGUGUGAUUAUGGUGAGGUUGUAAUUUGAAUAUCGAUUCCGCACUAACGAACGGGCCAAGGCACAACAACUAGCACAAAAUUGCAGACCCUAUCGAUCCAUUAUAAUAAAUUUCAAUGGUCCAAGUUGUAAGUUAAUUGUGCAAGAUAAAAACUUAUUUACAAUUAUCAACUUAACCACGUACCUAUGGAAGACAUCGUCUUGGAAAACUAGGAUUAAGAACUGAAGUUCUCCUGCAACUCUACACAACUGAAAGCAAGGCUUGCUCAAUGGGGCUUGAGUUUUCUAUAAACUUGCGUAUUUAGUGGAGAGAGCAGGGACCUCAUUUUUAUACAUGGAAUUCAAUAAGGAUCCCUCCCAUUAAGUGAUCCUUAUCAAAGAGUAGCAUUAUCACCGUAAAACACUUAUGCAUUAUAUCAGUUAAAAGAGUUUUAGUUUUAUUGGGAAUGUAUCUGAGUUGAAACUGUAAAGAUAUACAACUCCUGAUAAGUCUACCACAAGUGUCAAUCCUUAUCUCCUUAUCAUUCCACAUGUCUUUAAUCAAAUCACCAAGUGUUUGCUCUCAUAUAGAACUUACACAAGUCUCAUGUAAUUUCAUCUAACUUAUUUUCUACAACAGUAAAUAUAUUUUAAUGGCUCCGGUUUUCACAUGCCAGUCAGUCACACGCUCAACUCCUCAACGUUCGGGCUUAGUGGCUCGAAGAGAGCUUCCACUUCACUCUGAUUCACAUCCCUCUUACUUUGACGGGUUCCACUUCGGAUUCUGCAUUGACAAAAAACAGAAGCAAAAGAUAACGAUCUGUUCUGAUACAAGGAAAGUAAGAUGAUUGUAUAACUGUAGGUCUAGUAGAGGCUGUAAUGGUUUAUGUUGCAGCAACUCCGUCAGCAAGUGAUUUUAUAGUAAGGAAUCUUGAGCAUGAUUAACGAACCUGAUCCUUGUCCACCAAAACUGCCUGCACACCUUCAGCAAAAUCAUUCCGCAAAGACGAUCUUAUAGCACCGCGAUAUUCAGUUUUCAUCACACCAGUUAGCUGGUAUGGAUCAAGUAAAGCACAUGUUACUCGCUCAGAAAAAGUGAAAUACUACAACACAAAAUCUAUCAAAAGGAUGCAACCAUGCGAUGAAUGAAACGAAAAGGUAGAAAGUAAGACUCACUGGAUAAUUGAUUGUCAUUUUUCGCAAGCGCAGAUGCAACUUUGGAGAAGUAAUUUUGCGUCAAAUAAAGUGAAAGGGGAGCACCAUUUCCAAGACCUUGAAGAGGUUCUUUAGCCCACUCCACCGCUGCAACAGAAACAAUUUGAUAGAAAAUACUUGACAGCCACGUACAAGCCUCUCAAUAGAAGAGUAAGACAGAUUUCAUUUCAUCAUAGAUAAAUAAAUGGCAUUGACAAACUUACCAGUAGCAUCUGAACUCUGCUGCUGCUUUUUAAGUUCAUCAAUUGUCACAAGAACCGACUUAUUUGCACCAAAUGCUGAAGUUAUUUGAGGUAAAAGACUCCUGAGCUGCGCUUCGAAUCUGGGUUGCUGCUGAAUUUCGCCACAGUUGUAAUUGACAACAUUGACAAUUGCCUCUCUGACAAGGCAAUAGUACCUUCGUAAUGAUCCCGGUACCAACUGUGGCCCGAUAGGCCAAUACCGAAGGCCAUUGUUAUGCCCAUGAAGCUUAUACGUGGCCGUCAAGCCCGACAAGUGAAUAGCAUACUCUAGUGCUGUAGUACAUUGUGAGGAUUUUAUCCAAAAUUAAUUGACAAUGAGUGAAUAAGCUGAAAGAUUAUGUACUGACUUUAAUUAUGCAAAGACUGGAGACAAUUUUCACCAACCUCCAAUCAAGAAUUUGGACCUCACAAAUCACUACCCAAUAUGCUUUUCUCUCGUGCCCUUCAUUCAUGGAUCGAUAUUCUGGUGUCCUAGGACCCUGACAUGACAAGUUCCAACUUUUGUUCAAUUUCUCGACGGAACAAUCACAUUUACCCUUACGGAACGGCACGGCUCCGGGCAUAGAAUAUGGGUUGGGUUCCGUUACAGCUCCAUCACUAAUUAGCACUGUAGAGAAGGAAAUAAAAAGACAAGUUUGGAUUUCUUACAACGUUUGCGAUGAUGUGUUUUCUACGGGGAGAACAUACAGGAGUCAGCAGUUAUCUUUUCGCAACCGUCUUUGAUUAUGAAGGAAAGGAAAGAAAAGAAAAAAAACGAAUGUAGAAAGAAAACAUACAAGUUGGUUGACAAAAGGGGAAGAAAAAUUGAGAGAUACAGAGAAUAAGAAAGAAGAAAAUCGAUGCAAAUUUUAAUAUAAAUGUAGUAGAUCCAGGUAUCCAAAGGAUUCGGGGCUAAUGUACCUGCAUUGAUAAAAAACAAAUAUCAGAUUUUUGGAAACGCAUCACAUAGUAGUUAAAACACCCGGCCGUGAAUGAAAGGUCUGAGUUACCGCCAUUUUGGCUAAUACUAUUCUGUAUAUUUACGAAUGGUUUUAAGUUUGGGUUUAAUUGGAUAAUCGGAGAGUAGUGCAUCAAACUAUGGAUAUUCAGAAACCGAAAGCAUAAUUCAUAUUCCUCUAACAAGUCCACGCAAAUGACCACAAUCAGAAUGUUAGUUCAUAGCUGGCCAUAUAGAACGCAAUACAAAAGCACUAAAAGCAUCCAAGUGAAAGUGCUUUCUCCUCAUGUAGUUUCAUUUAACUUAGUUUCACAUGCCAGUCCGUCACACACUCAACUCCUCAACGUUCGGGCUCAAAGCAUUCUUUAUCCUUUCUGUACGAGAGACAAUAAAUUUAUAGUUCUUGUGAUGAAAUCAUGCAAAACAUUCAGAAAUCUUGAUUUAACCCUUUCUCAAGAUCAUAGGUUGUGUCAUCUCAACUUAUAUCUUAGGUCUUAUGAGUGCUCGUAAUACACUAAUAUGACACUUGUUUUCUGGCCAGGACAGAAACAAAAUCAUGCAGGAAAUUGUCACGACAACUUAAGUGUAAAAUGCGACCGGAAAAGCACUAAACAGGAUAGUUAUGCUCUCACAGUGUAAACCUUAACAACAAAGACUAUACCGUAUCUGUCACAGUGAUAUGCGACCAUAAGCCCAACUCCAAGGAUCAGCUUCCAAGAGCUUUGAAGGCUACAGAUCAAAAGUUACAUGCAGUGAUGACAUAAUCAUGAAAAAAUACAAUCAUAAAUUAAAGGAAAACAUACUGACUUCUAGUUCUGGCAAUUCACUAUUGGGCCAUAUAUUUGAACCACAGUAUGAUGGAUACCUACAAUACAGAUCACAAAUAAAAUCUGAGCAGACACAAAGUAUUAUGUUCUGUUUACGCAAAAUCUGUAAGUUCUCAAAUAGGAUAAAUAAAGAUAAACAUAUCCCAGCAUAAAGACGAUUUGUCCUGGUUAAUUCUAAGAAACCUUGUAUCAAAUGUAUGAUAGUUAUUCAUAACUAACACAAACAACUGUUUGGCCAAACAUUACUGGUAUGAGCCAUAUACUGUGUGACCUGAGACAAAACAGAUCCCACAUGUACUCGGAUUAUGAUUGAUGUCCCUAUUGACUUUUACCUUUGAAUUAGAGAUUCAUCUGUUGUAGGGCUAUCCAAUAUUGGAUUUGCAUAAAACGAGCCUUUUAACGUAUCUGCAAAACCAGAACACAAACGGAAAAUGAAUGAUCCUAAGUUCUUAGAGUUUCCAAAGAGACAAAAUUUAAAACAAAGAACAUAAAGUGAUACCCGGCUUUCCAAAUUCCAGCUUCUCUUUUCCAUGACUCCAUCCAAAAUUGUACCUAAACAUGGAUGGCAGGUAAAAAGAAGAUAAGCAAUAAAACUUUGUAAAGAUUCCCAAGAAAAGCAAUAAAACUACGUAAAUAUUAGUUAAUAAUGUCAAGACCAUAGUCUGUGACAAAUCCAAGAGUUGAGAUGAGACUAUCUUUCUGGCAGGAAUUUUUGGAAAUUUUCUCUAUUGUAAGGAGAUAGAUUGAUGUUUGUGUUUACACGAAAAUUAUGCCAACGGCUUAAGAGAAAUCAAAGUAUAACAAUGGGACUAAAAUGACUUACCUACUAUGAGGAUCUUCCAGUUCCUUCUUCACCUCUUCAGGCAGAUUGGCUAAUCUAAUAAACGAAAAGAAAACUCCCAUGAGCAGUGCUAUAACAAACUAUCUUCCUAAAUUCAUUAUGAGUUGCAGUUAAAACUUAAAAUGAACAUGAAAAUCCUAUGUAGAAGGGAUAUACCUAGGUUAAAAGCGUAGAAGAUUCCUGCGCAAGGAAGAAUAUCCCGGAACCUGCAAUUGGAAACUCAAUGAAACAAUUACAAAGAUGCUAGAAAGAAAAUACUUAUCAGUUUACAACAGAAUGCUAGCUCUCACAAGAAUCGAUUAGGUAUGAAGCAUCAAAACAAUAACAUGAGACAUCAUAAUUUAUGAGCUAUGAAUGGAAUAAUGGAGCAAAAUAUCGUAGCCCAAACAGCACAAUCUACGAUCUACAUGACGGAGAAAGUACCCCGGCAUUACAUAUGCAAGUUCAUGGGUUCACAUGUAAGCAUGUGGUUUAUCUUUUUAACCGAUUCGUUAACAAAUUCUUUCUGCACGUAUAGUUUCAACCCGAAACCUAAAAUUCCAUAGUCAAACAAAUAUGCAUAAUAGCAGAAUUAAGUAAAAAAACAACAUAUCACCAUACUGAUACUGAUGUGAUUCAGAAUUAAGCAUUUUAACUUACCAAAACUGGUAAUGGAAGAGAUAAUCAGUAAUUAACUAGGGUAAUCGCAUAACAAAAUCAUACUUGAGUGAUUGAUAGGAUUCCCAACCCAUUGGGUCCAAAUCCUUCUUCAAUCUUCACUGACAAGUCUUUGUCCUUGUCUUGUAUCAAUCAAUCCAAAAUAAAAAAACGAUAAUUAGAAAAAUCGAAUUCUCGACAUGAUUGACUGAGUUAAAACAUAGCAAUUAAACAAAACUAUGAAUAAAACAAUUAGAUUCUGUUUGGUUGCUGAGAAAAUGAAGAGAAUAACAACCAAAAAGUCAACUGAAAUAGAAUUUUGCUCUAAUUUCAACGAAUUCUCUUGAGUUUCUGAGCACCCAAACAGAAAAAAAAUUAAAGCCAAUCAAACCAAACUCUCAUGCUCAAUUUUCUCGCAACCACAAACAGAACUUAGAGGGAGAGACAGAGUUACUUGGAGCUCGGAGUAGGAUAUGGUGACUGGUGUGACGGUGGGGACGGCGAGGUCGGAGGACGGAGGCAUAGUUCGACAAGAAAUUUGGCGGGAAAGACGGCGGUUGGACUGUGACGGUGGGGAAGAAUCCGUGGGAACGAAGAGGAAUUUUGGUGCGGAAGGACGGCUUUUAUAUAGAAGGGAGGGAGAGAGGUUGAGAGCGAAAGGCGUGAUUGUCAAUUUCAAAUAUUUUUGAAGGAAUAAAGAAAGAAGGGAGGUUGAGCAUCAAUUCCCUUUCCCUCCGAACCAAAGAAUACACGCAACUUUAACGAAAAGUUUUCGGUACGGUUCAUUUUUACACUAAAAUGUCAAUCUUGAUACUAUUCACUUUACUCUUUAUUUUGUUCUUAUCGUUAAAACUCAAAGUUUUCAAGCCAUUUUCAUUAGUUUCCUUAAGAAUAUAUGCACGAUCACGAUGUGUGGCAAAACUUGAAGGUGGAGACGAAUAUAUUAAAUACAUAUAACUAUUACUGUAUUAGUUCAAUUUAAAAUUAAUUACAUACUUUAAGGAUUUGUUUGAAAGUAUUUUUCAAAUAAUUAAAAGUGUUUUUGAUUAACAUGUUUUUUAAAUCAAUCUUUAGUAUAACUAAGUGGAUCUUAAAAAAGAACUUGAGGUGCUUUCUACAAAAAAAUACAUGUCUGGAGCACUUGAAGUGUUUUUGGAACCCAAAAUCAAUUUAAUAAAAGUGGGUUUAAUCUUUUUUUUUUUUUUUUUUGAACAAACGAUAUCAUCUAUCUUUAAGGUGAGAAAAUAGGCUUAACCUCACAAUGGCCUAGCACAUAAAUAAUGUGAUUCAAAUUCGCUUUUGGUGAGAAUCGAAUCUAAGACUUCUCACUUACAAAUAAGGAGGAAUACCCUAAAUCAUAGUACUAAGUAAUGUGUUUAGUUAUUUUUAAAAGACUUCAAAACAAGCCCUAAUUUGUAUCAAAUUCAAAAAAUUUGAAUUGGGCGGAUGUAAUAUGUAUUGGGUAUUUCCUCAUUCAAUAAUAUUUACGUUGUUUUCGGCAAAAAAGAAAGAAUUCAAUUGGAAAAAAAUAAAAAAAUGGGAAAUAAGGAUAUUCUAGUUAAGGUUUUUAUUAAUUGUUUUAGGUGGAUGGUUCAUAUGAAGAUUAUGAAAACGCUUUAAUUCUCUAAUGUGAGGUUCCGUCUCGAUCCAAAGUUAAUCAGUGAAAAAUAUAAUUAAGAUUGUUAUUAAUUAUCAAUUCAUGUAUAUUUCCCCAUGUAUUACGUUACUAAGUUAGACAAUGAAAAAUACAUAUAAGGCGUUAUGAGAAUAUGCGUGGCUGUCAAGUCUGACACGCAAAUAGCAUGCUCAACUUGAAUUACUCUCUAAGGAUUUUAUCCAAAAUCGACGAUGAGUGAACAAGUUGAAAGAUUAUGCACGACUUUCAUUAUGUAACAAGUGAAGAGGCAAUUUUCGCCAACCCUGACACGACAAGUUCCACUUUUUGUACAUUUUCUUGACGAAACAAUCACAUUUACCCUUACGAUUCCGGGCAUAGAGUAUGUGUUGGGUUCCGUUACAGUUCCGACGCUACUUAGCACUGUAGAGAAGGAAAUAAAAAGACAACUUUGGAUUUCUUACAACGUAUUGAGUCUCUCUUCAUGGCUCUUGCUGUGUUGUUCUUAUCUCACGUCCUGUUUCUCGAGCUUGGUGUUUCCGGUUGCAAAUUUUGGUUCGCCGGUGUAGUGCUCAGGGGAGGGGACUGUCUCACAUUGUUCCAAGCAGACAGAGGCGGUUGACAACGAUUGCGAUAAUGUGUUUUUCUACUGGGAGAACAUACAGCAGUCAGCAGUUACCUUUUCACAACCGUCUUCAGUAUUUGGAGGCACCUCAAGAAAUUAUCAAGGACAAACGAAUGUAGAAAAGAAGAAAUAUCGAAGUUGAUUGACAAAGGGGGCCGAAAAGUUGAGAGAUACAGAGAAGAGGAAGAUAAGAAGAAACUCGAUGCAAAUUUUAAGCUAGAUUAGUUAUUUUUCAUUAACGAGCGAUACAGAGAAGAAGAAACAGCUGCAUUUGGAGAUAGCCGCUUUAGUUGCCUAGUUUGUAACAUUAGCUUUAUGUAAAUCCGGGGAAGAAACAGGAGUAAAAAAAACACAAUCAGGCAGUACCAAAGAAGAAAAAUGUACAGUUACGAACAAUCACCACUUCUCAAACUUUGUAGUAGAUCCAGGUAUCCGAAAGACUCGGGGCUAAUGUACCUGCAUUAACAAAAAACAAAGAUCAGAUUUGUGUAAGGGAGUCGCAUAGUAGUUAAAAUACUCGGCCAUGCGCGAAUGGUUUGAGAUACCACCAUAGAGGCAUCCUCCAGGUGUGAGUUUCUUUCGUAUCGGAUCACUUAUUGUAAGAAUAUCAGUAGUGAAAGUGAAAUACCAGCGUCGGUAUUGAAAAAUUGUGUCCUCCGUAUGAUGCUUGCAACAUGCAUCACCGAAUCAACUUGAAGCUCUCCACCUCUCCAUCUGUUAAAUGUUUCAUAAGCAGCAUUGUUAAAGUUCUCUCUGGUUGGGGCGAUAUUGCAGAUAGUUUUGAAUGAAGAAAGGCAAAAAUUCAUGCUGAAGGCAUAGUUUACAACUAGUAUUUGUAAAAGCUAAGCUCUAAAGGUCUCACCUUGAUUCUUUGGCACAAAUAGCUAAGUUUUGAGAUGGGACAAAAUGGGUCCCAAGACCCACAUACAGUGCAUCCGAUGGUGUUGAAAUCCUUUUCCCAGUAAGUCAAAGAUAAGCACCAAGAAAGACAUGACAGUGUUAAAACAAAUACAGAACUAAGAAUUGAUGCAUGAAGCAAACAGAGUAAUGGUACAGGCCAUUCUCUUUAUAUUCUUAUAAUCUAAACAGUUUCUCCUUAUCAACGUUGGAAAAACAGCUUGCUUCAGUCAUAGGAGGGAAAUUGCGCCCGAGUAUAGAAAAUACAUACCUACAGAUCCUCCUCCUGGACUCUUUGCCGCUAUACGUGAAAACCCAACAUCUGGGAACAAACAAAUUACAUUCUCUGGCAUUAGCAAGAACAGUCCUCUGAAAUGUAUCCAUACAAAGUUAAGACACAAAAAAUUCAAAAAGGCAAUGUAAUUCACAACAUUGACAAUCUCUGUCUGACAAGGCAAUAAUACCUCUGUAAUGAUCCAGUAGCGACCGUGACCUGAUAGGCCAACACCAAAGCCCAUUCUUAUGCCAUCCAUGAAGCUUAUAUAGGGCUUCUUGUACUCUGAGAUUUUGCAUAUUAGAGAAUACUCAGCAGUGAAUACCUGAAAAACGUGCAGCACAAGUAUCAUACCGGUAGCCUCUCAAUCUUAAGAAAUGGUAGCUUAGAAAAGAUAUGAAUCCUAUCCAACCAAUACAAAUCAUAUUACCCAAGUUCAAGCAAAAUCAAGACUAAACAAAUGAUCAGAUGUUGUAGGUUGCCCGAGAAUGUCAAACAUGAAAUUACAAAAGAAAAAAAAUAAUCGUAUGUAUUGAACAUUAAUAAAUACAUGCUGAAAGCACAAUCUUAGCCGCAAUUUAUGACAUUUAUACGAGAUCGAAUAGAAAAAGCAAUUAAAGAAGUAGCAGAACUCACAUAAGUGAUUUUCACUUUGAACUUUUAGGCUUAUCAACAAAUACAUCAUUACGAUUCUAAUGCAUGAAUUUUGUUAAAGGGGGCUUGCUUGCUUAUAUUAAGGCUUAAUCAUCAAUGAUUUUGCAAGGGUCAAUCAUCUUGCUAGUUGUAAAUCUAUUCACUAUGAAAAUGACCAAAAUACAUCUUAUAUGGUAGUGAAGGAAGUCAUCUUAUAUUAUCUGGAUUUUAGAAAACGGUGUAAGGUUAUAAGUCUGUUAUUCUAUAUAGUUAAAAGGACACAAUUAGACCUCAAUCAUAUUCGGUGGUUGGUUUUUGGCCGUGAUCUGCUUCACAUCACCGCCUGCAGGUAAACUAAAUCUGGGUUAUUACUUAUCAAUGAAUCAACGUGCCAACUUAAUGGACACCAUCUAUCUCUAUAUGGCAAAAAAACAACACAAAAAUGAACAAUGAAGUGAAACAAUAAACAACAUGAUGUGAAACAGCACGAACAUCAAAGACUAACAAUAUAUCACAUAAGCACCUAAACAAGAAACAACUUUGGUUCAAAGCAAAGCGUAAUGUAGAAACCUUCGGCAGAACAGGGGUGUUUUUGUCCUUUUGAAACAACCACUUUAAUAUCCUUUCCUGCAUUUACCAUGAUUGGUCACUCUUAAAACCUUACCUAAGAGACCCAAAAACAAAAAUAACCGCCGAAAGAGCUAAACAUACAUAUCUAGAAAAACUUAUUUAACUGAAUGCUAAAAUGGAAGUGUAAAAUUGCCAAGAAAGAUAAGAAACUAAUCAGAUACGAAUUCUGGGCGUUACCGCCACAAAAGGCACGAGCGGAGCGGCUAUCAACAAGAACACACUUCACAUUUGGGUCAGAUUCCCAUUCAUCCAGAUAGCUCUUGUAUUCCACAUCCAUAUCUGCAUUUUCCAACAAUUCCCACUUAAACAGAAUCACAAAUUUCUUAAAAAAAAAGAAGCUAGCUUCUUCGAAAUUUGAAUCCAACGUUUCGCCUUAUAAAAUGGAAGUGUAAAAACCUACUAUCACAAUCAAAUGCUUAUUUAACUGCAUGCUAAAAUGGAAGUGUAAAAUUGCCAAGAAACACACUUCACAUUUGGGUCAGAUUCCCAUUCAUCCAGAUAGCACUUAAACAGAAACACAAAAUUCUUAAAAAAAAAAGAAGCUAGCUUCUUCGAAAUUUGAAUCCAACAUUUCGUCUUAUAACAAAUGCAAGAACAUAGAUUUGUACUCAAUAAGAUGCCAUAAAGUUCAAGCUCAAAAUUUCAAAUCAGCUCCAAAUCAAAAGCAUUUACAGAUACAUACAUAUAUACAUAUACGUGUGUGUGUGUUUAUCUACAUACCUAGGUUCAUGGCGUUGAGAGCUCGGGGGGCGACCGAGGGUGAUGUCGGCGACGCCAUUUGGGUGGACGCUGCCCUUGACGAACGCCUCGGCGGAGGCCAUGAUCCCGAAUGUGCGGAGAAGGCGAGGGGAUUUGGAGGGUUUGUAAAGAGAGAGCUUCAAAUUUGGAAUGAGGAAGAAGAAAGCGGACGACUAUUUGCUCAGAAUUUGGGUCGCUCGUCAAUAAGCUUCCCAUUACUUCCGUUUGAGAGUAACUGUCAGUGUCGAGAGAGACAGAUAUUUUUGGUGCUUCUGGACCGGACUACCCUUGAUGUUUCGGUCAAAUUACCGGGAAAAGGAACCGCCGCAGUGGCUAUGGAGGGAAAGUUGGAAUUUGAAAGCAGUAAGUAUGGACUUGCCUUCAUUUAUUGAACUGAGAAAUCGAAAACUGAAAGAGGCGUUUGACGAACUGAGAAAUCGAAAACAUGUGAUGAUGACUAUGCAUCACCACCUUGGUUGUGCCUCUGGAUCAAAAACCAACCAUCACGAUCAAAAUCGUGGAUAUUUUCCUUCAUAGGUUUGUCCCAUACUAGAUUAACCCCUGUUCCUUGAAUUGUCGCAUAAUAAUUUUUAUAGUCCAUCUCUGGCAUUUCAAAAGUUAUAUCAACUUUAUCCCCGCUUUGCAAAUUGAGCUUAUCAUUCGAUAUUUGUCCCUGCCAAAGAAAACAUUCUUUAUAUACAACAUCGCGCAUUUUUAUAACCCAAUCUUCCUUGCCAAUGCAGGUCCGCAACUCAUUACGCUUGGUAUUAUUUAUAUCAAUACUGGCAUGAGGAUGAGCAACUUUACAUCUGAUAUGAGAGCUUGACUGAUGAAGAUCUGAGGAGUAAAAGCAUAACAGAGUCAGCCCUUCAAAAUUACGACCAUCACUCGGGGGGAUAUCAAAACUGACUUUAUCACCAUUGUUGACAAACUCGAACCAAUCAGGAACAUAAUUCCCAUUGAGAAAAAUGCCACCAUAUCCACAAGAAGUCCAUCCCUAUACAUACAGUGCAAAUGUCAUAUAUAUACAUGUGCGUUGUGUGUGUGCAUGUGCGCAAUAGGAAGGCAAUUAAAGAGAGAUACCUUUAGGACGUUCCUCCUAAAAUCAGCUGUGAGUUUGGGGCAAUCCCUCAUGUCAAUCCAUGUCAAGGAGUAUAAUGACUUAUCCAAGUCUGGAACCUCAGUGAGUGCGUAUGAAUUACAUACAAUCAGUUCUCUCAUAUUCGACAUUUUCGAAAAAUUGGGCAUUGUUACCAAAUGAAGGCAAUUAGGCGCACCCAGAAAUUUUAAAUUCGUUGGCAAAUCAUAAAUUGUACGAAGCUCCAAGCAAUCAUGUAACCAGAGACUUUCAAGCUUUGAAAGAUCACUUAGGCUGGGUAGGGUAUGAAGGUGAUGGAAGUUCCUUAACCGCAAACUUUCAAGCUUUGAAAGACCACUGAGGCUGGGUAGGGUAUGAAGGUGAUGGCAGUUACUUAACUGCAAACUUUCAAGCUUUGAAAGACCACUGAGGCUGGGUAGGGUAUGAAGGUGAUGGCAGUCACUUAACUGCAAACAUUCAAGCUUUGAAAGACCACUGAGGCUGGGUAGGGUAUGAAGGUGAUAGCAGUUACUUAACUGCAAACUUUCAAGCUUUGAAAGACCACUAAGGCUGGGUAGGGUAGGAAGGUGAUGGCAGUUACUUAACUGCAAACUUUUAAGCUUUGAAAGAUCACUGAGGCUGGGUAGGGUACGAAGGUGAUAGCAGUUACUUAACUGCAAACUUUUAAGCUUUGAAAGACCACUGAGGCUGGAUAGGGUAUGAAGGUGAUGGCAGUCACUUAACUGCAAACUUUCAAGCUUUGAAAGACCACUGAGGCUGGGUAGGGUACGAAGGUGAUAGCAUUUACUUAAUUGCAAACUUUCAAGCUUUGAAAUACCACUGAGGCUAGGUAGGGUACGAAGGUGAUGGCAGUCACUUAACUGCAAACUUUCAAGCUUUGAAAGAUCACUGAGGCUGGGUAGGGUACGAAGGUGAUGGCAGUCACUUAACUGCAAACUUUCAAGCUUUGAAAGACCACUGAGGCUGGGUAGGAUAUGAAGGUGAUAACAUUUACUUAACUGCAAACUUUCAAGCUUUGAAAGACCACUGAGGCUGGGUAGGGUUUCAAGGUGAUGGCAGUCACUUAACUGCAAACUUUCAAGCUUUGAAAGACCACUGAGGCUGGGUAGGGUAUGAAGGAGAUAGCAUUUACUUAACUGCAAACUUUCAAGCUUUGAAAGACCACUGAGGCUGGGUAGGGUAUGAAGGUGAUGGCAGUCACUUAACUGCAAAUUUUCAAGCUUUGAAAGACCACUGAGGCUGGGUAGGGUAUGAAGGUGAUAGCAUUGACUUAACUGCAAACUUUCAAGCUUUGAAAGACCACUGAGGCUGGGUAGGGUAUCAAGGUGAUGGCAGUCACUUAACUGCAAACUUUCAAGCUUUGAAAGACCACUGAGGCUGGGUAGGGUAUGAAGGAGAUAGCAUUUACUUAACUGCAAACUUUCAAGCUUUGAAAGACCACUGAGGCUAGGUAGGGUAUGAAGGUGAUGGCAGUCACUUAACUGCAAACUUUCAAGCUUUGAAAGACCAUUGAGGCUGGCUAGGGUAUGAAGGUGAUAGCAUUUACUUAACUGCAAACUUUUGAGCUUUGAAAGACCACUGAGGCUGGGUAGGGUAUGAAGGUGAUGGCAGUCACUUAACUGCAAACUUUCAAGCUUUGAAAGACCACUGAGGCUGGGUAGGGUAUGAAGGUGAUGGCAGUCACUUAACUGCAAACUUUCAAGCUUUGAAAGACCACUGAGGCUGGGUAGGGUAUGAAGGUGAUAACAUUGACUUAACUGCAAACUUUCAAGCUUUGAAAGACCACUGAGGCUGGGUAGGGUAUGAAGGUGAUGGCAGUCACUUAACUGCAAACUUUCAAGCUUUGAAAGACCACUGAGGCUGGGUAGUGUAUGAAGGUGAUAGCAUUUACUUAACUGCAAACUUUCGAGCUUUGAAAGACCACUGAGGCUGGGUAGGGUAUGAAGGUGAUGGCAGUCACUUAACUGCAAACUUUCAAGCUUUGAAAGACCAUUGAGGCUGGGUAGGGUAUGAAGGUGAUAGCAUUUACUUAACUGCAAACUUUCGAGCUUUGAAAGACCACUAAGGCUGGGUAGGGUAUGAAGGUGAUGGCAGUUACUUAACUGCAAACUUUCAAGCUUUGAAAGACCACUGAGGCUGGGUAGGGUAUGAAGGUGAUGGCAGUCACUUAACCGCAAACUUUCAAGCUUUGAAAGACCACUAAGGCUGGGUAGGGUAUCAAAAUCAUUGUUUGAGAGAUCUAAAUUUCUUAAAGAGUCUAAGCCGUGUAACGAAUCAGGAAAUCGCAAGGGAAACUCUGAUCCCACACCUGCUAGAGAUAAAUGAGUGAGAUUCAUCAACCUUACUGUGGAACGUGGUACUUGUCUUAUGGCUGUGAAAGAUGCUUUAAGUACUCUCAAUGAUAGCAUCUUCCCUAUAUCCUCGGGCAGUUCACUGAAUUGGCAACAUUCAUCAAGAACAAGAGUCUGAACGGAUUUUGACUUGUAGAAAUCUCCAGGAAGAGAAAUAAGAUUCUUGCAGCCUGUGAGGUUCACCAAAGAAAGUUUUUUAAGAUGACCAAUGGAGGGGUGAAUCUCGGACAAACUCACACACCAUUCCAACAUCAACUCUUCAAGAUUUGGGAGAUUUGAAAAGUCUGGUGAUUUUUUUAAGUCAAGGCAACUUCUGAGAUCAAGGAAUUUCAAGUUUUCAAGCGACUGUUGCACAAAAUCAAAGGAAAAUUAAAAUUAAUAUCCAAAAGGAAUAUCUCAUUAAAAAAAGAGAAGGAAAUCCAAAAGCAAAUAGAAUCAUAACAUCAUCAUGUGUAAUCGACUGUACCUUGGAACCCUCCCAAACUUGUACAAGUUUGCCAGACGUUAUCUCUAAACUAACUAGUCUUGGUUGAUCAAAGAAGUCAUCUGGUAUGGACUUUAAAGGGCAUCCAGACCAACUCAACCAUAUUAACUCUUUGGAAAGAUGUUUGUAUUCUCCAUUGAGCUGCACUUUGCAGAGCUGGAGCAGUCUCAGUUUCUUCAUAUUGGCAAAUCCUUCUGUACUGAAACAACUAAACUUAGAAGAAUGCUUCUGUACUGAAUCUGGAGCAAGUUCAACUUCUUCAGUUUCCUGUUAACAAAAGGUUAUAUUCAUGAGUAAGAAACGGAUUAUUUGCAAAUGCUUCUGUACUGAAAGAACUAGACUUGUUAGAGCUUUGUACCCGAGGAGGAGGGCCAUAUAGAGCAAGUCCUUCAACUUCUUCAGUUCCCUGUUAAGAAAAGGUGAUAUUCAUGUGUAAGAAACGAAUUAUUUGCAUACGUUUACAUGUAUGAAUACAUGCAAGUACUAUUGUUCGCUAAUUGAGAUGAAUGUUACUUAAUGUGUAAUACACAUCCGUGAGUUAUAUGUGCUUUUCAUGUACGAUGCAUUAAAUUCAAAAUUUUAUUAGGAAUGUACUUACAGAGUUAUCUCCUAAUACUUUAGUGACCUCUUGAUGGUUCCACAACCUACUCCAUUUUCCAGGGUGACGAGGGAAUUUUUCAGAAAUGAUUAAUUUGGCCAUUUCUCGAAGCAAAUCAUGCAUAUUCAACCUGUUAUGUUCAACAGUUACAAGGCAUCGUUCACGAAGGUCACUGAUUCCUACUGUUGCAAAAAACUCACAUCCAUCUAAUAUUUUUGCGACACGGUCCUUAUCCCAUCCAAUAAAGAAACAAGAUAUGUCAAGGAAUAUAUCCUUCUGUGUAGGAUCUAGCCUUUCAAAGCUUACUCUUAGCGGUUUCAUUAUUCCUUCCUCGGGAAAUUUUUUCAAUUUCUCCAACUGAUUUUUCCACUCCGUUGGGGUUCUUUCAAUCAUAGAACCACCUAAAACUUCAAGGGCUAGUGGCAAACCACCACAGUAAGAAACAACCUCCUUUGAGAGUUCAAGAUAUCCUUCAUUAGGCCAACUAUUUCCAAAGGCAUGCCAACUAAAGAGCUUCAGAGCUUCUUCGUCAUUCAUUUCCUUAAGUGGAUAUGUCUUGUCCACUUUCAUGUUCACUUGCUUUAGUAAACGUUCAUCUUGUGUCGUUAUGAUAAUUCUACUUCCUGGGCCAAACCAAUCACGAUUUCCAGCUAUUGCAUUUAGUUGUUCCACUCUGUCUACAUUGUCAAUAAUGACAAGUACACUUCUACGAUGGAGAUGAUUUUUUAUCGGACUGAUACCUUCAUCAACACUGGUUAUCUCAGGCUUGGUCUGUUUCAAGAUGUCAGAAACAAGUUUUUUUUACGAAACAACCAGAUCUUUUUCACUAACGUUGUCAAGGAAACUUUUGAAUUGGAACUCAUGAUGAAUUUUGUUAUAAAUGGCUUUGGCAGCUGUUGUUUUACCCAAUCCACCCAUCCCCCAAAUUCCAACCAUGCAAACAACAUCUGAUCCAGCAUUUGAAAGAUAAGUGAUGAUAUCUUGAAUGCGAGUAUAUAUUCCAACUGGGUGCUUGGCCAUUUGUAAUUCUUCUGCGAUCGGAAGCCAUUUCGGGAUAAUCUUGUCAACAAUUUCUCUAAUAAGCUUUGCUUCGCGCCUGAAAAUUAAAUUUGUGAGCAUUAGUGGGACUCGAUGAACACUAGGAGCUAUCAGUAUAUAGACAAUUUUCUUUCCCCCAUGGCCCCAUAUAUAUUCUAACUAGCUACUAGCUAGUAUAUGAUUUUUUGACCAACCUGAUAAAAGAAAGAACUUAAUUAAACUCCAAUUACGGUUUAGGAUUUAUAUGAGAGGUUAAGAUGUAUUAAUUUAAUUAAGCAUGUUAGCCAAUGUUUAAUUAGCUUCUGUAAAAUGUUAAUUAAGCAUGUUAAUUAUAUGAGAGAUUAAGUCAUUCACUAAAAUGUUUCAAAUCUUGAAAAGCAGGUGAAUGAUUACCCUUUGUCAGUGAUUUGAAGAUGUUGGCCAGACAAAUUUGCAGCUUCUGUAAGAGCCUUUCUCCACUGCUUUACCCUUUCUUGUCUAGUUUCACGUUCCUUGUCAUCUUUUUCUUCACGGAUGCCCUCUUCGUGCUUCUGAAAUGCUUGAGCUAAAUCUUCAUUCUGCUUCCUAACAUGUGAAGGAUCAACAUGAUAGAAUAUUGGUAAAACAUGUCGCCCCGGUUUGUAUCUGCACUCCAUGAUCUUCACCAGCUCAUCAAGACACCAACUCGAGUCCGCAUAACUCUUUGAGAAGACAAUGAUAGAGAUCCUCGCCUCUUUGAUUGCCCGGAACAGUUCCUCUUUUAUUUCUUCCCCUCUUUCUAGAUCAUCCUCAUCGAUAUAAGCCUGGUAUCCCCUGUCUGUUAAUGCCGCGUGGAGGUGGCCCGUGAAACCAUUGCGUGUGUCUACACCGCUGAAGCUCAAGAACACGUCGUAAUUCCAAAGUUUUGACUUGGAGGAGGAUGAAGAGGAGGCUUCGUGGGUUAUCAUGGCGAUAUCCACCGUUAUGGCACUGCAGUGGUUCAGAUCACGACUGCAAAAAUGGCAGUAGUUGUGUUCGUGCUGUCGAACAGAUGAUCCUGAAUUACCUAAACCCAAGUCAAGCUCCUUCAGUCAUCAAGAACAAAGUUUAAAAUAUAAUAAUGUUGGCAUAUGGACUUGAGAAACGACAUAAUGUUGCCGGAAGGUGCAGAGAAAGAGAGAGGAAAAGAGGAACGAAAGGACAAAGACUAUCCAAAAGAUUCUUGGCUGUGAUUACAGCUAUUCAUAUGAGAAACAACAGACAUAUUUUCAUAGGAGAAACAACCUGCCCAUCUUCAUAUAUAAUACAUUUCAAUGGACAUUUUAAUAGGAGAAACAACUUUAGUUUGUACUAGAAAUUUUUACCCGCGCGUUGCUGCGGUAUUUGAAAUUGUAUGAAAGAUUAUCUUUGAAAUAUAUAAUAGAUUGAGUGAUUGAAGAUUAAUACUAUUUACAUUGAAAAUGUUGGAAAAGUUUUACAUACAAAAGAUUUUACGAUACAAUCCACAUACAAAAGAUGGGAAAUUUUUUUCUAUCUAUAUGCAUUAUGUUAUGGAAUGAUAUAUAUAUAUAUAUAUAUAUAUAUAUAUAUAUAUAUAUAUAUAUAUAUAUAACUAAGUGCCAGAAUACGUAACUUCAUAACUUGGAAAUCUUUAGACAAAUUAAUCAGAUUCAACUGUGGGAUAGCAGCGUCGCCUAUAACGUUGUGAAGUCGUGGAAACAUAAAGGACAAAUAACAAAUGAGUUUUGAGAAAUUAUUCCACAAAUGUCAUUCUGCAAAAUGUAUUAAGAUUAGCAAUCAUGAGUAGUGUAACAACAUCAACAAAAUAACUAUAAACCAUAGUGGAACAUAAUUCAAAUUUCGGUUGCAAAAACAAAAGAAAAAGAAAACAGACUUACAAUAAUUCAGUCUCCAAUCCUGAAGUCCUACUCAAAGAGCAAAACUUGAAUGCAAGCUUUAAUCUUCCAAACAAUACAGAUAACAAGGUAACACUCUAGUAAAAAAUGAACCGAGGUGCGAGCUUUCUAAGAAACCCAGAUGACAAAAUCAACAAAAUAGAAUGGAAAAAUGACUUACAUUUUUAAGGCAUGCCCGAAUCUUGAUCUAAAAUUGGUGGUGGGUCGAUUGUUGGUCACCAACUCUAAAUGAAGAAUUCAUCAGAACCUAGAAAUUUAAACAAAGAAUUUUCCAAAAUCAACAACAACAACAACAACAACAAAGCCUUUUCCCACUAAGUGGGGUCGGCUAUAUGAAUCCUAGAACGCCAUUGCGCUCAUUUGUGUCAUGUCCUCCGUUAGAUCCAAGUACUCAAGUCUUUUCUUAGGGUCUCUUCCAAAGUUUUCCUAGGUCUUCCUCUACUCCUUCGGCCCCGAACCUCUGUCCCGUAGUCACAUUUUCGAACCGGAGCGUCAGUAGGCCUUCUUUGCACAUGUCCAAACCACCGGGACCGAUUUUCUCUCAUAUUUCCUUCAAUUUUGGCUACUCCUACUUUACCUCGGAUAUCCUAAUUCUCAAUCUUAUCCUUUCUCGUGUGCCCAUACAUCCCACGAAGCAUCCUCAUCUCCGCUACACCCAUUUUGUGUACGUUGAUGCUUCACCGCCCAACAUUCUGUGCCAUACAACAUCGCUGGCCUUAUUGCCGUCCUAUAAAAUUUUCCCUUGAGCUUCAGUGGCCUACGACGGUCACACAACACGCCGGAUGCACUCUUACACUUCAUCCAUCCAGCUUGUAUUCUAUGGUUGAGAUCUCCAUCUAAUUCUCCGUUCUCUUGCAAGAUAGAUCCUAGGUAGCGAAAACGGUCAUUUUUUUGUGAUCUUCGCUAGAUUGCUCCGGUCAUUAGUGUGGAUAAGUAUAUAAAAUGGAUAGAGAUAGGAAAGCAAACACAAGAUGUACGUGGUUCACCCAGAUUGGCUACGUCCACGGAAUAGAGGAGUUCUCAUUAAUUGUGAAGGGUUUACACAAGUACAUAGGUUCAAGCUCUCCUUUAGUGAGUACAAGUGAAUGAUUUAGUACAAAUGACAUUAGGAAAAAUUGUGGGAGAAUGAUCUCGUAGCCACGAAACUUCUAAGUACCGGAGUGUGGUAUCGUCUUGACUUGCCUUAUCUGUCUCAUAGGUAGAUGUGGCAUCUUCUCUGGAAGUACUCUUCCUCCAUCCAGGGGUGGUAUCUGUAACUGGUGGAGAUGCACAAGGUAAUGUAUCAAUUUCACUUGAAGCUUACUUGUAGUUUCAUGCUUGGUCAAGCGAGAUACAAACCAUGUAGUAGGAGUCCCCCAAGUCGCCGAGCUGGGGGAUCUGCUGAAAGAGGUGACAGACAAGGUAAGCAAUCAGAGCUCCGGCUGAUUGUUCACAUUCUCCCUAUCUUGCAGGCAGCAUGAAGGAUAAAGAGAAGAAAAAUGAGGAGAGAUGAUAUGGGAUACUUUUGCUUUUGAAGAAGUAACUUUCCACAGGCUUAUUCUUGAACUGGGCUGGAGGGUUUUCUGGUUUCCUCCAGAGUAUAAGGCCGACUGAAGAAUUUGAGGGUCAAAACAAGUCCAUCAAAUCUAGAGUACGUUCGACCCUGCUGAUAUGGGAUACUUUUGCUUUUGACAGAGUAGUGGAUGUAUCGGCACGUGUGCUGUUACGCUUGUCUCCACAUGCUUCCUUGUAUCCUUCUCACUUGCCCUAUCUGUUCCUCAGGCAGAUGCGGUAUCUUCCCUGGAAGCAUAAGAUGUUGAAGAUGAGUACUCGAGAGCAAUGCCAGGUAAGUAAUCAGGUAAGGGGUUCCAGGCAGUCAGUUCCUGGCUGGAAGCUUGAUUCCAAGUGCUGACUGAUUGCUCUCUUUCUCCUUGUCUUGCAGGUAAGAACAAGGCCAAAGGAAAAGACAGGGAAAAAGCAUGAUAUGGGAUACUCUUGCUUUUAACCCUGAUGAUAUGAGAUAUUCUUGCUCUAGUAUAGCUUGUUUACAGAGGUAUUAUCGGGGGGAAAAAAAGCUAAAUAUUUCGAAAGGCUUUGUUGGGAGUGCCCUCUCAGAUAAGAGAAAGGGUUGAGCAUUUUUGCAGGUCUGCCUGUCCGUUAGGGAUGGAAGGUCGACAUAUAUAGGAGUCUCCCUAACAUCAAGUAAUAAUGCUAUUCCUUUACCCUGCUUGGUUAUAGCACGGUAGUGGGAGCUGCCAGCUUCACAUGUUUUAACUCUGUCAGAGCACUUUGAAAAAGUGGUCUGUGGUAUCUGGAAAGCUGAUGUUGCGUGUGAAGAUUACAGACAAGCUGUCGGGGGUCUGGCUCUCGAGAUUCGGAGAACGAUGCCUCUUCGAUUUUUGAGAAAGCAAUCCUGCUGGGGGUCUGGCUCUCGAGAUUCGGAGAGCGGUGUCUCUUCGAUUUUUGAGAAAGUAAUCAUGUUGGGAGUCUGGCUCUCGAGAUUCGGAGGGCGGUGCCUCUUCGAUUUUGGAGCAAGCAAUCUUGUUGGGAGUGUUUUCUCGAAUGUGAGUAAAGGUUGGGCAUGUUUGCUAGUCUACCUUGCCACGAAGCACAGAGGUUGACACACAGGGACUUUCCAAUUAUCCAGCAGUGGUACUGUUCCUUUACCCUCUCUUCGAUUUUUGAGAAAGUAAUCAUGUUGGGAGUCUGGCUCUCGAGAUUCGGAGGGCGGUGCCUCUUCGAUUUUGGAGCAAGCAAUCUUGUUAGGAGUGUUUUUUUCUCGAAUGUGAGUAAAGGUUGGGCAUGUUUGCUAGUCUACCUUGCCACGAAGCACAGAGGUUGACACACCGGGACUUUCCAAUUAUCCAGCAGUGGUACUGUUCCUUUACCCUUGUGGGUAAUAAUAUGGUAGCUAGACCUUCAAAAUUUAUGUGUCUAAACUUUGUUAGUGUUGUUUCUUUGCAAUUCUUUUACCCUUCUUGGUCAGAGCGAUGUAGUGGGAGCUGCAAGCUUCACGUGUCUCAACUUUGUCAGAGAACUUUGGCAAAGUUAUCUGUGGUACCCAUGAGCUACUGUUGCGUGUGGGAAGUGGGUGAUUGAACAGUACGAUUCAUGUGCUUUCUACUUCGCCAGAAAUCUUCGACAGAAUGCCCAUAAUUUCCGCAAAGCUGAGUGUGCGUGUGACAGGUGCUGACAAGGCUGGAAAAGUAGGUGCCUCUUCGAUUUCUGAAAUCGGCCCUCGUGGUCUCUGAGCAGCCCAGCUUUUGAGAAAGCAAGCCUCUUCGAUUUUCUGAGAUCGGCCUUUGUGGUCUUUGAGCAGCCCAGCUUUUUGAGAAUCUCUGAGCAGCCCAGCUUUUGAGAAAGCAAACGCCUCUUCGAUUUCUGAGCAGGCGCCUCUUCGAUUUCUGAAGCUUCGUCGAGUGCAGAUUUUUAUAGGGGCUGACAUUAAGUUCCAAAGCACACUUGAAUAUCCACCAGUAGAAGCUCCAUUCUUGCACUUCUAAGAUCUUGAUUUGUCCGACCUCUUCUCUCUUCAACACCUUUGAAAAUGUCUGGCCCCUCCGACCGUCGUUUUGACUUGAACCUUGUUGAAGAGGCAGCCCCGCCUUCUCCAGACAACAUAUGGCGCCCAUCCUUCGUCUCCCCUACUGGUCCUCUUACCGUUGGGGAUUCCGUGAUGAAGAAUGAUAUGACCGCUGCGGUAGUGGCCAGGAACCUUCUCACUCCCAAAGAUAACAGACUAUUUUCCAAACGGUCUGAUGAGUUGUCUGUUAAGGAUUCUCUGGCUCUCAGUGUUCAGUGUGCAGGUUCUGUGUCUAAUAUGGCCCAACGCCUAUUUGCUCGAACCCGCCAAGUUGAAUCAUUGGCGGCUGAAGUGAUGAGUCUCAAACAGGAGAUUAGAGGGCUCAAGCAUGAGAAUAAACAGUUGCACCGGCUCGCACAUGACUAUGCUACAAACAUGAAGAGGAAGCUUGACCAGAUGAAGGAAUCUGAUGGUCAGGUUUUACUUGAUCAUCAGAGAUUUGUGGGUUUGUUCCAAAGGCAUUUAUUGCCUUCGUCUUCUGGGGCUGUACCGCGUAAUGAAGCUCCAAAUGAUCAAUCCUCUGAUGCCUCCUCCUUCUAGGGUUUUGUCCAAUACUGAGGCUCCGAAUGAUCCCCCUCCGGUGCCUUCUCUUUCUGGGGCUCUACCGACUGCUGAGACUUCUCCUAAGCAACCUUUGUGAAGGCUCCCUCUUGUUUGUUUAUUUUGACUCAAGUAUAUGUACAUAUUUGUAACUUAUCGGGGAUAUCAAUAAAUAAGUUUUUCCUUCAUUUCAACGUAUUGUGUUAAAUACACCAAAGCCUUCUUCGCUAAGUUCUUUGAAUUUUCUUUUGUUGAAGCUUGUAUGUUGAAGCUUUGUGAGUGGAGCAUAUAGGUUGAGGUAGUGUUCCCUUAAUUUCCCGAGUGAGGAAAACUUCUCGGUUGGAGACUUGGAAAAUCCAAGUCACUGAGUGGGAUCGGCUAUAUGAAUCUUAGAACGCCAUUGUGUUCUGUCCUGUGUCAUGUCCUCCGUUAGAUCCAAGUACUCUAAGUCUUUUCUUAGGGUCUCUUCCAAAGUUUUCCUAGGUCUUCCUCUGCCCCUUCGGCCCUGAACCUCUGUCCCAUAGUCGCAUCUUCUAAUCGGAGCGUCAGUAGGCCUUCUUUGCACAUGUCCAAACCACCGUAACCGAUUUUCUCUCAUAUUUCCUUCAAUUUCGUCUACUCCUACUUUACCCCGGAUAUCCUCAUUCCUAAUCUUAUCCUUUCUCGUGUGCCCACACAUCCAACGAAGCAUCCUCAUCUCCGCUACACCCAUUUUGUGUACGUGUUGAUGCUUCACCGCCCAACAUUCUGUGCCAUACAGCAUCGCCGGCCUUAUUGCCGUCCUAUAAAAUUUUCCCUUGAGCUUCAGUGGCAUACGGCGGUCACACAACACGCCGGAUGCACUCUUCCACUUCAUCCAUCCAGCUUGUAUUCUAUGGUUGAGAUCUCCAUCUAAUUCUCCGUUCUUUUGCAAGAUAGAUCCUAGGUAACGAAAACGGUCGCUCUUUGGUAUUUCUUGAUCUCCGAUCCUCACCCCUAACUCGUUUUGGCCUCCAUUUGCACUGAACUUGCACUCCAUAUAUUCUGUCUUUGAUCGGCUUAGGCGAAGACCUUUAGAUUCCAACACUUCUCUCCAAAGGUUAAGCUUUGCAUUUACCCCUUCCUGAGUUUCAUCUAUCAACACUAUAUCGUCUCUGCGAAAAGCAUACACCAAGGAAUAUCACCUUGAAUAUGUCCUGUUAACUCAUCCAUUACCAACGCAAAAAGGUAAGGACUUAAGGAUGAGCCUUGAUGUAAUCCUACAGUUAUGGGAAAGCUUUCGGUUUGUCCUUCAUGAGUUCUUACGGCAGUCUUUGCUCCUUCAUACAUAUCCUGUAUAGCUUGGAUAUAUGCUACUCGUACUCCUUUCUUCUCUAAAAUCCUCCAAAGAAUGUCUCUUGGGACCCUAUCAUACGCUUUUUCCAAAUCUAUAAAGACCAUGUGUAAAUCCUUUUUCCCAUCUCUAUAUCUUUCCAUCAAUCUUCGUAAGAGAUAGAUUGCCUCCAUGGUUGAGCGCCCUGGCAUGAACCCGAAUUGGUUGUCCGAAACCCGUGUCUCUUGCCUCAAUCUAUGCUCAAUGACUCUCUCCCAGAGCUUCAUUGUAUGACUCAUUAGCUUAAUUCCCCUAUAGUUCAUGCAAUUUUGUACAUCGCCCUUAUUCUUGUAGAUAGGCACCAAAGUGCUCAUUCGCCACUCAUUCGGCAUCUUCUUCGUUUUCAAAAUCCUAUUGAAAAGGUCAGUGAGCCAUGUUAUACCUGUCUCUCCCAAAAUUUUCCACACUUCGAUUGGUAUCGUCUGGGCCUACUGCUUUUCUAUGCUUCAUCUUCUUCAAAGCUACACCCACUUCUUCCUUCCGGAUUCUACGAUAAAAAGAGUAGUUUCUACACUCUUCUGAGUUACUCAACUCCCCUAAAGAAGCACUCCUUUCAUGUCCUUCAUUGAAAAGAUUAUGAAAAUAACCUUUUCAUCUGUCUUUAACCGCGUUCUCUGUAGCAAGAACCUUUCCAUCCUCAUCCUUGAUGCACCUCACUUGGUUUAGGUCCUAAAAUCAACAUUUACUAAAAACCAUUUACUUGGUUAUCAUGCAAGAUGGCUUGCCAAAGAUUGAAUUAAGGAAUGCACAACUUUACUUUUAUGAUUAUUUUCAAUGACAGCUAAAAGGUCAGAUCCAAAUGAAAAUAAAACUUUGGACUUCACAAAACCAAUUAAAAAUCUAAUUCCAAAGUUACAAACACCCACCAAAUGAUUCCAGAUAAAGUUUUAAACUCAAGGUCAGACCCAAAUGAAAUUAAAAGUUAGGACUUCACAAAACCAAUUGAAAAUCUGAUUCCAAAGUUCCAAACACCCACCAAAUGAUUCCGGAUAAAGUUUAAACUCAAAACACCAACAGAAACAAAAGCAUUG